UUUUUAAUAUCAACGCCACUGCAGCUGUGAUCAAGAACAUAAGAGCGUUUAACAUCUUUUCUCCAUCGAGAAAGAAUGUAGUGAGGUGGGAUCUCCUGCAUGCCACUCUGGUUUAGAACACAAAGAAUGUGUCUGCAUAAAUAUCCUCUGAAAUUGAACAACCCACAAACACAAAGCACCUCCUGCAUAAAUAUCUUUCUCGUUGCUACCAAUCUCAAAUUCUUCCUUCACUAUCUAUGUUAUAGGUCCAUCAGCACUGACAUGUUUUGUGCUAUAGCAAGAGUACAUAGCCUCCACCUCCGUCUGAAACUUCCUUAACAUUUCAUUUGUGUACAGUUUUGAGAGUUGAAAUUCAUAGUAACAUCUUGGUUUCUGGAUACAACUUGAAUUUCUUGAAUCCAUAUCUGCCAAGGCUUCCAGUUGAUAAUUCGCCUGCAGUGCUUGAUCAUACUUGUCUAAGAAUUCUUUCAAAGGAGUACUCUUAUCAAGAUAUCCUUCAAAGUAUGAAGUAGAAACCUCAUUCUGCAGGAAUGAAAACACUCCUGAUAAAAAUGCUUCCUUCAAAUAAACAGGAGCCCACCUUUUACGAUCUUCAUAUAAAGUUUGAAUCCAUCCAUGAUCCUUUAUUCCAUGACGUUGAAUCGUGUCCUCCCAAGCUGUCUCAAAUUCCUCAGGCCUAAGAGAGUGAUAAAUUGCUCUAUGCAAUGCAGCUCUAACAGCUUCAUAUUCAAACAAUCCUUGGAGUUUCUCUGAAAUUUUUUGCAUGACGCAUGACAAUGAAAAGCAAUGAUAAGCUCUUGGGAAAGCAUUGCUGACGGCAGUUUUCAAGAUUCUACAUUGGUCAGUGAUGAUUGUUUGUGGACAGCGUCCUAACAUACAUGUAAGCCACGCCCUAAACAACCAUGUAUAUGAUUCUAUAGUCUCACUGGCGAGUAAACCACAGCCCAACAGCACUGAUUGUCCAUGAUGAUUCACCCCAAUGAACGAAACCAGUGGUACAUCAUAUCUUUCUGUCAAGCAUGUAGUAUCAAUUAAGACUACAUCACCAAAGUACCUAUAUGCAACUCUUGACCUGGUAUCAGUCCAGAAGAGGUUUCUCAGGCAUCCCUUUUCAUUUAGAUCCACCACAUUAAAAAAGUUUGGAUCUGUCAACUGCAAACGACAAAAGAAACUCUGGACAGCUUGUGCAUCUCCUGGUUUAAGCUUCAAUUGAUUUGAGCUAUUAACAUCAUUUCCAAAUACUCCAUUAACAUCUAUAUUACCAUUUCCCUCGGUAUCAAGGAUAAGAGUUCGAAACAGUCUAAUUUUUUGAACUUCUUCAGCACCAUCUAAGAGCAAUGUUCUUUUGGUUCCAAUACCCAUGUGCUUAUGAGACUUGUAAAACUUUCCGCUUCUUGGGCUUAACAAACGGUUAUGCUCAAGCUUGACUUCAAUGAUUCUCCACCUUUUGGUUUCCAUCAACCUAAACUUUAUCAUUGCUGGACAGCCAGUUCUUGUUUCUGGUCUUGGGCGGUUUGCCUCGCUUUUCUUCUUUAAGCCUGCACUACUACAGCUCAGCUUUCCUCUAUACUUUUCUCUACUCUUUCGGUACCAUGUAUUGCUAACUCUAACACCAAAACCCUGUUCCUUGGCAUAGCAAUUAUAAAAGUAAUAUACGUCAUCAUACGUCUCAAACUCCAUCCCAACAGCAGGAGGCAAUGGAUUUUGGAUUAUCCCAGUUUGUCCAACAUAUUCAGUCAUCGCACAAUCUCCUAUUCAAAAUCAUCAGCGUCAUCAUCACCUACGGGUUCAGUAUUCAGAGAAACUUCAUCCAUCUACAAUAGAUGUUUAAUGAAGUGAGCUUUAAGGAGAAAAGGCAAAAUCAGUUCAAGGAAUGAUAAUAAAACCGUACAGUUACUUUCACAAAGCUUCGUAUUUCAUCACUACUUUAACAACAUGCAACUGCCUGAGAACAUACAGACAUGUCAUAGAUGCUUGAAUUAAGUAUUGAUACAAAUUAGCACACAUCAUGUGGGACACAAUUUCAGUCACUAAACCCAAUACCUUUUUUUUACAUCAUACCAAGAAACAGAUUAAACCCAAUACCUUCUUUUACGCCAUACCAAAGAACAGAUUAAAUCAUCAAUGAAAAAUUAAUCACAUAAUAAUUUAACUAGACAAUUGAAGAGCUCAAAACAGCACAAUACUUGAAUCUGAUUAUGAUAAUUGUUGAGUCCUUGUAUCGACAGCUUUCCUUCAAUGAGAAGAUUAUGAACAUAAACUACACACAAAAAAAAAAAUUAUUUAAACUGACAGCCCAUGAUAUAAAUCAAACAAAAUUAACUCCUUUUACAAAUCACAUCUUGUAUUCAUUUACAUCGAAACAUAAAAAGGAAGCAGGAGCCAAAAAAAACAACAGCACAGAAACUUCUUUCCAUAAGGUUUACGAAAUAAGGAAUUUAUUAAGACACAAAAUUUGAGGUCACCUAUAAUAAUUUGGUUCUCAUUCUCUUUUUCUUCAUUUUUCACUUAUUGAUGGAGUUAGCAUACAAUCCUAAAUGAUAAAACCCCAUCUCCAUUUUUGAACUAGAGCUAAAGCAAAGCAUUUUAGGAUUCAUCAUUUUUUUUUCUAAAAGACUCAAUAGUACAAUGUUUUUCAAUAUUAAAUACACAACUCAAUCUUCUCCUAAUUUACUCUAAUAAUCUCUUAACUUAGGAAGAUUAAGCUCCACUUGUAAGCUAAAACAAUUUUCUUAAAUCAAGCCCCAAUGCUCUAUACUAUUCAACAAGGCCUCAUAAAUGAUAAAACUACCUCUACAAAGAUACCCAUUUUAGUUUCGCAAACUAAAAUCAAACUCCUGAAACGUAACGAGCAUUAAAACAAACAAGUCCGAACAAGAACUGAAAAAUCAUACAUAAACUCGUUUACACGCUUCGAAAAACACUUUGAAAUUCAAACGAAACAUACCUUAGGUUGAUAAAUUAGUAGCGCAAAAGAAAUUUUAGUGAGAUAUGGGAUCAGGGUUUUUGCCACGGUGAUGUUAAUUGCGACAUUGGGGUGACUCAGCAGCCUUCGAGGCUGAAACUUUGAUUGACCAAAAGCUUCCCGUUCGUUGAUUAUCUAAUUGCAGAAACGAAACUCGCAGUGUACAGAAGAAGUACGCUGAUUUGAUAAUUCUGUGAAAAUCAUUGUUUUUUUGAGAUUUUUAAUGUGUUCGGUAAAUAUCAAAAUCUCAAAAACUUGUCUUUCAUUUUGGGGGGAAAAACCCAUUGAGAUCCUUAUGUUUUUUCUUAUAUAAUCUGGCUUAAUAAUUUGCAAAGUCUAUUACUUUGCACCCAUGCAUGCUGCGUUUCAAUUUUACAAAAUUGUACGUGAGUGCAUCCAGCUAAAAUUUGUAAAAAGAAAAUAACAAUAACAUGUUAAAAAUGUGAUGAUUAUGAAGAAAUUUUAAUUUAGUUAAAUAGGUGACGAUGGAUAGGUAUAAAAUCUGAGAUCUUUUAUGAGAUUAAUAAGUAUGUUGAGUUUGGAUUAGUUCAAUUUUGACAUAAUACAGAAUAAACACAAUCUGCUAAUCUAAGUUAUCAUCUUUUCUCGUCAUCAGGUACCUGUUUGAAAAAUAAUUAUAUACAAUUUUAUUUGCGUUGUCUCUCCAAAAAUUUUGGACUCGAAUGUUAUUUUUAAUUGCUAAAAGUACGAAAAUGCCCCCUUUCUCUUCAGCUAAAGGAGUGCAAAGUCAUCUGUAUAAUUGAAUCUGCAUCAUCAGUUUCUAUUGCUGGCUGGUGUUACUGCAUGCUUACAGUUGCUUGACAAAGUGAGCCAGUUUUUUGUUUAUUAAUUUUUUUUCUUGUCGAGACAGUCACAAAGUAUUACUUGUUCCAUAUGAGAAUGAUGUGAAUCAAUUUUUCAAUUAUGCAUUCUGUGGUAAUUAUUGUGAAUUUAGUUUCAUUUGUCUUGUCUCCUGCAAAUUUUGAAGAAAAUGCAGACAUACAAACUUACAAUAUGGAAGAGUUCACUGGAAAAAACUUUGUGAAAGCUUCCAAGUGAAACAGGGAAUGGGCUUACUAGUAAAGGACAAAUUGGUGGCCAGCUAAUGCAUUCAUUCUAUGUCCAUUCAUCUUUUCGAAUUAUUGAAGACAAGUGGCUCACCACUUUUAGUAUUGGUAAAAUUCAGAUAAUCUCUAUUCCGAAAUAAUAAUAUUCAAAAUAUCUCUUAAAUCAUUAUAAACCUGAAAUCUAUUUUAAUUUUAUUUAAAAGAUAAAAGAAAAAUAGGUUAUGUUGGUGAUUUUUUAUUAUCUUUUUAAUAAAAAUGAAAUAAAUUGAUGUUUAUAAUUAUUUAAAGUAUUUUAAAGAUUGCUAUUUUAUGAGAGAAUAAUAUUUCACUUUUUUAGUGUGAAAGAUUGAAAAAGGACAAACCAAGUUUCCCUAAUUUUUAUUUUAUUUGAAAUUGGUCAUCUCACAUACUUCACCCUUCAACAUUAUAAUUUUUUUGGUUAUAAUUUUAUUAUUUUUUCUCUUUUACACAUGCAUGUGAAUUACUUUUCUUUAAGCUCCUGAAUAUUUAAGACAAAUCAUGGAAGAGAUGAGAGUAUAACAAGAUGAUCAAAAUAUGUAACAAAAAAAUUUUAGAAGUGAAAAAUAUGUUAGAGUCGAAGUAAAACUCUGAGGUGAUGUUUGAUUUGAAGAAAAUGGAGGAGAGGAAAAGAGUGGAAUGGAGAGGAAAAUAGAGAAAAGGAGAGGAGAGGAGAGUGAAAUUUUUUUCUAAUGUUUGGUUUGUCACAUAAUUAUACAAAGAAAAGAAAUCUCUAAUUUUUUAUUUAGACAAUUUUAACCUUAAUAAGUAUUAAGCUUUCAAUAUUUAUCAUGUGUAUAAUUUAAAAAAAGUAAAUGGUAGAAAGCGGUUUCUGAUUCCGGCCACAUCGCCGGCAAUGGAAGGUACUUAUCAGAACAUCAAGAGCCGACCAUCAUUCCCUAGCCAUCACUGCUGUCAGAACACUGCCAGAAAGCUGCCGAUUGAACCGCAAAAAGUCGUGGAAAUCGCUGCCUCAAAUCGGUGAGUUUCGCCUUUUUCUGGUCACGCCGUCACCUUGGCUUUGUCCAUCAAGGCUGCCACUUCCAUUUUCAACCAUCCAUAGCCACUAUUAACGGCCAAAUCGCCGCCGAUCAGCGGGAUAUGUGGAAGUUAAAAAGUUUCUAAAUUUUUUUGACUGGAUUUGAACAACAUACGACCAUUUUUUGAUCUCGAUAACGACGUAGUAAUGUUGAUCAUUGAUCGGCAAGUCGAAUGGUAGUGGCGGUGAGUAACAUGCGCCAAUGACAUCGGCGGCGGCACUAUCCGGCGACUGUUAAAAUUAAUAUUUUAUAUUUUUAGAUUAAAUAAAUUUAUUUUAUUAAACUUUUUAAAUCAUUAUUUAAAUUUAAUUAAUUUAAAAUUAUCUAUAAUGUUGAAUUGAUAAAAUAAAUUUAUAAAUAAUAAUUAUGUGAUUACAUUAAAUAAGUUAAAAAGUUGAAAGGUUAUUUUUGGAAGAUUUAGUUUCCAACACAAAGGGAAUUUGAAUUCUUCACUUCUUAGUGUGGAAUUCAAAUUCUAUAUUGUAAUGGAUAUUAAAUUCCAAUAGAAAUUAAAUUCUUAUAAAUUAUGUCAAACCAAACAACGGAAAUAAAAAAGGAAUUUAAAUUACUUUCCUUUCCUCCAUUGUCUCCUUCCAACCAAAUACAUCCUGAAAAUAGAGAUAUUGAUUAAUUUAGAAGAGAUGCAAGCAAAAGAUAUUCCAAAAAAAAAAAAAGCAAUAUGUCCCUUUGGAGGGCAAACUUGUCAGUUUUAAAAAAGUACAUGCUUUGGAUUGAUAGUUGUAGGAUAUUUGUUUUGUCACUAUGUAUUAGUUGGAGAAGUCAAGCCUUGUGAAGAAUGUUAUGAAAGAGCAAAAGAUAUUCCUGAUAGCUGAUAGAGCUAUAUUUGAUUAUGUAUCCAACGAAUGGAUGUGUUGUUGGAAGAUAUCUGAGUGCAUUAGUUCAUAUGUGUAUGUCAAUGUGCUUUUAAUGAUUUUUCCACUUGUUUGUUGUAAAAGAUUAUUGUAAAUUGAAAUGAACUUGAUGUUGUAAUAUUUUUUCCUUAGUGGAAUUUCACCUAGUAUGUAUUCAGUUGUGUUCUCUAUAAUUUUGCAUUCGAAUAGUUUCACCUAAAUAUAUUAGCAUGAGUAGUGGCCCUUGAAACUUUGGUCAAAAUUAUUGUUAUUAUUUCCGACUAGAUGUAAAUUUUUUAUUAAAUCUCGUUAACACAAUUCUUAAUUAAAAGUAUAGGUUAGUGUUGGUGCAAGAUUUGCCACACCAAAUUCUGCCUAGCUGUCAAAAGUGCAAAAUAAAUGAAGAGAAAGCACAAAUACACGACUUGAAUAAGGAUACAACGAAACUUAAAUUCAAGAGAAAAUGAUAGCUAUAUCUCAAGAUUUGAAAAAAUGAUCAUGUAGAUUUUUAAGAUUUCAAUAAGCGACUGAGAUUCAAAUAAUAUCCUUUAAUUCUAUUAACAAAAAACAAAGACUCAAAUAUUUUAUGAUAAAUAAAAAUAUAAUAUUAAAAUAUAUGUGAUAAUAUACACAUUUUAAAUACUUUCAAUCCAAAAAAAUAGUUAUGUUUUACAAUCUAUUAGACAUAUUUUAUUAAAUUAAUAUAAAUUUUCUAUAAAAUAAGAAUAUAAUAUUAAAAUAAAUUCACUAAACUUUAAAGAAUUUUGAAUGUAAAAUAAUUUUAAUAUAUUAAUACGUGAGUUUUUUUAUUAAUAUAAAAAUUAUUUAACUUUAAGAUUUUUUAAAAUCUUUACAAUAAGUAUAACUAUAUUAUUUACAUUUAAAAAUAUUUAAAUAUUAUUAACCUACAAUUAUAUUUGCAUUUGUUAGAAAUUUUUUAAGUAAAAUAUUUUGCACUUCUAUAUUAUUAGAAUUAUUGCACACAAAGAAAGAAACAUAUACCUUUAGAAAUUGUUUUCUUUUAAAAUAGAGAUGAUGAUUAGUAUAAGGAUGAAAAAAAGGAUAUUAACGAAAUCUCUAUACAAAUUGAUUUUAGUAGGAAAAGAGUGAGAUGAAUGAUUCUUUUACAAUUAGAAACAUAGAUGAUGAUUAUUAUAACGAAGAAAAAAAGAUAAAGAAUAUUAAUUAUUAAUGGAAUCUCUAUGCAAAUUGAUUUUAGUAGGAAAAAAAUGAGUUAAAUGAUUUAGAGUGCGUUUGGAAUUGAGAUUGGGCAGCCAUAGAUUUUAAGUUACAACACUGAAGUGUUUGGUAAAUACUAGCUGCUGCAGAUUGAAAGUUAUGUUGAUAUGAUUUUUCACAUGUAUCAUAGAAAAUAUAUUACAUCUUUAAUAAUUUUUUUAAAAUUUAUAUUUGCUAUAUAUUAUUAUUAUUUUUUUUAUAGUUAUAACUUUUUUUCCACAGCAGCUGUAGCUUAAAAGCCACAGCACCUCAAUUUCAAACAAGUCCUUAGACAUUCAUAGUGUGUUUAUUUUUUGGAUUGGUGAAUAAAAAUUAUUGACAACGCUAACUUCAUCUUCACCGUUCGCAAUCCAACAGCAGCAAUUGUCACCAAUAAUGAUAUCUCCAAUGAUGAUGACAAUUAUUAUUAUUAUUAUUAUUAUUAUUAUUAUUAUUAUUAUUAUUAUUAUUAUUAUUAUUAUUAAUAAUUAAUUAAUUAAUUAAUAUAUUAAUGUUAAGAUUAUUAUUGUUAAGAUUAACAAUAAUUAUUAGUAAUACAAUUUUUUGAAUAAAAAUAAUCACAAUAAUUAAAAUACAAAUUAAUAAUUAUGACAAUAGUUAAUUAAUGUCUUUUUAGUGAAUCAAAAUUAUUGACAACGCUAACUUCAUCUUCACCGUUCGCAAUCCAACAGCAGCAAUUGUCACCAAUAAUGAUAUCUCCAAUGAUGAUGACAAUUAUUAUUAUUAUUAUUAAUUAAUUAAUUAAUUAAUGUUAAGAUUAUUAUUGUUAAGAUUAACAAUAAUUAUUAGUAAUACAAUUUUUUGAAUAAAAAUAAUCACAAUAAUUAAAAUAAAAAUUAAUAAUUAUGACAAUAGUUAAUUAAUGUCUUUUUAGUCAUUUAUAGUAAACAAAUUAUUAUGAUUCCUAUUCUCCUUUCCCAUUUUAGCUCACUUUGAUUUCAGUCUAUUCCGAUUUCUAUCUAAUAAAUGCACCAUUAGUGCUAAAGUAAUAUUUCAUACAUAGAAAAGUAAAAACUACACCUAAGGUUAAGGGAAAGGACUUCAAAACUCUCUUUUGAUUAUAAUACUAGGAAAUAAAACCGCGCUUCGCGCGGCUUUAGAAAAUAAAUUUAGUAUUAUCAAUUUUCUUUCUUUACACUCGACAAAACUGAUAAAAAAUAUAAAUUAAUUUUUUUUAAAUGAGCCAGCGUUAUAAAACUAAUAUUAUUUAUGAAAGUUAACUAUUUUUUUGUUAACUUUAAAAAUAUAUAUUAACGUGUAUAGUUUAAGUGUACAGACUUUAUACCUUUUGUAGUUGAUAAGUUCCAAAUUAAAUUUUGUAAUUGAGGAUCCUUAGCAUUGAAGUAUAAAAGAAAUAAGUAAAAUACAUGUAAAGACUUUUGUAAUUUAUUUCGCAUCGUUUGUAGCUGCGUAGGUGAGCAGUUGUUUAUAUCAAGCUUGCAGCUAUGGCAAGUUCCAAUGGGGAUCAGCAACACCUAGUGCCAAAAUGUUCUUUAUCUGUAUAUAAACCAUGUCUCCAUGGAUUAGAGAGAAUGAAAGGAGAAACAGUUGAUGUAAAAAAGAAUGCUUCUUCACGUACUAUGUUCUUUGGCGAUUAAAUCCUCCAUAACAGCUUGGAAAACUCAGCCAAAUUACCAUUUUGUUGUCUCGAUAGUUCCUUUGAUUUAUCCAUUUGUCUACUGAAUAAUUAAAACACAUAAUAAAAAUCAUUAUUAUAGGGUGAAGUAAGAGCUUGCAAUGUAUAAAUUAAAUUUUAAAAUAUAAUCUAAAAAUGUGAUACCUUGAUUUUGUGAGCUAAUGUGUGAAUAUUUUGAAAUACUUCUUUGUAGACAAUGUUUUUUAUGAAGGUUCGGUCUUCUACCUCUUGAUCGGCAUUUAGUAUGGUCAAUCCUUCUCUUGAGGUAACUCGAGACACGGCGACAUAUAAUUGACCAUGUGUGAAUACUUGCUUAGGGAGAUACAAGCCAACAUGUUUAAGAGAUUGUCCUUGGCUUUUGUUGAUCGUCAUGGCAAAACAUGGUGCUAAAGGAAGUUGUCGUCUGUUAAGCUUGAAUGGCCAUCUUGAUUCAUUAGGAGACAUAAUAAUUCUUGGAAUUGUGACAUUUUGUCCAAUAUUUGUUCCAGAAAUGAUGUCACCUCUAAUGGACCAUUUACCAAGAUGAGUGACAAUUAAUCUUGUGCCGUUGCAUAGGCCUUCUAUUUGAUUUAGAUUUCUGAGAAGCAUUACGGGAGCACCUUCCUUAAGUCGUAUGUCAUGAUUAGGGAUGCCAUUGAAUUUCAAACUAUUCAAAAAUUCAGUUGGAUAUAGAACAUCUUCAUCAUUUGUGUUUGCGCUUGCUUUGCAUAUACUGUCUGAGCUAAAAUAGGUUCUCCCUUGACCAGGUAUUAUAUUCAUAAUCAUCUCGUUCAAUUCAUGCACCAUUUCAUUUUUUGGGGUUAAUAUUGCUCUUUCUUUCAAAUAUGUUGGAUCACUGUAGUUAUGCUGAAUUGAUGGGUAGAUAGUGUCGACUAUUGAUUUUAUCAGAUUUUCUGAUGGUUUCUUACAGAUAUCAGAAGGUAGUUUAACUAAAUCUCUAUCAAUGUCAUCAUAUAAUGAACCAUCUCCAAUCUGCAAUAACCAUUUGUCAAAAGAAGCUAUUUUAGCAGCCUAAGAGCCACUCACACUUCCAUUAUAGAGCCUCAUAUUUUUUUUGAGGUCAUAAAUUUUGAAAAAUGGCCACAAGUAGGAUGAGUUAAGUGAAGCAUCAACAAUGUCUGCUCUUGUCCUCUUUGGCACAACUGGCAAUAUUUGUCGGAAAUCGCCACCACAUACUAUUGUAAGUCCUCCAAAAGGUUUGAUAGAACUAUUUUCAUACAUUGUUCUUAGAAUAUCUCUCAAGGUCCUAUCCAAAGCUUCAAAGCAGAACUUAUGUGUCAUAGGCGCUUCAUCCCAAAUGAUCAAAGAAGUUUUCAUAAGAAGUCCAGCUAAUAAGGUGCCUUGUCGGAUUUCACAAGUGGACUCUGCUGUCACAUCCAAAGGAAUAUGAAAUCGCGAAUGAGCUGUCCUACCAUUAGGCAAUAACAAAGCUGCUAUACCUGAAGUUGCAACAGGCAAGACUAUUUUAGAAUGUGAUCUGAGCUUUGCAAUAAUUGUAUUCCACAAAAAUGUUUUACCAGUACCACUGUGUCCAUUGAUAAAAAAUAAACGCCCUUCUUCAUUGUCAACAGAAUGCAUUAUUGCUUCAUAGGCUGAUUUUUGGCAAGCAUUUAGAGCAGCAAACGAUUUCUCAUGCAACUUCUUUAAUUGAUCACGAUCAUAAUCAAGCUCUUCAUUGACCAAUCGGUUACCUGAAUCUCUUAUCAAAGAAGAAUUAGGAAGUGGCAUUCCAUCUAUGUCUCUCAAACUUUUUCCCAUUUUCAACAUGAUAGUUUAAAUCUCCAACAAUGUGUAUGCUUCAACUUGUUGCUCGGUUAACUGAAGAUCUUUCAAUCUGAAUUUUUUCCUUUGCAAUGAAGUUAUGUCUUCUGAUAAAGUAGUAUAAUUAGAUUUCCAAAGUUGGGGUGCAUCAGAAACCUGACAAUGAAUGAGUAUCGUGACAAAAAGAUGUCUUAAUUCAUUUCCAGUCGCCCAUAUUGCAGCUUCAGUCAAGCAGUCGAUCCAUUCUUUAUCAUCGUCUAAUAAUCCCAAAGCAUAGCACGCAGCUUUAAAAGUUGGAUAUGUCACUCCAUUUACUGUUCUAAUACUUUCAAAUGAAGUGCUUCCUUUUACAAAAUUGAGCAACAUUCUCAUAUAAAAUCGUUCUCCACUUGAAGGAUGUGCAAAGUAAAUUCUUCCGAUUGCUAAGCCAUUUUUUCUCCUAGUCCAAGUUUUGUCUUUUGAAUUCCAUACCCAACAUGUAGGGAAAUCAGAAUAAGUUAACUCUCGUGCAUCAUCAUAAUUCUUGUUUGCCUCCAACCAUUCUGUGAACUUUGUUUUUUCUAUUCCAGGUAUGGUAAGCACAUUUUCUAAGCACUUAGAUUCUUCGAAUAUUACUGUAUGCUCUCCCGGUAAAUGGAACGGCAAUCUUUCAACUGCUGGCUUUCUGUAAUGUAUGUCAAAUUGGAAGAUUCGCCAGCAAGCUUCGGUUGCUGAUAUAUAUCUGCAGUCCAAAUAUGUUUUGAUCUCGUCCAUUUCUUGGGUAGUGUCAAUAGAUUCCAUUGUUGCAGUUGUUCUAUCAGACCCUUUAUGGACAUACUUGAAAAGAUAUUUAACUGAUCUCGAGUAAUUACAAAUCUCAACAUUAAUAUGUGCAUCAAAUUUGACAAUUAAAUUCCUGUGAUAAGGGACCACAUAUCGAUUAUCCAAGAAGACACCUUUCUUUUCGACAUGAAUACCUGUAUUUCUCCUUUUAUAGAUUGGAAAACCAUUUGUAUCCACUGUUGUCUGAUCAUUAAAUUUUUUUGGAAAAUGUUUUGUGCACUUGUCUUGCAUCAUGCAUGGAGAGUGAGAAUUGUGUUUUCCACACGGUCCAUGAAUCAUAAAUUUGUUAACUGCAUUAUAACCAUCAGGAUCAACAUUUAAGUCAGGGAUUUCUGCACUUAUUAUUUUAUCAAUAUGGUCUGCAGAAGGAUUUUUCAUUGUUGGAUGCAAAAAAAGCAGUAUGUGUGCAUAGGGCAAGCCUCUUUUUUUAAACUCAAUUGUAUAUAGACCUGCCACAAAAUAGAGUAAAAUUUAAAAGUUAGAAAUAUUGAUUUUAAUUGUGAAAUUAUUGUUUUUCCCUACACUUUUCAAUAACAAAUGAGUUGAAUUUGUUAUGGAUACGAAUUUGAAGUGAACUUACAUGCAAUUAUUUUUCCAAACGGUUGAUCUUUUUUCAAAUCUUGCAUUAGUUGGAAUAAUUUUAUCUCGAAAACUCUGCAUAUGAUAUCGACUCGAUUGUCAUCAUUAUUUUGUCCAACUAAUCGGAGCAUGUUAUUUAUUUCUUGCCACUUUGGGUUGCAAGUGAAAGUAAGAAAUAAAUCAGGAUAUCCUGCCCAUUUACAAAUUGCCAUAGCAUCUUGAUAAUUUUGUAUUCUAUAUCGUGGUCCCCCCGUGUGUGAUGAAGGUAGAAUAAUCGAUUUUCCAACUUUCGAACAAUCAGAAUCACCUCGAUGAACAGCAUCCAUCAAACCAGAGAAAAGGUCUGAUCGAAGUUUUUGUUGAUUAUUCCGGAUCCAACGAAAUCUUUCUUCUUCAACUGCCAUGUAACAAUCAACUAUAUAUUGUUGGAAUAGUCUACCAGUUUGAAGUAGAGUGUGUCCCUCAUUCAAUCUUUGUUGCAACCUAAAGCAAUAAUAUUGCCUCAUUGUCAGCUUUUGCCUCUUAAAAGGGCUAUCAGUUAUGUCUCUUAAAGAUAUGUCAGGUCUAUAUCCAUCUUCGCCAUAAGGAUAUAUUAACGGGUAUGUCAUGGGCAUGAAGCUUGGAUGCAAAUCUGUGAUUCUCCGAAGUCCCUUUGUGCGAUGCUCUAUAAUAACAUCGCGUUGAAAGUUUGCUUCACUGAAAUCACCAACUAUUAAGCCUGCAACUUCUGAAACUGUUGGUAUAUUGUAUCGACGACCAUCUCUUGUUCUACUAUUAAGGAGUCGUAAACGGAAUGUAGAUUCUGGUUGUGUUUUGUAUCUAUCCCUCGCCAUUCUAAAAGAUUUGACCAAAUUAUUAUGUUGGUCCAACAUUUUAGAUAGUUCAUGAAGAAUUUCGUGAUCAAUUUCUGUCUUCAUUCCAUGUUUUAAUAGAGUGUUGAUUCUAUUGUCUAUCUCAUUUUCAGUAUCAUAGAUAUAGAGCUGAGCAAACUGUGGUUUUUUCCCAACUUCUGGCAACAAAGAACCAAUGUGAUGAUAAUUCUGACCGCUCAUCCUGAAAACAUAAGGACCUUUUGAUCGAUUGAUUGAUGCAUCAACUCGACCUCCCAUAGAUGUGAAAGCAAACAUGGAGUUAUAAGCCCUGAUAUUUUUUCGAAAUUUGGAACCCUUUUGUCCAGACUCUGCCCCGAGAAGAUAUUUGAGUAAAGGAGGUGUUUCUUUCAUGAAUGGAAUCUGCACACGACCUUCCAUACAACAAAAUGUGAAUUUGGGAUGUGAGACCUUUUUGGUUUUCUUGUUCCGUUCCUCGUACCAUAAAAUGGCACCACAAUAUUGACAUGUGUAUGUAGGGGGUCCAAAAUUCCAAGGCGUUGUGUAAUGAACUGUCAAAUUCAACCAAUAAUAAUAUUGUAACAAAGUAUCUUAUUUCGUCUAAGUGAAUAUGGUAAGAAAAAAUAUUACUAAAUAUAUUAAUAUUUUCAUUGUACAUGUAGUUUCAUGCAAAUAUGUACCAUUAUUUGAUGUUACACCAUCCAAUGGAAAGCUUGUGGACUGAUCUAUAUUCUCAUCAAAAGAGAGACACGCUCUUUUUAGUUGUCCAUGUUCAACUGUAUAUUUUUAAAGUUCCAAAAGCAAUGAAUAAGUUAUUAGUUUCAAGUAUUACAAGCAUGAUGAAUAACUAAUAAAGCUCGAUAAAUUUAAAUAUAUAUACGUACAUGUGUGAAGAAGGCGCUUUCCUCUGUUUGUUUGACUCUUUGGAUUUAUAUGUAAUGAUGUUUUAUUAUUAUCAUAUCCAGCUUUACCAGGAGAUUGAAGGAAAUUCCCAAUUGAAAUAUGUUAGAAAUAUAUAUAUUUGUUAAUAUAUAUUAACAUAAAUAAUUUAAAUUAUAUAGGGAUAAUUUUUGUAAUUUGUAUAGUAGGAAUAAAAAUCAUAUUUUCAAGAAUCACAUACCGUUUGAGUGAAGCAAUUUAUUGUCACUUCUAAUGACUUCCAACUUCAUAAAUUUUGUGUAAAAAUUCACAAUUUGUAGCAUCAAAAUGAUUCUCUUUUUUAAAUCAUGUUUGUAUCUAUUAUGAAUAAUCAUAAUUUUCCGCUUAAAUCUUGCAUGCUUGAAUAUGGCCUUCUGCACGACAACAUAUCCAUUGUUUAUUGUGUCACACUGGAAAUUUGAUGCAUAUUUCCUAAGUUUUAAUUUCAUAAUCCUUUCGUGCCGAGCUAAAGAUGAAAGUUGAUGCCGCAAGAGACAAACUUCUGGCGGAAUAUUCCUUGAGUCACCGAAAUCAUUAAUAGUUGCAGAAAUCAAUUCCAUUUACUCUGGUGAACAAUAAAGUGAAUUCAAUAUCACAAAAUAUUCUAAAAUUAACAAAACGUUUUAUUACAAAUCAUAACAAGAGAAACCGAAAAUAUAAAAUGUUUUUUUUCAAAAGAGAGAAUUUUUUUUUCAAUUAUUGAAAUAAGAAUUGCAAUGAAUUUUUCGAACGAAUAUAUACCAUAUGUUAGAAAGAACAAAAAAAAAAUCACUAAAAACAAAACAAAAUAAAAUGGGAUUUAAUUUAACCAAUUCAAUUUAAUUUUAAACUCAUGCCAGUGUCACACUGGCAUUAAUUUUUGUUGUGCUUAUAGCCACGAACAGAGGCUUUUAGAUUACUUCUUUAUUAGGUUAUUAUUCUUCGAAUUUGGUGGGUAAAUUGUGAGCUUUUUCUGUUGUGAUAUUAUCAAAUCAAUCCAUGCAAAAUAAUCAUUAAUGUAAUGUUUUUGUUAUUUUCAAACUGAUAAAUAAUUAUGAAUUGUUUCCAUAAUUGUGUAUUUAGAAACAACGUUAACACAUUUUUUCGGAACAAACUUCUAAGUUUGAUUGAUUUUACGUCUAAUUACGAUACCCUAAAUUAAUAUAGAAAGUCAACAAAAAUCCACUUUAACAGUUCUAAUGUAAAUUUAAAGGCAAUUAAUUUUGAGUAAAUAUGAACUAAAACAAAACUUGAACAAAAUCUGAAUUUAUAUAUAAUAUUAAGGUAGCCACAUUGCAUUUGAAAAUGUCAAUUAGUGGGAUCUAAAUAAAUAAUCACCUUGGAAUUUUUUAAUGGUUGUAGGAGUUAAUAUUACAUACACGGACUAUCAUCUUUGUUGUACAAAUUUCGAUCAAACAUCUCCCCCAACUUUUUUCAUAAAGUAAUCUUUGAUAUCACCGAGCUAUCCAUAAAAAUUGCCACAAGUGAAUAAUGUAAAGAGAAAAACUCAUUAUAAGGAUAUCAUAUUAUCAUUAAAUUCGAAAGUUUCGAAUUACGUUAUUAUACAAUUGGUUACUUUUUAAUUCUAAAUCACCAAUAUUAUUAUUCCCUAUCUCAAUAUGAAUAUUACCACUUGACUUUUUUAUUUGUGUUUAUGAAGAGGUGGGGUGUGAGGAAAAGGAAAAAAUGUUUUUCUUAAGAAUUAGAACAAAUAAUUAGGCAAUAAUUCAAGGAAUUGAGGUUGUUCAUUCUACAUUCCAUUUGGAUUUACAGUGAUUUUCAUAAAUUUUUUCUUUUAUUAAUUAUGCUAACUGCCAUGUACUGUUGUUUAUUCUACUGCGUUUGGGAGAAGAUGCUUGGGCUGCCUAGAACAUAUUUUCUAAUUAAUUUUUCUUGUGAAUACAUUGAAUAAUCUCUAAGGGCUAUAUCCUUUUUCAUUUUACUUUAACGGUUUUUCUUCAACAAAUAUUGGAUGUAUUUAGUGAAAAAGAAAAUUAAAAAUUAGGAAAGAAUUAAUAAAAUUAGUGAAGUCAAAUUGUCAAUCAAUUCUUAUGAUAAAACAAUAAUUAAAAAAUAUAGUCAUAGUUUUCUUGAUUAUAUUCGACUUAUUAAUCUGUUAAAACUUUUUAUAUCUUUUUUUCCAACUUCCCCAUUUGGUGAACUAUAAAAAUGAUAUGUUUUUUUUCCACUCUUUGUCUCUAUCUUUUUUCACUCACAAAGAGUUAAUAGUUAUUAAUCAAUUAAUUUUUUUUGUUUGCAUAAGAAUUAAUAAUGUUGCACACAUGUAUUGUGAAAUAAUUGUUUGUUCAUAAUUAUUUUUUGCAUUUUUUUAGAAGUCAAUAGUCAAAUUAAUGAUAUUGAAUUAAGACAUUUCGAAGUUUGCUAUUUUGUACUUCUAAUAGAAAUGCUUGCAAAUGGGAGGCAUUAAUUUUUCUGUUUACUUUAUCGAAUUUCAUAAAAUUCAAUUCAAACAAAAAAUUGAAGGUUAGAAAAGCAGUUGGAUAGUUUCAUAAAAUUAUUAUUUUAUCAUUUAAAAGAUAUGUACCACAUCAAUUAGGACUAAAUAUUAGAAUCAUUAGCAUUGUUCCAAUCACACAUGCAAAAUCUAUCACUCAAUAGUCAAGUACAUUGUACAAUGCAGUCGAGAACAACUUCAACAUUUAGUUAAACCUUUUCUAUCUGUUUAUUUCCACAAAACACCAAAUAUCCAGAUUGAUACUGGAUCCUCCGAGUCAAAUAUAGCUAGUUCACGUUCAGAAAAGACCCGCCUCUUUUAAUUGUACCUCCUGCAUGCGAAUUAUAUAACAAUUAAAUAAAACUACACCAGAGAUUAAUUAGUCAAUAAAUAUAAACACGAGCUAAAACAUGUGUUUACUAAUAAUUCUUAAACAGGUCUAAGCUUUCAAAGUUUGCAUUGAAAAAUUAAAGUGAAAAUCUUCAAUACCUCCAUGUGUAAAUCGCAUAAAUUAGACAACCAAAGAUUAUUCAAAGAUUUUUCUUUCUUACCUUAUGCUUUUUCGCAAACAAGUAGAUAACAACAAUUGUAAAGACAAGUGAGCAGUAAUCUGUUAAAACAAAGUAAUCCAGUGUUAAUGAAAAUAAGAACAACAUAUUAUAUUUAAAACUAAGUUUUCAUAAUAAUGAAAUCGAGUAAACUUAUUCGAUAAGGAUAAACAAAUAGAACGCAUUGACAAAUUGACAUCAAAUUAAAUUGAUCCAAAGAAAUUGAGAUGCUCAAAUUUGAUUACGUACACAUUAAUUUUCAAAUAAUUAAUCCACACAUUGUUUUAUUCUUCAAACAUCUUUAAACACAGGAGCCAACACUUUCACUCUUAUAUAUUACUGCCAUAGUAACUUGAACUUGGUGAUCAGCUUUUUAAUUGAUUUGCAGUAGCUCACAAUUAAUUAAGCUUGAUCAUCAGUAGCUAUUAUUGAUCAUAAAAAUAUUUGUUUAAUUUACAAUCUAAAGUUACGCUCCAUACUCUAUAUAUGUGAAUUAUAUAUUUGCAUCAUCAACAUUAACAUUAUAAAAUAAUCUGUGCAAUAGGAUGCUCUUGGAGUAUUUUAUUUUCAUCACAAAAUAUAUUAAAAUUAUAUUAGUCAGAGAAUAUAUCUAACACUUUCUAAACACUAAUAUAUAAUAGUUUCUACAAAAUUAUGAAAUAUUUGUACUAAAAUACCAAAAUAUAAAUAUAUAUAACCUAAUUGGAAUCAAUAAUCAAACUUCAAACAUGUCAUACUCUAAAGAAAUUAAAGCAUGAUAGUCUGUGUGUUUGACAUAUUCAACUAAAUGUUUGAUGAGAAUCUGUGAUUGUUAACAGCCAAUAAUGGUUUCUUUAGCAACUCAACUCAACUCAGCAAAACCGCAACCAAUUACAUUUACCAACUCAACUCUUCGCUUCCCCAAUUUCCAACAUUCUCUUCACAUUUACAAAUGGUAGGUGGUCCUAUAAAUCCCAUUCAAGAAUGAACAAUUUUUUUCAGUUCCUAGUAGGUGAAGUUUCUUCCACAUUUACAGAAAUUUCGACAGCAUCUCCCCAUAGUUCUCCAAGUACACGACCUAGAUUUAUGCAUUCAUCUAGUAUGUACCCAGAGAACAUGAGGAGCAGCUAUCGAAAUUUCCUUUUACGUGAAACAAAACUUCACCUACUUGGAACUAAAAAAAAUUAUGCAUUCCCAAACUGUCCAAGUUGGGACAAUUCAAGAAUUAUUAAUAGACAUAUCAUCCUCUUGUCAUCCUAAGAUGACACUGAUAAAACAUGUGUCUACUAAUAAUUCUUAAACGGGUCUUAGCUUUCAAAGCAUGCAUUGAAAAAAAAAACGUAAAUCAAUAUAUAUAUAUAUAUAUAUAUAUAGUUGAGUUUAUUAACAUUACCUAGGUUUGGCGGAGAAAAUAUGAAGAAGAAGAAGUAGUUUGGGCAAAAAUCAAAGGGUUUUGAUUUUCAUUAUUGAUCAAUUGAAAUAGUAGAGUAGUGGACCUUCUCAGCUAGUUCCAUGGAUGUUAAUAAAUCUAAAAUUUGUUAGCACUUAACAUUUGCUAAAGAAACCGUCUUAAGUUUCAAUUCUUUAAAUUAAUGUUAAUUAGAUUUGACAUUGAAGAUUAAUUAUUCACUAAGGCUUAUCAUAUUUUAAAAAAACGAAUAUAAAAGGUUGCAUAUUAAAUAUGGGAUUAUGCAAUUAAAAUUAAACCCUAGUAAUGGCAUUGGUGAGGGAAGAUGAAAGAAUUCCUUCCUAUAUUAAUUAGUUGAUAUAUUUUAAGCCACUAAAGUUUAAUUGUUGGCUUAAUAAAAUAAAUGAAUGUUUCAAGACUUAUAAUUAAUUAUUAUUAAUGGUUAUAUAUUGUUGAAUUUAAAUAGAAAUAGGAAAAGACAUGUAAUCUUUUGUAAUCUAAUAAUCAUUUUCUAUUUAUUUUCUAUUUUUAAUAUUUUGUAAUGUAAUUAUUUUUUAAUUUAAGCUAAUAUAUUAGAUAUUAGAGAAUAUAAAGAGAUGAGAAAUAAUGAUGUCACAAAUCUUAAAUACUUAAUAUUUAUAGAAUUUGAAGAAGCCAAAAAGCACUAAACAAAAGGUUGAAUAAUUAAAUAUGAAAUUAUGACAUUAAAAUUAGGCCCUAGUGGCAUUGUUGAGGGAAGAUGAAGGAACCUUCCUUUCUAUAUUAAUUAAUUGAUGCUUUUUAAAGCCAUUAAAGUUUAAUUAUUGGCAUAAUAAAAUAAAUGAAUGUUUCAAGACUUGUUGAAUUUAAAUAGGAAGAGGAAAAGACAUGUAAUCUUUUGUAACCUAAUAAUUAUAUUCUAUUUUUACUAUUUUAUAAUGUAAUUAUGUUUUAAUCUCAACUAAUAUACUAGAUAAUAAAGAAUAUAAGAAGAUGUAAAAUAGUGAUGCCACAUCACCUCUUGUAGUCAAGGCUUAUAAUUAAUUAAGAGACAUGGAUAGGGAUGGCAAUUUCCGGGUCCGGGUCCGGGUCCGGGUUUGGCUGUUCCGGAUCCGGACCCGGACAUCAAAUUCUCAUAACCGGACCCGCAUUAAACCCGGAUUUUUUAAAUCCGGAUCCGGUCCGGGUUCAACCCGGAAAAAUCCGGGUUUCCGGAUUCCGGGUUUGGAACCCGGAUUGCUUUAUUAUUAUUUUUUUUAGAGACCAUAUGGCUUACUUUAACAAGGCACAGGGGAUGGUGGUUUAAUGUUUUAAUGUUUUCCCCAACAACACAUUACAGAAUACUUCCUAGAAUUGGUUCAAUAAAAUUUGAUGGAUAUUGUUGUUGAGUUCGAAUUUUCCGUCUCUUUUGGUGGAGGUUUCACAUAUUUUCCUAUUACUUUUUGGCAUCUCUUUCUCUUUUGUCUGGUUUGUUUGUCUUUACUUUGCUGCUUCCUUUUCUCCUUUAGCUUAUUCCGAAGAUGCCUUUCUUUCUCAAAUACACCUUGCCAAACGACCUCACCUGUUGACGGCCAUAACCACCGUCUUCUAGGGUGAUCAGAAUCUGCCUCCUCGGCCAUGUCCUCAUCCAUGCUUUUUAAAGUGCUGUAUGAGAACCAUCUGACCCACAUUUGACCUCUCCGACUCUUAAAGUGCCACGCCGCGAAGGAUCUGAUCUGAUCUGAAGAAGAGAUUACAGGAGAGUUGCAGAGAGAGUGAGAGAUUAAGUGACGACGGAGGACUGAGGUGAGGAAUGAGUCACGGCUCACGGGUGAUUUUCCUUGAGAGAGGAACGGAUUACGGUUUACGAAUGAGACUUGAGAGAUUGAAAGGAGAAAUUAUAGAUUUACAGUAAUUUUUAGGUUGAAGGAGAAAUUUCGAGAGAGGAUCAGACGAACGAGACGAGAGAGAUCUAGAUUCUAGGGUUCACUUUUGUUUUUGUUUUUUUUUUAAUUUUUCUAUUUAUAUUUACGGAUUUACGGAUCAAAAUUAAUAUUAAAAUAAAUAAUAUCCGGGUCCGGGUUCCGGGUUUGCGGGUUCAUCUGAAACCGGAUCCGGACCGGAAAAAUGCGGGUUGUCAAAAACUGAUCCGGAUUCCGGAUAAAAACUAUGCCGGUGCGGGUUGAACCCGGACCGGAUUUUCCGGGUUCAAUCCGGGUCCGAUCCGGGUCCGGGUUUGGUUGCCAUCCCUAGACAUGGAUGAAACUAAUGUUAUUUAAGUAACACAUAGUUGAUUUAUAAGCUUAAUGUGUCAAAAUUGUUUAAACCUUUCCAAGAUUAACUAUUGUUUUCUUAUUAUUUCUUUUAUCUAGGUUUAAAUUUUAGGAGAAAUUUGUCAAUUUUCAAUUAUUGGGUGAUAUUGGUAUGCAAAUGAUGUGUUUUAUAGCAAUUUGAAUCUUUCUCAUCUUCAAGACUAUCAUUAGUCGAUAAUGUUGCUAUUACCUCAGGCUCUCGUGAGUCUAAACAUUUUCUAAUUAAUUGAAAAUGAUAUAAUGAUUAAUUAAUUGUUGAUAAUAAAACCAAUUUAAUACGACGUCUCCCCAUUUCUUUCUUUAUUUCUUUUAAACCUCAAUCAUUGUCAAAACCGUUAAUGGGUUGCAAUUAAACACUUAACAAAUCUUAAACUUGUUGUUAGCAAUUAACAUUUGCUAAAGGAAUCGUCUUAAGUUUCAAUUCUUUAAAUUAAUGUUAAUUAGAUUUAAGACGAAAAUUAAUUAUUCACUAAGACUUAUCUAUAAAUAAAAAGUAGAUACAAAUGUUGUAUAAUUAAAUAUGAGAUUAUGACACUAAAAUUAGGCCUUGGUAGUGGCAUUGUUGAGGGAAGAUAAAAGAACCUUCAUUCCUAUUUUAAUUAAAUUAUAUGUUAUGACGUGAAAAAAUAAACAAUCCAUUUUUGUAUUUUGUAGUUUGUGAAGAUUUGAAACAAUGUGCUUUCUUUUCAGAGUGAUAACAAUUGGAUCCAUUGCUUUUUCCUUUUAAUGUUUUAUAAACAUAUAUUGUCUAUUUGCAUCAAAUAAGUCCCAAUCUCUUUUACAAUCACUAAUAAAACACCUUUCAAUUAUUAAACUAUAAAUAUGUGUCAUUCAAAAUUAUGAUGGAAGAUAGAGAAUUUAGGGUGGGUUUCUUCACUGAAGAGUUAAAAAAAAUUGAAAUUUAAAAUUUUUCAAUAAAUACAAAUAUAAGAUGAAUAGUUUCAUUUGUUCAAUAGACUAAUCAUAUUAAAAUAAUGUUAGUAAGGAAAAUAAUUUAAAAAAUAUUCUUAAUUAAAAUAAUUUAAAAAAUGUAAAUUACCUCUCUCACCUCAUUUUUUAAGCAAAAAUAAAAAUAACUUGAAGUUUUAAAAAAUAAUUGAAGUAAUUUAAAAAUAAUCAAUUUGGAAUAAUUCAAAAUUUACCCAAGAGAUUAUUCACAAUAUCAAUCAAUGAAUUAGAAACAUUAAAUGGUAUAACAUAUAACUAUUAUUUUUAACUUAUUGAUCUCAAUCUUGAGCGUUCGGAUUAGAUCUUUGGGGUUUCAUUUUUUAGAUUUCAGUGAUUGAAAGUAUGAAACUCAAAGUAACAAAAAUUAAAUUUAUAUUUUAUCGCAAGUGAAGUGUAGGGAUUAAUCCAAUUAUUUGCGUCUAGCGUUUCUUUUUGUUGCUAUCACUCUUGUUGAUGAUGAUAAGCCUUUUUUUUUUUGCAUUGUCACUACCAAUUUAUUAUCUACAUUCAUCUAUAGAACGAAGCAAGAUGCCAAGAAAGAAAUAUAACACAAGAAAAAUAAGUUAUCCCAAUCGUUCAAAACAAAUACAUACAUAGCCAGAAAAAUAAGACAUAUCAUAUCACACUUAAAUAUUACCACUCUAAAAAGAAAAAAAGGUCAAAAGACUAACACACAUGUAAAAAGAUGACCAACAACAACACUAAACAUGUUUUGUGUAUUGAUUACUUCCACCAUCACUAACUUCAUCAUCAUCAAUAAUUUGGUUUUUUCUCUUUCUAUUCUUACUGGCAUUAGUAACAUGAAAAUCUCCCACAGAAUCUUCCAAAUUAUUUGAUAAGAUAUCAUGAGGAUCCUGUAAUUUUUUAAUCAAGGAAAUUAAAAUUAUGAGUAAACUGAACAUGCUAAUUUUAAUCAUAAAGGAAAACAACUGGGAAAUAAGAGUAAAUAAAAUUACCAUUUCUUGGGAAUGUUCUUCCUUUCUUUCAUAUAUUUCCACAUUUUCAUGAUCUGUAUUGUUUUUUUUCCUACAAAAAACAACAAUUAAAUAAUUUUUUUAACAUUACAUAUAUUGCCUACAAAUUGAACCUAGCACAGGUAGAUAAUACCUUCUUCAAUUCUUGUUCGAGCUCCAAUUUCUCAUCAGGGGUGAAAAGCUUUGACACAGUAAAAUUCUCAAGUCCCUCUUUCAAAUUGUAAUCAUUCAAUUUCAGUUUGUAAUCAUUCAAUUUCAGUUUGUAAUCAUUCAAUUUCAGUUUGUAAACAAAAUCUUUUCCACAAAGGCUUUGAAUUUCUGCAGGGACAUCCUUACUAUAUAAAGGUAGUCUAUUAAACAACUUGUGGGCUGAUGUAUCAAGUAACUUCUCAGCUACAUGAUUGAAUAAGACAAAAGUUGUCUCUGCCGUUUUAUCCAUGACUUUUAUAUGUAUUUUGUACCUACAUUAGAAUAAUGAAUUAGAAUGAAAAACUAACAACAUAAUGAGCAAUUUUUUUUAAAAAUAAUAUUAUUUUUCUUACAUCACAAGAGGAUAGUCACAUUCCUUUUUGCAAGUGCCACACAUAUAAAUACCAUUUGUAGGUAUGACCUUUUUUAUGCAUGUUUUGCACGAAACAUAGUACCAUCCAAAGGAGUUGUCUAUUUCACUAAUCUUGCCCCGCACAGUAACAAUAUAUUCCUACAAUUAAACAAUAAACAUUUAAAAAAAUAAUAAGGACAUUCCAAUAUUUAGGAACAAAUAACACAAAUGGAUGAGCAGGAAAAAAAUAGAAAAAUCACCUUCACUUGAGAACUCCAAUCAGCCUCCAAUAGUUCUUUAAUGCUCAUCCUGUUAAGGAACAUCUCUUCCUCAAAAGUAAUCUUAUUCACAUUCGAACUUUCAAUAACUUGCACAACGUUGGAGACGGUGGAAAAUCUUUCAAUUAAUGAUGCUACAUAAUCUAUUUGAAGAUUUAUAUAGAUUUUUCUUGCACUUGUGGUAGAGAAAUUAACCUCACCUGUUUAGAGCAAAUGUAACGUAAAACGAAACUUGAACAAAAUCUAAAUUUGUGUAUAAUAUUAAAAUAGCCACAUUGCAUUUGAAAAUGUUAAUUAGUGGGAUCUAAAUAAAAUAAUCACCUUGGAAUUUUUUAAUGGUUGUAGAAGUUACUAUCACAAUACAAGGACCCUCGUCUUUCUUGUACAAAUUUGAAUCAAACAUCUCCCCUAACUUUCCCCAUAAAGUAAUCUUCAUUGUUACUGAACUAUCCAUAAAAAUUAACAAAAAUUAAUAAUGUAAAGAGAACCAAUAACUAAAAAAUAACAUAAAUAACUAAAAAAAUAUAAAGUCAUAGUUUUCUUGAUUAUAUUCAACUUACUAAUCCAUUAGAAUUUUUAUAUCUCUUUUUUUCCAACCAGCUCCAACGAUCUCAAUAUCACCCACACCACAUAAACUUCCAAUAACAUCUGUAAUAUUAUGGAAAAAUAACAUAAACAUGUUAAAACAUAAGGAUUAAUAAUUUCUAAUAUACACUUAAAGAUUAACAAACAUUAAUAAUUAAAAAAAUACCUGAGAGGAUUGUGUUAUCAUUCACACGUAAAUCAAUCAAAUUCGAAGAUACGAAUUGAAAUCCAUUAAUCGGAAUCUUGACAGUUCCUUCUUCUAACCUCUUAAGAGAAGUUAUACCAAGAAAAUAAUCUUAUACUGAUUUGAAAGUGGUCUGUACUCGCCUGUAGUUGAAACAACUUUCAAAUUCUUGACAUUGUACAAAGAACCCUCACUCAACAUGUGCUUAAACCUUGUCACUAAGGUUUUCCUGAUUGUUGCAUGCAUUAGAUUUUCCUACGAAAAAAAAAAAACACAUACUACAUUCAGUGUGAAACAAUUGGGAAAAAAAAUUAGAGAAAACAAUGGGAGAAUAAAUUUUUUAUACAACCUUUUCAUCAAUAAAAAUCAUAUCAACACUAAUCAAUUCUCCAUUUUUUUUAGUAUUAGUAGACUCCCACAUCCUACAAAGCCUAACCCUUAUCAUCCAACUAUCUUUAUCAUUGUUCAACUCAUGAAGAAAAGAGUACUCCAUGAAGCACACAAUAUCAAAAAUUCAAAUAAAUCAAACAAUAAAAAUAUAAGUAUUUUUCUAAAGAGGGCGUUGAUUAAAUAAAUAAAAAAACCCUAAACAUAACAAAUCUUAAAUAUUUAGUGUUUAGAGAGCUUGAAGAAGCCAAAAGGCACUAAACAAAAGGUUGCAUAAUUAAAUAUGAGAUAAUGUCAUUAAAAUUAGGAUCUAGUGGCAUUGUUGAGGGAAGAUGAAAGAACCUCUCUUCCUAUGUUAAUUUAUUGAUUAUUUUAAGCCACUAAAGUUUAAUUGCUAGCAUAAUAAAAUUUGAAGGAGCCAAAAGACACUCAACAAAAGGUUCCAUAAUUAAAUAUAUGAUUAUGACAUUGAAAUUAGGCUCUAGUGGCAUUAUUGAGGGAAGAUGAAAGAACCUCUCUUCCUAUAUUAAUAAAUUCAUGUAUUUUAAGCCACUAAAGUUUAAUUGCUAGCAUAAUAAAAUAAAUGAAUGCUUCAAAAUACUUAUAAUUAAUUAUUAUUAAUGGUUACAUAUUGUUGGAUUUAAAUAGAAAGAGGAAGAAACAUGUACAAAGAAUAUCCACUAAUAUUUUAGAUAUUUUAGAUAAUAGAAAAUAUAAAACGAUGAGGUUGAGAGAAUGUGAAAGAACCUCUCUUCCUAUGUUAAUUAGUUGAUGUAUUUUAAGGCACUAAAGUUUAAUUGCUAGCAUAAUAAAAUUUAAAGAAGCCAAAAGGCACUCAACAAAAGGUUGCAUAAUUAAAUAUGAGAUUAUGGCAUUAAAAUUAGGCCCUAGUGGCAUUGUUGAGGGAAGAUGAAAGAACCUCUCUUCCUAUAUUAAUAAAUUCAUGUAUUUUAAGCCACUAAAGUUUAAUUGCUAGCAUAAUAAAAUAAAUGAAUGCUUCAAAAUACUUAUAAUUAAUUAUUAUUAAUGGUUACAUAUUGUUGGAUUUAAAUAAAAAGAGGAAGAAACAUGUACAAAGAAUAUCCACUAAUAUUUUAGAUAUUUUAGAUAAUAGAAAAUAUAAAACGAUGAGGUUGAGAGAAUGUGAAAGAACCUCUCUUCCUAUGUUAAUUAGUUGAUGUAUUUUAAGGCACUAAAGUUUAAUUGCUAGCAUAAUAAAAUUUAAAGAAGCCAAAAGGCACUCAACAAAAGGUUGCAUAAUUAAAUAUGAGAUUAUGGCAUUAAAAUUAGGCCCUAGUGGCAUUGUUGAGGGAAGAUGAAAGAACCUCUCUUCCUAUGUUAAUAAAUUCAUGUAUUUUAAGCCACUAAAGUUUAAUUGCUAGCAUAAUAAAACAAAUGAAUGUUUCAAAAGACUUAUAAUUAAUUAUUAUUAAUGGUUACAUAUUGUUGGAUUUAAAUAGAAAGAGGAAGAAAUAUGUACAAAGAAUAUUCAUCAAUAUUUUAGAUAUUUUAGAUAAUAGAGAAUAUAAAAAGAUGAGGUUGAGGGAAGAUGAAAUAACCUCUCUUCCUAUGUUAAUUAGGUGAUGUAUUUUAAGGCACUAAAGUUUAAUUGAUAGCAUAAUAAAUUUUGAAGAAGCCAAAAGACACUCAACAAAAUGUUGCAUAAUUAAAUAUGAGAUUAUGGCAUUAAAAUUAGGCUUUAGUGGCAUUGUUGAGGAAAAAUGAAAGAACCUCUCUUCCUAUGUUAAUUAAUUCAUGUAUUUUAUGCCACUAAAGUUUAAUUGCUAGCAUAAUAAAAGAAAUAAAUGUUUCAAAAGACUUAUAAUUAAUUAUUAUUAUUAAUUACAUAUUGUUAAAUUUAAAUAGAAAGAGAAAAAAAGUACAAAGAAUAUCCACAAUAUUUUAGAUAUUUUAGAUAAUAGAAAAUAUAAAAAGAUGAGGAAUGAUAUAUAUUAAUAAAGUUACUAUCUAUUAAAUGAGUUAAAUACAAUCAAAUUAAUUAUGAGAAGAUGAAAAGCCAAAUUUAAAAAAAAAAUAUCUAUUUAUUAGAUAAUAGAGAAUAUACAAAGAAGCAAAAUGGUGAUGCCACAUCAUCUCCUCAAGUCCUAGCUUUAUAUAGAUACUAGGAAAUAGAACCGCACUUUGUGCGGCUUUAAAAAAAGAAUUUAGUAUUAUUUUUUUUAUUACUUUACACUUGAUAAAACUGAUAAAAAAAUAUGAAUUGAUUUUCUUUUAAAGAUGACGCAGCCUUAUAAAACUAAUGUUAUUUAUGAAAGUUAAUUAUUUUUUUGUUAACUUUAAAAAUAUAUAUUAAUGUGUAUAGUUAAAUGUAAACAACCUUUUCAUCAAUAAAAAUUAUGUUCACACUAAUCAACUCUCAAUUCUUCUUGGUAUUAACAGACUCCUACAUUUUACAAAGUCUAACCCUUAUUAUCCAACUAUCUUUAUCAUUGUUUAACUCAUGAAGAAAAGAAUACUCUAUGAAGCACACAAUACAAAAAAAUUAAAUAAGUCAAAAAAUAAAAACACAAGAACAUUUCUAAAGAGGAUGUUGGUUAAAUUAAAAAAAAAUCCAAACAUAACAAAUCUUAAAUACUUAAUAUUUAUAUAGUUUGAAGAAGCCAAAAGACACUAAAUAAAGGUUGCAUAAUUAAAUAUGAAAUUAUGACAUUGAAAUUAGGUCCUAGUGGUAUUGGUGAGGGAAGAUGAAAGAACCUUCCUUCCUAUAUUAAUUAGUUGAUGUAUUUUAAACCACUAAAGUUUAGUUGUUGGCUUAAUAAAAUAAAUGAAUGUUUCAAAACUAUAAUUAAUUUAUUAUUAAUGGUUACAUAUUGUUGAAUUUAAAUAGAAAGAAGAAGAGACAUGUAAUCUUUUAUAAUCUACUAAUUAAUUUCUAUUUUUAAUAUUUUGUAAUAUAAUUAUUUUUUAAUCUCAACCAAUAUAUUAGAUUAUAGAGAAUAUAAAAAGAUGAGAAAUAAUAAUGGCACAAAUCUUAACUACUUAAUAUUUAUAGAGUUUGAAGAAACCAAAAGGCACUAAACAAAAUGUUACAUAUUAAAUAUGAGAUUAUAGCAUUAAAAUUAGACCCUAAUGGUAUUAUUGAGGGAAGAUGAAAGAACAUUCCUUCCUAUAUUAAUUAAUUGAUAUAUUUAAGCCACUAAAGUUUAAUUAUUGGCAUAAUAAAAUAAAUUAAUGUUUGAAAAUUUAUAAUUAAUUAUUAUUAAUGGUUACAUAUUAUUGAAUUUAAAUAGAAAGAGGAAGAGACAUAAUCUUUUAUAAUCUAAUAAUUAUUUUUUUAUUUUUAAUAUUUUGUAAUGUAAUUAUUUUUUUUAUAUCAACUAAUUUAUUAGAUAAUAGAGAAUACAAGAAGAUGAGAAAUAGUGAUGCCACAUCACCUCCUCUAGUCCCAACUUUAUAUAUAUAUAUAUCAACUAUAUAUAUAUAUAUAGAUAUAGAUUUUUAAUAUUUUGUAAUGUAAUUAGUUUUUAAUCUCAACCAAUAUAUUAGAUAAUAGAGAAUAUAAAAAGAUAAGAAAUAAUGAUGCCACAAAUCUUAAAUAUUUAAUGUUUAUGGAGUUUGAAGAAGCCAAAAUACACUAAACAAAAGAUUGAAUAAUUAAAUAUGGGAUUAUGACAUUAAAAUUAGGCUCUAAUAGCAUUGUUGAGGGAAGAUGAAGGAACAUUCCUUCAUAUAUUAAUAUUAAUUAAUUGAUGUAUUUUAAGCCACUAAAGUUUAAUUGUUGGCAUAAUAAAAUAAAUUAAUGUUUGAAGACUUAUAAUUAAUUAUUAUUAAUGGUUACAUAUUGUUGAAUUUAAAUAGAAAGAGGAAAAGACAUGUAAUCAUUUAUAAUCUAAUAAUUAUUUUCUAUUUUAAUAUUUUGUAAUGUAAUUAUUUUUUUAAUUUCAACCAAUUUAUUAGAUAAUAGAGAAUAUGAGAUGAAGAGAAAUGGUGAUGCCACAUCACCUCCUCAAGUCCUACCUUUAUAUAUAUACUAGAAAAUAGAACCGCGUUUCACGCGGCUUUGAAAAAGAAUUUAGCAUUAUCCUUUUUUCUUACUUUACACUUGAUAAAACUGAUAAAAAAUAUGAAUUGAUUUUUUUUUUUAAGAUGAGGCAGUCUUAUAAAAAAAUAAAAAAAGUUAUUAACCAGUAAUACAAAUAAAGAAGCAACGCAAGAUAAAGAAUAAAAUGAGAGAAUAUUGUAUAAUGAUUUUAUUCAUUACAAUUGUGUGUGUACAAAACAAAAAGAUGAGCUCUCCUUUGAUAGUUACAUAAUCACUCCAUGAAAUUAAUGAAAAAUUAUGGAUCAUAAUUCCUUGUGAGAUAGUGGGAGUUAUAGGGAAGCUAAAGGUUGCUAAUGAGAGAUAGUGGGGAGACUAAGAGAUAUAUGUUAUGAACAUCUACAUUUAUUUUAAUAAAUUCAUAACACUCCUCCUUGAAUGUUUAUUACAAAGAAUAUGUCUCAUUAAAAUCUUUACAUAAUUGUUAUUGUGUAAUAACAAUCAAAUUAAUUAUGAGAAGAUGAAAAAUCAAAUAUAAAAGAAAAUUUCUCUAUUUAUUAGAUAAUAGAGAAUAUACAAAGAUGAGAAAUGAUGAUACCACAUCACCUUCUCAAGUCCCAGCUUUAUAUAUAUAUAUAGAUAUAUAGAUAGAUAGAUAGAUAGAUUAAUUCAUGUAUUUUAUGCCACUAAAGUUUAAUUGCUAGCAUAAUAAAAUAAAUAAAUGUUUCAAAAGACUUAUAAUUAAUUAUUAUUAAUGAUUACAUAUUGUUGAAUUUAAAUAGAAAGAGAAAAAAAAGUACAAAGAAUAUCCACCAAUAGUUUAGAUAUUUUAUAUAAUAAAAAAUAUAAAAAGAUGAGGAAUGAUAUAUAUUAAUAAAGUUACUAUUUAUUAAAUGAGUUAAAUACAAUCAAAUUAAUUAUGAGAAGAUGAAAAGGCAAAUCUAAAAAACAAAAAUCUCUAUUUAUUAGAUAAUAGAGAAUAUAUAAAGAAGCAAAAUGGUGAUGCCACAUCACCUCCUCAAGUCCUAGCUUUAUAUAUAUAUAUAGAUAUAGAUAUAGAUAUAGAUAUUUUGUCCUAAUUAACUUAAAGAUUUUGAAUCUAAUAUUUUAUAAUAAAUAAAAAUAUAUUCCUAAAAUAAAUAUAAUAUCAAUAUUUAAAAUAUGUUUUAAUAUUUUACAAUCUAUCAUACACAUUUUAUUAUAGUAAAGUAGAUUUUAUAAUAAAUAUAUAAAAAAUUUAGAAUAUGUAGAAUAUUAUAUAAAAUAAUUUUAAUAUAAUGUGUGAGAUAUAUUUUAUUAAUUUAAAAUGUCAUUUUACCUAAAAAAUAUGAUAAAUUAAUAAUUACAUAUUUGAAGUUACUUCAAAUAUUAAAAAAAAUUAAUAUUAUUAAUCUUUUAGAUAGAUUAAAUUAUUUUUUAUAAGAGAGAUUAAAUUAUUUUAAAAUGCCUUAAUUGUUUUUACUUUUAACGUUACCGGCCUUUCUUUUAUUUUAUUGCAAAUUAAUACUAAUAAGAAAAAGCUAGAUCAUAUUCCACAAAAGCAAAUGUGACAAACACAACCAGCUGGAAUCUUUUAAUUACUAUUCAAUAAUUCGAGACGAUUAGGGUCUUUUAUUAAACUACAAUCCUCAAUAAUUGUUUUAAAUUGGUGGCACCUACAAUCCUCAAUAAUUGUACCGAUAUUCACAAGUUCGUGGCCCCUACAAUUCUGUUCGCAAGUGCUCAUUCACAGUCUUCCAGGCCCCUACAAUUCUGUUCCGAUAAUUUAACUGUGCAAGUGCUUAAUAAUUGUUUUGUUUUUUUCUGCAUUCCCUUUCAUGCUCUUAAUAAUUGAAGAGCAUACUUUUCAAAUGUGGAGCCGCAGCUAAUGUCGUUAAUUUAAUUUGGGAUUAAAUUAGGGGACCAUUAUAUUGCAGUGUGCACUAAUUUUUGUGUUUAUCUAAACUCCUUAAAUUUAAGACAUAUUACGGCAUAAAUAAGAAUAUAACAAUAACAAAAGAGUUAGAAAGUGUAGAGAAGAUCUUGCAGAAAUAUAAAUAAUAUCAAUUUUAAAAUAAUUUUUAAUAUUUUAUGAUCCAUUAAAUAUAUUUUAUUAUAUUAAAAUAAAUUUUAUAAUAAAUAAAAACAUCCUAUUAAAAUGAAUAUAUAGAAAAUUUAGAGUAUUUUAAGUAUUAUAUAAAAUAAAUUUAAUAAAAUAUGUGAGAUAUUCAUAGUUUAUUAAUUUAAAAUACCAUUUUAAAAUUAAAGAUUUAUUUAUGAUAAAUUAAUAAUUAUAUUUUUGAAAUUACUUCAAAUAUUAAAAAAUUAAUAUUACUAAUCUAUUAGAUAGAUUAAAUUAUAUAUAUUAUUUUCUAUUUAUUAAAAAAUUAAAAUUAUUUUUAAUUACUAUUCAAAAAAUAUAAUGAUAAAAAAAAUCUUAACAUCUUUAUUAAAAAUUUAAAAAUUUACGUGAUCAAUUCUCUAAAUAUUUAGGGUAUAUGUGAACCACGGUGGAGAAGCUUUAUUUAAUAUUAUUGAUUUAAAUAAUAUGUCAAUUAAAAAUGUGCGGAGAAGAAAUUUCGGUGGAUAUUUUAGUCUUUUCAGCAAUUAUCAUGAUCAGAUCUAGGGAUGGCAAUGGAGAGGGGAGGGGAGGGGACCGAUCUCCCCGUACCCAUCCCCGAUAUUUUGCGUAUGUCCCCGUCCCCUCCCCGUCCCCAUCAGAAUUACUUGAGAGAAUCACCAUCCCCUCCCCGAAUAAUAACAGGGGAUCCCCGAUGGUCCCCGAUCCCCGAAUAACUAAUACAUUUUUUUUCAAUUUUGAGUUAAUCAUAUUAAAAUAAAAAAUUCAAAUAAAAAUAAAGUUCGAAAUAUAUCUUACAUUAAUAUCUAUUACAAAAGUCACAUACAUUAAAUUAGUAAGUAACGCAACAUGCAAGGAAUACAAACUUCUUUUACAAACUAUCAUGAACAAAUUAAUAGUUUAAUACAAAAUUGUUACAAAUAAAAUCGAAUUUAGAUUCAAAAUUAACUUUUUCAAUGGUGGCGUGGGCACUUUAUAAAUGUGGAUUAUUCCCUUUACAACACAAUAGUUAAAUCGGAGCAAAUCAAAAGUAAAUAUUAGAUUGGAUUAGAUUAGAUUAGAUUAGAUUAGAUUAGAUAUUAAAAUUGUGAUUCGCUGUGGACAAUUAUAACAUCUAAAAAUAAAUAAAAAAUAGAUUUAAGUUUAAAAUAUUUAAAGAAUAUUAAAAUUAAAAAAAAAUGUUUGGCUAAUAGAAUCUACUUGGUCUUUUUAAUGUCGUAAAUAAAAAUUUAAGACUUUAAUUAGUUAAUUAGGCCUAAAAAUUUAAUAAUAUAAAUAUUUUGAUAUUUUUUAUUUUUACCAAUAUUUAUAAGUGGAUUCUUUUACUAAACUAUAAAUUAAAAGUGGAUUCUUUUGAAUACAAGUGGGACAGACGAUUAGGCUCUUUUUAUUAAACGCAAGUAAAAAGUAGUCGAAUAGUCUUUUUCAAAUUAUUGUUUUAUUAUUUUUCCUUCAAAAGUUAGCGUGGCUCAUGUUUGCAGGUGCGAAUGUGCGAUGCUCUUUUUUUAAAGGCAAUUACAGUGGGUCCCGAAUCAUUACUAAAAUUUCUCUUCCUCAGCCCACCGCAGCUUCAGUUAAUCAAACUCAAUCAAUUUUCUUUCUUAACAAAAUUCUAAAGAUGUGUAGCAUUUUUCAGAUCACAUGCGAUGGUGCUUUUUUCAAUCGUUGCUUGGAUUGCUUUCUUGGAAAAGCAGCAUACAUACGUAACCUCCAAGAUAAUCUUGAUGCCUUGGAGACUGAAUUGGGAAAUCUGAUCGCUAGAAAGAACGAUGUGAUGAGGAGGGUUGUCGAUGCUGAACGGCAACAAAUGAGAAGGCUGGACGGAGUGCAAGUGUGGGUUUCGAGGGUGGAUUCUGUUAAAACUGAAGCCGAUGAACUUAUCACAGACGGCUCUCGAGAAAUUGAAAAAUUAUGUGUUGGAGGCUACUGUUCCAAGAACUGCAGGUCAAGCUACAAAUUCGGGAAAAAAGUGGCUAAAAAGCUACGGGAUGCGCGGACUUUAAUCAGUGAAGGAGUUUUUGAGGUGGUGGCUGACAGAGCUCCAGAGUCUGUAGCAGAUGAAAGACCUACUGAGCGAACAGUAGUAGGCUUGCAAUCACAACUUGAACAAGUCUGGAGAUGUCUUGUAGAAGAAUCAGCGGGAAUCAUUGGCCUAUAUGGUAUGGGCGGUGUUGGUAAAACUACACUACUGACCCAUAUCAACAACAAAUUUCUCGAGAGUCCAACCAACUUUGAUUGUGUGAUUUGGGUUGUAGUUUCAAAAGACCUGCGACUCGAAAAAAUUCAAGAAGAUAUUGGGAAAAAGAUAGGUUUGGUUGGUGAUUCAUGGAAGAGUAAAAGUGUAGAGGAGAAAGCUGUCGACAUCUUCCGGAGUUUAAGAGAGAAGAGAUUUGUAUUGUUGUUAGAUGAUAUAUGGGAGCGGGUUGAUUUAACAAACGUGGGCGUUCCACUUCCCGGACCAAAAAAUACUACCUCAAAAGUCGUAUUCACAACCCGUUUCAUCGAUGUUUGUGGUAGCAUGGAAGUUGACAGGAAGUUUCAAGUAGCAUGCUUAUCAGAAAAGGAUGCUUGGGAACUGUUUCGAGAAAAAGUUGGGGAAGAAACUCUUGAGAGUCAUCAUGAUAUCGAUGAGCUAGCCCAAAUUGUGGUCAAAGAGUGUGGUGGUUUGCCACUCGCACUUAUUACUAUUGGUCGAGCUAUGGCCUACAGAAAGAAAGCGGAGCAGUGGAGACGUGCAAUUGAAGAGUUAAGGAGAUCAGCUUCAGAGUUUGCAGGUUUGGGAAAAGAGGUGUAUCCUCUUUUAAAAUUCAGCUACGAUAGUUUGCAGAAUGAUAGUUUGCAGAAUGAUACGGUUAGAUCUUGUUUCUUGUACUGUUGUUUAUAUCCUGAAGAUUAUGUCAUUCCUAAAUGGGACUUGAUUGAUUGUUGGAUUGGUGAGGGAUUUUUUGGGGAAUCUGACAGGUCUGGUGCAGAAAACCAAGGAUAUGACAUUUUGGACACUCUUGUUCGUGCAUGUUUAUUAGAAGAGGUGGAAGAUGAUAAAGUAAAAAUGCAUGACGUUAUUCGUGAUAUGGCUAUAUGGAUAACUUGUGAAAUUGAGAAGGAGAAUAGAAAAUUUUUGGUUUGUGCAGGUGCUGGAUUAAAAGAGGCACCGGGUGUUAAAGGAUGGGAAAAUGUGAGAAGAUUGUCAUUGAUGCAAAACCAAAUUGAAACUCUGUCAGAGGUUCCCACAUGCCCUCAUCUCCUCACUUUAUUUCUUGACUUUAAUUAUAAUUUGAGGAUGAUCGCGGAUGGCUUCUUCCAACUUAUGCCUUCUCUCAAAGUUUUGAAGAUGUCACUCUGCCGGAAUUUAACUUUGAAAUUACCUUUGGGGAUGUCAAAGUUAGGUUCACUGGAACUUCUCGAUAUUUCAUAUACCUACAUACAAGAGUUACCACAAGAGUUAAAGUUGUUGGUAAAUCUGAAAUGUUUGAAUUUGAGGUGUACACACAGGUUAAAUAAAAUUCCACGGCAACUAAUAUCAAAUUAUUCAAGGUUACGUGUGUUGAGAAUGUUCGCUAGUGGCUGGUUCAAUUUUCAUGAAGCAUCAGAAGAAAGCGUUUUAUUUGGUGGGGGUAAAGUUUUGAUACAGGAAUUGCUCGGUUUGAAAUAUUUAGAGGUAUUGGAGUUGACCUUGGGAAGUUAUCAUGCUCUCCAAAUUCUUUUGAGCUCAAAUAAGUUAAAAAGUUGUAUUCGAUCUCUUUACCUCCAUUUGACCGGAGAUACAGCGUCAAUUAUUGAUGCUACGGCUUUCGCAGAUCUAAACCACCUCAAUGAAUUAUGGAUUGAUAAUGGUAUUGAGUUGGAAGAAUUGAAGAUUGAUUAUACGGAGAUAGUACGAAAAAGGCGGGAACCUUUUGUUUUCCGCAGCCUUCACCGUGUUACCAUAUAUAGUUGCAGUAAAUUGAAAGAUGUGACAUUCCUCGUUUUCGCUCCAAACCUCAAGUCUCUUACGCUAUUCAAUUGCGGUGCUAUGGAAGAAAUAAUCAGCGUCGGAAAAAUUGCUGAGACUCCUGAGAUGAUGGGACAUAUAAGCCCUUUUGAAAAUCUCCAAAGGCUUAAUUUAAAAGAUUUGCCAAAUUUGAAGAGCAUCUACUGGAAGCCAUUGCCUUUUACUCGUCUGAAAGAAAUGGCGGUACUUGGGUGCGAUCAGCUUGAAAAGCUUCCGGUCGAUUCCAACAGUGCAAAAGAGCGUAAAUUUGUAAUUCGUGGAGAAGAAGACUGGUGGAACCGACUUCAAUGGGAGGAUGAAGCCACUCAAAUUGCUUUUCGUUCCUGUUUCCAACCUUAUUCCUGAGCGGUGGUCGCAAAAUUUGAUUUCUGGUGAGUGCGUUUUUCUUUGAACUCUUGUACAUAUUCUUGUCGUUUGCUUCACGCAAAACACUAGGUCUUUUCUUCAGUCCGUUACCUACACGCAAAACACUGGUUCUUUUCUCUGUUUUUAUUUCAGUUAGUUUCUCUCUCUCUCUCUCUCUCUGUGUCUUCUGUAAAUCACAAUUAAAUGUUGAAUUAAUGGAAUUAAUGCUUCAUAAAUUUGCCGGCACUGCCGUUACUUUAUUUUAGGGGGGUCGAAUUGGUGCUCUGGUUUUUUACUUUUUGCUGUCAAAUUUUGGCCUUUUUUUUUUUUUUAACAAGUUGAUACUUUAUUUAUAUCUUCUUAGCGAUUUAAUUUCCUGUCAAAAGAGGAACGAGAAGAACAUAUGACUUAAACCAAUGCUCGCAUAAACUUGCUGUAAAAAGAUGUAAUCUCACUGAAAUGCACACGUCUAGAAUGAAUAGAAUUAAAACAGGGAAAAUAUUAAGUAUAUUAGCCCUCUUUACCGAAAAUCAAAUGACAAUAAAUUUUUGGAAGUUUUGAUUUUCUACGGUCAAUUCGACCUUUUGCAAUUUCUUCUGUUCUAACAAAAACCAAAUUCUUUGUUCAAGUAUUUUCGUUUGGGUAUCAAGGAUCUCUAAUCAAUAGCUGGAAGCAAUUCAGAGGGCGCCGAGACCCGAUCCGACCUAGGCCCAAGUUUGGUCUUAAAGCCUGGGCUUGAGCCUGACAAUUAAAUUAAAACAUUAAUUGAUUUAUUGAUUGAAUUGUCGUGCAAUUGAUUUAUGGGGGAUGAAAAUUCAACAUACUUGAAAAUACACUAAUCUUAGCAUCAUCGGUUAAUAACUUUUAGAUUUAUGGGUAAUCAAUAGUUAAGAUCAGUUGUCAUUUAUUUUUUGAAAUGUCCAUAUUCAGUGUACAUUUGAAAAAGACCCAAUAAUUUCUCAUAAAUUUCAAUUAAAAAUAUUCAAUUUGUUAUUUCAGUUCUUUUAUUUUUUAUUUUUUCCAACAUGAAAGCGACUUAAUGUUACUAAAUUGAAGCCGCUGCCCCGCCUGUGGUUCCAAACUUUUAUCUUCCUCCUCCUUUAAAUUAAUGCGAGCAGCCUCCGUCCUUGACUAGUUGACUUCUUUUCUUCUUUUUUAAUUAAUUAAUUAAUUAAUUCAGCCGCCCACCUUUCUUUUCCCAAUGUCUUCUACUUUCGAUUUCCUUUUAUUUUCUCUUUAUUUUUAAAAUAUGCUUAUAGUAAUAAUAAAAAAUAAAAAUAAAAAUAAAAAUAAAAAUGAACAUAUUAAAAUAUAAUUUAUCAGAAAACCAAGAUAAAGAAAUAUUAUAAGCACAUCAAUCAAAAAGUGAAAAAAAAAACAAUUUUAAUUUACAUUAAAUAUAAACUUUCAGUGUUAAUCAACUUUUCUAAAUAACUGAAAUUAUUUAAAAUAAAAAUAAAUUAUUCUUCCCAAAAAAACAAAAAUUACACCCACUCUUGGCUGUAUGUCAAGAUUCGCUUUAAGGACUGAAGUUGGUAACUUUUGCAAGCAGUCUUAAAUUGAAUGGCAGCAACCCACGCUUUCAGAUUUAUGGUUAAUCAAUAGCUGAGAGUUGUUAUCGCUAAUGCCGUGUAUUUUUUUUAAUGUUUUUUCUCUCUCCUACAGCAUCUUCUAGGAAAGUGCAUCCGUUGCUAAAAUUUAGUAUUGUAAAUAAUAAACCAAGAAUAAAUAUUAAAUUUAAGAAACUGUAUUGCAUUUAAUAUUUAAGGGAGAAAAAUAAUUGUAGUGUCUUUAUUAAUCAGUAAAAAGAAAAGAUUAGAAUCAUAAUAAAUUGUAUUGUUAUUGAUGUAUUUAUUUUAUUUUAUACUCAAAAUAAAUUAUUUUAAAUUAUUAAAAUAUUAUUAUUGUUAUUCUAAUAAUAAUUAUUAUUUAAUAUUUAUUAAAAUAUUUGUCAUAUUACUAAAAAAGCAAUAAUAAUAAUGAUAAUAUUGGAAUUGUUGUUUUUUAUCUUAUUAUUAAUCAAAACACUUCUGGUUAGCCCAUUCAUACGUGAAGACCAAAACCAAAUCUCUUCUUCUCCUUCUUUUCUUAAAAUACGGGAUGUGUGUGCUCGGACUGCUCUCUCAUUCUUAAAACAAGACUUUUUGAAUUAUCCAAUUAAGUUAAAUUCUGUGGCAUCUGGUAUUUUCAUUUCUUGUUUAUUUCGCAAGUUAUUAUUGCCUAAUGCUAUGUCAACUCUAACAUUAGCAUAUAUAUUUUUUUUUUGGUCGUCUUUUAACACCAAACAUUAGUGUAGGUUAAGUAACAUAAUCAGUACUGGGACAAUUUGAAAUCCCUUUGUGUUUUAUUCACAGUAUCUAUGAGGGUUUAUCCUUUUGCUAGAACAAACUCUAGCAAAUUGUCAAAUGUACUUAUCCUUUCGCUUGAUGACUCAUUUUAAAAUUGUCUUUCAAUGUACACACACAGAGAUAACCACCGACAUCAAGCACCAAGUUUGGAAUUUAAUUGAUAAGCAUACAUUUGAUAAAUUAAUGAAAAGUUUGGGAGAAUAGUUUUGAUCACCCUCGAUUAGGAUGGUAUCACGAAAAAGAUCAAAAAGAAAACAUCGUCUCUUCUUCAACAAAAAUAAAUAUUUUCCGUUAGAAUUUAAAUAAAAUAAUUAUUUUUUUAUUUUUUGAAUUAAAAUUUAAUUAAAUACACAAAUAAAUUAUAUAUUUUUAAAAAAAAAUUUACACCCAGUCACAAGGCUGGCUAUUAAACUUAAAGGGAAGCUUCGGAGACUAAAGUUGGUAACAUCUCCAAGUGGUCUUAAGUUGACCGGAACUACCCCGACUUUAUGUUUGGUAGCCUAGACCUGAUCGGACCUAGGCCCAAGUUUGGUCUUAAAGUCCACAAUUAAAUUGAUUUGUUAAUUUAAUUGUUGUGUAAUUGAUUUAUGGGGAAUGAAUCAGCAUCCCUAAAAUUACACUAAUCUUGACAUAAUGACAUCAUCGGUUAAAAACGUUCAGAUUUAUGGCUAAUCAAUGGUUUGAGAUUUGUUAUCAUUAAUGCUAAAUAUUUUUUAACAUUUUUUCUAUCUCUCUCUCCUGAAGGAAUUUUCUAAGAAAAUGCAUCCACAACACAAAUUUUAAGGAUCACACUAUGUUACGUUAAACGUAACGUACACACACUCACAGCAACAGUAACAGGUCACGUCUUGUUACUGUUGCUGUGAGUGUGUGUAUAUUACGUUUAACAUAACAUAGCAUAGGCCAAAUUUUAAAUUGUAAACAAUAAACAAAAUAUAAACGUUAAAUUUAAGGAACUGCGUUGCAUUUCAGCUGAAGCUAACUUUAAUAUUUUACGAAAAAAAAUAAUUAAAUCUUUAAUGUGAUUUAUUUAUUAAUAUAUAUGACUAAUUUUUUAAAAUAAGAUGCAGGAUGAAACUUAAAAAUAUAAAUUAUAGAAUUAAUUUCUCUCUUCAAUAAAUCUAAAGUUUAUUUUUUUUAUUACAUGCUUCUAUUUUAUUUUUAUUCCAUGUUAAUGAUUGGAGAUUUAAAUCCAUUUCGGAUUUAUAAAUAUGUUUAGAUAUCUAAAUCCACGUGUGAUUCCAAACUAUAACCUUUUUUUUUUUCUAAUUAAUGCAAACAGCCGCCUCUUUGGACUGCUUUUCUUCUUUGAUUAUUAAUUAAUUAAUUCAGCUGCCCACCUUUCUUUUCCUAAUGUUUUCUACUCUCAAAUUUUUUUAAGGACAAGGCUACGUUGCAGACGCUGUACCUAACAGCUGCACCUUAGCCAGCUUCACAAAGGGUGCAUUUGGUAAGCAAUUUUUCUUUCCUGUGCAUAUGUGUCCUUCCACCAUUGGGUGUACGUAACAGAUAAUGUACCGUAACAAGCUCCUAUUUUUAAAUAUGUUUAUAAUGAUAAAAUAUAAAAAUUAAGAUUAAAAUGUAAUGUAAUAUAAAAUUAAAGGUGGAAGAGUAUUAAAAUAAUGUAUAAGAUAUGAAUAAACAAGUCAAUAAGAAAACAAACAAACGGCAAGAGAAAAGGAAUGGUCAUGCAGAUUUUAAGGUGGCAGUGACAAUGAGAUCUCAUUUUAACCGAUAAAGUCUUUUGAAUUUGUCAACUCAAAAAAAUAGAUUCAAAUGUUUUGUAAUAAAUGAAAAUAUAAUAUUAAAAUAAAUGUGAUAAUAUAUAUUUUAAAUAAUUUCAAUACAAAAAACAUUUGAAUGUUUUAUAAUUUAUUAGACAUAUUUUAUUAUAUUAAUAUAAAUUUUCUAAGAAAUAUGGACAUAAUAUUAAAAUAAAUUUAUGAAAAAUUUAAAUUAUUUUGAAUGUAAAAACAUUUGAAUGUUUUAUAAUUUAUUAGACAUAUUUUAUUAUAUUAAUAUAAAUUUUUCUAAAAAAUAUGGACAUAAUAUUAAAAUAAAUUUAUGAAAAAUUUAAGUUAUUUUGAAUGUAAAAACAUUUUAAUGUUUUAUAAUUUAUUAGAAAUAUUUUAUUAUAUUAAUAUAAAUUUUCUAAGAAAUAUGGACAUAAUAUUAAAAUAAAUUUAUGAAAAAUUAAAUUAUUUUGAAUGUAAAAUAAUUUUAAUAUUAUUAAUCCAUUAAGUAUUAAUUAUAAAAAUUAUUUAACCCAAAGAUUAUUUAUAUCCUUACAAUAAAUAUAAAUAUAUUAUUUGCAUUUAAAAAUUUAAAAAUAUUUAAAUAAUAUUAAUCUACAAUUAUAUUUUCAUUUAUUAUAAAUAUUUAAAGUCAAAUCUUUUGCACUUGUAUUUUAUUACAAUUAUGGCGCACAAAGAAAGAGCCAUAUAUGCUUUAUAGCGUUAGAAAUUGGUUUCUUUUAAAGCUGGAAACAGAGAGGAUGAUUAUUAUAAGGAGAAAAGAAAAAGGGAUAAAGAAUAUUAAUGAUUAACAAAAUCUCUCUGCAAAUUGAUUGCAGUAGAAAAAAAGUGAGCUGAGCAAUCUAAUUUAGUGGUAGAGUGAUAUUUCAUUUGUAGCAAAUUACAUCUCAAGGUUAAAGGAAAGACUUAAGAUCUCAGCUUUUGAUCAUAAUACUUUUUUUAAAGAAAAAAAUUAAUUUUAAUAUUUUAUAAUAAAUAAAAAUAUAAUCUUAAAAUAAAUACAAACACACUAUUAAUAGUACAUAUUUUAAAAUAAUCUCAUUAUUUAAAAUUGUUUUAAUAUUUUGUAAUUUGCCAGACAAAUUUUAUUAUUUUCAAGUAAAUUUUAUAAUAAAUACAAACACACUAUUAAGAUAAAUAUAUGAAAAAUUUAAAGUAAUUUGAAUCUUAUACAAAAUAAUUUUAAUAUUGUUAAUAGUGAGAUAAUUCUAUUAAUUUAAAAUGCUACUUAACCUUAAGAUUUAUUUAAGAUAAAUUAAUAAUUACAUUUUUAAAUUAUUUCAAAUAUUAAAAAUAUUUUAAUAUUAUUUAUCUAUUAGAUAGACUAAAUUAUUUAAAUUAUUUUGUAUAAAUUAAUUCUAUUUAAAGGAUAUUAUGAUAAAAAGAUCUUAGUGUUUUUAUUAAAAAUUUAAAAUUUAUAUGACUAUUUCUUUAAAUAUUUAGGGUAUAUAUGAACCACCGAGGAGAAAAGCUUUAUUUAAUAUUUUUGAAUAGUUUUUGAUCAGUACAAUUGCGUCCUUAUUCAGAAUUAUUGUUCUCUUCCGCAACAGUUUUUGUUUAUCAAAGUCAUCAAUUAAAAUUUUAGAAUUCUUAUCAUCAGAAGUAGUCGUUUUAGAAGUUGGGUCUUGGAUCAAAUUUCUACGAGUGCAUGAAUUAACAAUAAAAAAAAUUUCAUUACACACGGUUUAAGCUACAAAACUACUAUUUGCACAGUUGACUAUAAAACUUACCUCCAAUUACACUAAACCUCUCUAUUUGGUAACGUUGAGACUAAAUUAAUUUUAUUAGCAUGAAAAGAUAAUAGAAAUAUUAUCAUAAAUAUAAUUGUUGUUAAUCAAUUAGUACAUGUGAUAUAAAGGUUAAAUGUGCACUAUAUUUAAUAAAUAAUUAAUGGAACAUGUUAAACAAAAUGUUAAUGUAUAUUUAUAUAGUGUUAGGAAUAUGCAAAGUCAAGUCCUCAAUUUGCAUUAUCCUGUAUAGAAUAUUACUCUAAAAAUGUUUUACUAUAAUUGGCUUAGAACAUUUGUAAAGAAAAUAAUAAUCGUAAUAAUAAAUAACAUACACCGUCACAUAGCAUCUAGACAAUGAUAGAAAAUUAUUAAAGGGAGUGCAAACAAUUAAUUAGAAAUUUUUAUGAUAACUUUUAAUAUUCAUGAUAAUAACAAAUAAAUACAUGUACCACUUUUUAAAAAUAUUAAAUUUGACGUGCUCCAUUAAUAAAUUAUUAUUGUAAUUCAGACUCUAUCUAUAUAUCCUUGCAUUAAGAAUAAUUAAGUCAUAAUAAAAAUUUUCGUAACUACAUCUCAUUUCUUCCUCAUAAUAAUAAUUAGAUUGGUUCGAAUAUUAUAACUAUAUAGAUUUAGGGCGUGUUUGGUGCAUGGGAUUAUGUGGUAUUACACUACUAUUCACAUUAGCUUAUUUCCAAGAAGAUGUUUGGCAAACUUUGACACCUCAUUAUGCUGCAUUAUAAUGCAGCAUAAUGAGGCAUGGGGCCGCAUUACGCAAACCCGAGGGAACCUCGGGUUUGCGUAAUGCAGAAGCUUUUUGCCUCAAUUGAGGCAACAGUUAAUGCCUCAAUUGAGGCAAAUUUAUUUUAUUAAAAUAUUAUAAAAAUAAAUUAUUUUAUUAUUAAAUACUAAUAUAAUGAAUAAAAUAUAAAAAUAAAUUAUAUGAUAAUAUUAUUUUAUUUAUUAAUGAUUCAUAUAAAAAUAAUAUAUUAAUAUUAUAAUAUUAUUUACAUUAAUAUUAAUUUUAAAAUUAAUAUUAUUUAAAUUUAUAAUUAUUUAUGUUAAAUUAUAAAUUUAUUAAUAUAUUAAAAUGUAAAAAUAAUAAUAUAUUGUAAAUUAAAAUAUAAUUGAAUAUUAUUGAAUAAUAAUUUAUUAAUUUAUAUUAACAAUUAUAAUAUUAAUUAUAAUCUAAAUUUAUUAUUUACAUAUAAUAUUAAAUUUUAUAAAUUUAUUUUAUCAUAAUUAUAAUACAAAUUUUAGAAAUUUAAUCAUUAAUUUUUAAUAUUUACUAAAAAAAUUGUUAAAUUUCUACAAUUAAGAUUUCUAUAUUUAUUAUUUUUCUAAGUAUUAAUAAAUAUUAAUUUUUAAUUAUUUAAUUUAAUUAAUUAUAAAAAUUAAUACAAUACAAUGUAACACCAAAUAUAGUUUAAUUAAAAAUUAAUACAGUACAGUGUAGCACCAAACAUUGUACAGCAUUAUUAUAAUACAAUACUAACGCAAUACAGCAUAAUACAAUACACCAGCAUUAAAAUAAUGCAAUACAACAUAAUACAAUACAAUGUACCAAACGCACCCUUAGUGUAUAGCCACAUCCAAUUUAAAUAUUGACCCAAUUGGGAUGGUCCCCAAAAAAAAAAUUCGUUAAAGGAUAAUUCUAAUUAUUUUUACUUCUCAAACGUUAGUGGGACGUUUCUAUUAGCGCACUCGUAAGCCAAGUUGUCAAAUAUUUAUAUUAAACUACAAUUGCUGACAAGAAAAAUCAAGAUCGUGUUGCGCAAGUGGGUCCCGAAUAGGACGUGCCUAAAUCUCUCGUAAGCCAAGUUGUCAAAUGUUUAUAUUAAACUAACAAUUGCUGACUAGAAAAAUCAAGAUCGUAUUACAAGUGGGUCCCGAAUUGGACGUGCCUAAAUCUUUUUAUAAUUUUCCCAGUGUAGCGGACAGAGGUCAUUACUAAAUUUCUCUUCCACACGCCACAGCAGCUUCGGUUAAUCAAACUCAAUCAAUUUUCUUGGCUUCUCCGCUUAUCAAUAUUACAAGGUAUGGGUAGCAUUUUUCAAAUCACAUGCGAUGGUACUAUUUUCAAUCGUUGCUUAGAUUGCUUUCUUGGAAAAGCAGCAUACAUAAGUAACCUCCAAGAUAAUCUCGUUGCCUUGGAGACUGAACUAAGGAAACUAAUCGCAGCAAAGAACGAUGUGAUGACGGCGGUUGUCAAUGCUGAACGGCAACAAAUGAGAAGGCUGGACCAAGUGCAAGUGUGGGUUUCGAGGGCGGAAGCUGUUAAAACUGAAGCUGAUGAACUUAUCAGAGGCGGCUCUCAAGAAAUUGAAAAAUUAUGUCUUAGAGGGUUCUGUUCCAGGAACUGCACGUCAAGCUACAAGUUCGGAAAACAAGUGGCUAAAAAGCUACGAGCUGUGGAGACUUUAAUCGCCGAAGGAGUUUUUGAGGCGGUGGCUGCCGAGGUGGUGCCUGAGAGAGCUCCAGAGCCUGUAGCAGAUGAAAGACCUACCGAGCGAACAGUAGUAGGCUUGCAAUCACAACUUGAACAAGUCUGGAGAUGUCUUGCAGAAGAAUCAGCGGGAAUCAUUGGCCUAUAUGGUAUGGGCGGUGUUGGUAAAACUACACUAUUGACCCAUAUCAACAAUAAAUUUCUCGAGAGUCCAACCAACUUUGAUUGUGUGAUUUGGGUAGUAGUUUCAAAAGACCUGCGACUUGAAAAAGUUCAAGAAAAUAUUGGGAAAAAGAUAGGUUUGGUUGAUGAUUCAUGGAAGAGUAAAAGUGUAGAGGAGAAAGCUCUCGACAUCUUCCGGAGUUUAAGAGAGAAGAGAAUUGUAUUGCUGUUAGAUGAUAUAUGGGAGCGGGUUGAUUUAACAAAAGUGGGCGUUCCACUUCCAGGACCACAAAAUACUACCUCAAAAGUCGUAUUCACAACCCGUUUCAUCGAUGUUUGUGGUAGCAUGGAAGCUGACAGGAAGUUCCAAGUAGCAUGCUUAUCAGAAAAGGAUGCUUGGGAACUGUUUCGAGAAAAAGUUGGGGAAGAAACUCUUCAGAGUCAUCAUGAUAUCGUUGAGCUAGCCCAAAUUGUGGUCAAAGAGUGUGGUGGUUUGCCACUCGCACUUAUUACUAUUGGUCGAGCUAUGGCCUACAGAAAGAAAGCGGAGCAGUGGAGACGUGCAAUUGAAGAGUUAAGGAGAUCAGCCUCAGAGUUUGCAGGUUUGGGAAAAGAGGUGUAUACUCUUUUGAAAUUCAGCUAUGAUAGUUUGCAGAAUGAUACGGUUAGAUCUUGUUUCUUGUAUUGUUGUUUAUAUCCUGAAGAUUAUGGCAUUCUUAAAUGGGACUUGAUUGAUUGUUGGAUUGGCGAGGGAUUUUUUGGGGAAUCUGACAGGUCUGGUGCAGAAAACCAAGGAUAUGACAUUUUGGACACUCUUGUUCGUGCAUGUUUAUUAGAAGAGGUGGAAGAUGAUAAAGUAAAAAUGCAUGACGUUGUUCGUGAUAUGGCUGUAUGGAUAACCAGUGAAAUUGAGAAAGGGAAGAGAAACUUUUUGGUUCGUGCAGGUGCUGGAUUAAAAGAGGCACCGGAUGUUAAAGGAUGGGAAAAUGUGAGAAGAUUGUCAUUGAUGCAAAACCAAAUUGAAACUCUGUCCGAGGUUCCUACAUGCCCUCAUCUCCUCACUUUAUUUCUUGACUUUAAUGAGAAGUUGAAGAUGAUCACGGAUGGCUUCUUCCAAUUUAUGCCUUCUCUCAAAGUUUUGAAGAUUUCACACUGUGGUAGGAAUUGGAAAGAUUUGAAAUUACCUGUUGGGAUGUCAAAGUUGGGUUCACUAGAACUUCUUGAUAUUUCACAUACGCUGAUAACAGAGUUACCAGAAGAGUUAAAGUUGUUGGUAAAUCUGAAAUGUUUGAAUUUGAGGUCGACAGAAUUGUUAAUUAGAAUUCCACGGCAACUGGUAUCAAAUUCUUCAAGGUUACGUGUGUUGAGAAUGUUCGCUACUGGCUGGUUAAAUUUUCAUGAAGCACCAGAAGACAGCGUUUUAUUUGGUGGGGGUGAAGUUUUGAUACAGGAAUUGCUCGGUUUGAAAUAUUUAGAGGUAUUGGAGUUGACCUUGCGAAGUUAUCAUGCUCUCCAAAUUCUUUUGAGCUCAAAUAAGUUAAAAAGUUGUAUUCCAUCUCUUUUCCUCCAGUUGGCCGGAGAUACAACGUCGAUUAUUGAUGCUGCGGCUUUCGCAGAUCUAAACCACCUCAACGAUUUAUUUAUUUAUAAAGGCAUUCAGUUGGAAGAAUUGAAGAUUGAUUAUACAGAGAUAGUACAAAAAAGGCGGGAACCUUUUGUUUUCCGCAGCCUUCACCGUGUUUCUAUUGGGGGGUGCGAUAAAUUGAAAGAUGUGACAUUCCUCGUUUUUGCUCCAAACCUCAAGUCUCUUUGGCUAUUCGAUUGCGGUGCUAUGGAAGAAAUAAUCAGCGUCGGAAAAUUUGCUGAGACUCCUGAGAUGAUGGGACAUAUAAGCCCUUUUGAAAAUCUCCAAAGGCUUGAAUUAUGGGAUUUGCCAGCUUUGAAGAGCUUCUACUGGAAGCCAUUGCCUUUCACUCAUCUGAAAGAAAUGGUGGUACAUGGGUGUCAUCAGCUUAGAAAGCUUCCACUCGAUUCCAACAGAGCAAAAGAGCGUAAAUUUGUUAUUCGUGGAAAAGCAGACUGGUGGAACCGACUUCAAUGGGAGGAUGAAGCCACUCAAAUUGCUUUUCGUUCCUGUUUCCAACCUCGUUCCUGAGCGGUGGUCGCAAAAUUUGAUUUCUGGUGAGUGCAUUCGUCUUUUAAAAGAAGAAUUUAAAAGAAAUUUAUUCUUGUCGUUUUCUUCUCUGUUUUUAUUUCAGUUUCUUUCUCUCUCUCUCUCAAGGAUCUCUAAUCAAUAGCUGGAAGCAAUUGAGAGGCGCCGAGACCCGAUCGGAUCUAGGCCCAAGUUUGGUCUUAAAGCCUGGGCUUGAGCCUGACAAUUAAAUUAAAACAUUAAUUGAUUUAUUGAUUGAAUUGUUGUGUAAUUGAUUUAUGGGGGAUGAAACAUCAACAUACUUGAAAAUACACUAAUCUUAGCAUCAUCGGUUAAUAACUGUUAGAUUUAUGGGUAAUCGUAAUCAAUAGUUAAGAUUAGUUGUCAUUAAUACUAAAUAUUUUUUACUAUUUUUGUCUCUACUAGAGGAUCUUCUAGAAAAAUGCAUCCACAACAAAAUUUAAUAUUUUACAUAAUAAACAAAAUAUAAAUGUUAAAUUUAAGAAACUGCAUUGCAUUUCAGCUGAAGCUGACUUUAAUAUUUAGGGUAGAAAAACAAUUAAAUCCUUAAUGUGUUUAAUUUCUAUCACUUGUGUCAUUAAAAUUUUCUAGCCACCUUAACCAAUUACAUCUCAACCCACUUUUUUUGGAUGAUUUUAUUUUUACACAAUUAUUUUCAACAUAUCAUGAUGUAUUCGUCAAAAGCUGGAAAUGACUGUUGCCCGUCAAAAUUCACAUUUUUUCCUUAACGAUAAAGUUUUAAUAUAAUUUUGAAGUUAUAACGUCAUAAAUAUAUUGCAUAAUAAUAAGAAAAAGGACCUAAAUGGUAAAAGUGAUAAAUAAUAAGAUCGAAGUAUCAUUUUCCAAUGUUAAAUGAGGCAAUGCCAUUCUCCGGUUCUCUUCUUUAAAUGCGUGAUGUGUGUGCUCUGUUUUCUCUAUUAUUCUUUUUCUCUUUUAGAUUUUGAGAACGUAAAGGGUGCAGGAGUCUUUAUCUUGUUAAAACAAGUCUUUUCGAAGUAUUCAACUAAAUUAAAUCAUGGCCUAAUGCUGUGUCAAUUCCAUCAUCAGCAUUUUUUUUUUCCUUUUUAACACCAACAUCAGUGUAUGUUUGGAUAAUUUGAAAUCUGUUUGUGUUUUAUCUCAAAGUAGAGCUUCAAUCAAUUUGUACCUCACAAAUUCACAAUAUCUAUUAAGGAUAAUAAGACCGAACUCUGGCAUAUUGUCAAAUGUGCUUAUCCAAUUCCAAAUUAAAAUGUUGACAGUGUUUCAUCAACCAAGAACUUGUCUUCGAUAGUUAAUCGGAUUAAAGGGAAUAAUUAAUGAGAGCAAUUAAUUAAUAUUAGCCGGCAUCGUCUGUUUCAUAGGUACUCGUGGUUCACUAACAUAAGCGUUGAAUUUGUAUAGUAGCUUGUUCCUUUCCUUCGGUUUUACUUAAUGAAAACCUUGGCUAGAUCGUACACCAAUGUAAAAUCGAAAACCCUUAUGCCACGAAGAGUUCUUAGUGCAAUUGAGAUCAAUGAUAAUCAGCUGAUAGGGAAAACAUUGUCUGAUUGUCAUAAACAAACUUCUUGAAAAUGCCAUCAGUAACAUGGAAGAUUUGGAGGUUAUUCAAAUGCUGACUUCAGGAAUGCAGAUUAAUAUAUUAUGGAGACAGAUUGAGUGCAAUGGCUAAUUGUAACAGGGAAUUUUUAUUGUACAAACAGACCAGCCAGCAAAGAAUAUUCCAAAUCUAGGACUAAACAAGUCAAUAAUAAAAUAAACAAACGGCAAGAGAGAGUGAUUAUAUCUACAACACCAUCGGCUACUACAAAUUCAACUUUUCAACAGUUGUUACUCACCAUGAACAGAAAAAAGAAAAUUACAACAAAAAAUUGGUUGCUAAAAGACGUCUAUUCAUGGUAAUGCCUCUCAAAUGGGUUCAAAACAUGGAAGAAAAGCAUUUAGUGUGGCUUCAUCGUCCCAUUUCAGCUCACUCCACCAGUGUUGCAGGGGCUUAGUCAAAGUGGCUUUCAAGAAGUUUUAUUACCACCUCAGUUCAAAUCCUAAGAGAGGUAGGAGGAUAAAAGAAUUAAUUUGGACUUUACCUAGCCCUCUACCUUUGUUAAAUUUAUGUUAAAAAAAAAAAUAGAUUUGAGAUUGGUAAUAUCCUUAUUUUUUGUUUUCAAAGGAAACUGAUUUAGGACCAAUGAGACUUUGAUCCAAUGGGAGAAGCCUUUCACUUAUAAUGUUAAGUAUAAGGGUUCGAUCCUCCAUAAGAGCUUUAUGAAGGUUAAUUUCAGUACUUCCUUAGUUAUCAGUUAAUUGAGUGGAGACAGUCUCUCCCUUACGAAAUGUGAGUGGAGUAGGCACCCCUCGAAUAUUAGAGAAGGUUUAAAGUAUCUGAGCAAGUGCUUUAGUGGGUUAAUAUAUGGCGGUAGUUCCAGUUGUUUAGUAUGAUUGUAGUACGAUUGUAUAUAUUAAUUGUAAUAUCUAAUGUAAUAUCAAUAACAAUCUGUGCAUAACAGAAUUCAAAAAAAGAAAAGAAAAAAGAAAACUGAUUUAGGUGGUUUCUUGGUUAAGACUUUUUCUUUAGCAUACUUAGUUCCACGUGCUAUUUAGAUAUUUUUCGACAUACUUAUUACUUAGUUCCACAUGCUAUUUAGAUAUAUUUCGACCAAAUGAACAAGCGCAAGCCAUUGACACUUAGCUUAAUUUCAGGGUCAAGCUAUAUUUGAAACUCAAAUAUUAACCUAUUAAUAUUUUCAAUUCAUUCAAUUAUAAAUUAGAGAUGAUAGAAAUUCUCAUAGGAACAGGGGCCCUAGGGGAUUUUAGAGGAUUUUUCCCAUUCGGGAAGGGUAGGAGACAAUUUUAUAUCAAGUUUCUUAUUCCCAGAGACUAUAAUAUUUUUUUACCUAAUUUCUUAUUCAGGGAAGAUAUGGAGAUGAUGUGGACUUUCCAUCCCCUCCCAAUUCUCCAUUUUUAUUUUUAAUUUUUAUAUUAUUUUUCUAGAAUUAUUAGUGAAAAUAAUAAAAUUUAAAUUGUAAAAAUUUUAUUAAUGAAUAAAUAAAAAUAAAAAUUUUAGACACCUUUUUCCCAAACUUGUAGCUUGACUUGCAGUUCUUGGAGCAGUAGCCUCCAAGACAGUUUUUCAAUUUCUCGAGAGCCGUCCCUUGUCAAUUCACCAACUUCAGCUUCCACAGCCGCCACCCUUGAGGUGAUGUUUGGUUGGGAGGAGAGAAUGGGGGAGAGGAAAGUAAUUUAAAUUCUACUUUUAUUUUUAUUGUUUGGUUGCACGAAAUAUAUAAGAAUUUAAUUUCCAUUAGAAUUUAAUAUCCUUUAUAAUCUAGAAUUUGAAUUCCACACCAAAGAGUGAAGAAUUCAAAUUCCUCUUAGGUUGAAAACCCAAGUUUCCAAAUUUGUCCUUCAACAUUUUAACUUGUUUAAUGCUAUUAAUAAUUAUUAUUUAUAAUUUUAUUUUAUCAAUUUAAUAUUAUAAAUAAUUUAAUAUUAAUUAAAUUUAAUGAAUGAUUUAAGACAUUUAAUAAAAUAAAUAAACUUAUUUAUUUAUUUAAUAUGCAAAUAUAUAAAUAUAAAUUAACUAUCGCCGGAACUUCGCUGGACCGUCGCCGGAAGCUGUCGAAAUUUCACCGAAAAGUCACCAACCACUGUUGAUCGGCGUUGGCUUAUGUUGACCGCUACUGUUGACCGGCUUUUAUUUAUAUUAAAUUAUAUUAAAUAGUUUAGUAUAUUAAAUUAUUUUAUAUUUUAUAUUAAAUAUAAAUCAUGAAUUGUUUCAUAACUUUUUGAAAUUAAAAAAAAUUGGUAUUAAUAUUAAAUUAUAUUUUAUUACUAAUAUAGAUAAUUUAGUAUUUAAGGUAAAGGAUAAAUUUGUCCAAAGAAAAAAAUUAUAAUUUCUUUCCUUAUCAAAUUUGAUGUCAAACCAAACAUUGAAAUUUAAUUUUAUUAAUCUCUUCCACUCAUUUCUCCUCCAUUCCACUUUUUUCUUCUCCUCUCCUUUUUUAAAACCAAACACCACCUGAAAGCCAACCUUGCACUUUGUUCAGCCGUCUCAGUUGUUGCUGCUCAGGAUUGGCGACCCUCAUCAUCACAUCGUUCUUUGGUUCAAUUAAUUUCUGCAAUUCGGUCUGGAUGGCAACCAGGUUAUCUUCAAGCUGGCUUAAAUAUCAUGCUUUUCUGCGGGUACAAUUUAUGAAGCCAGUGAAAAUUACGCAUACAAUAGGAGUGCAACACAGUGUGUAUUCGGUUGUGGUGUCUAUGAUUUUGCAGUCGCAGAAGCUUAUUCACCUUAUGAAGACUGAUCAGGUGGGCACCGUCGCUCUCCUUACAUUCUUAUGGAGAGCGAUAGUCCAUGUAGUCAGAUCUCACUGAGAGAACUAGCCGAGUGGGCAAUCGCUCCGCCUGAUCAAAAUUUGUCAUCUUAUAAUAAUAUCUUGAGUAGGUCUUGAAUUUUUUUUCCAAUUUUAAUCUUUAAAAGGUAGAAGAGGUGAAAAAAACCUAAAUAGUAUUUGUGUCCUCCUAAAUAACAUUUCUUGAACAUCAAUGGAUCUUAAAACUUAAUUAAGAAAAUAUUAUAGAUUUAUAAAUUAGUGGCCCUUAAAAUUUAUUUGCAAGUAACAAUUAGAGAAAAGUCGUCAGGCCCAAAAGACUUAGAGCAUCACCAAAAGACUCUUCAAAUAAGAUUUUAUUAAUUAUUUGAAGAGCCAUCUCAAUAUUUAAGACUCCAAAAGACACUCCAAUUAAGAUUCUUCAAAUAAGAAAUAAUUCUCUCUCUUCAAAUUUGGAGAGUUGAUUUCUCCCUCUUCAAUUUAUACUUUAUUACUUUCCAUUGGAGAAAAAGAGAGAAGUGCUUUAAUUGCUAUUGACUUUUUCUUUAAAAAAAUAAUUAUUUGAUUAAAAUAAUAUUAAGUUAUUUCUAUUUGAAGAGUCUUUUGGAGAAUAUUAUUUUUUUUUACUCUUCUAUUUGCCACAUAGAUAAGCAAAUAGAUAUUUGAAGAGUAAAAUUUAUAGAGUCUUUUGGAGAUGCUCUUACUAAAAGUCGGCAACUCGUCAUGACCAAAAUUCUUCCGAGUGUGAAAUACGGCAUGCGCAGAUGCAUUAAAAACAAAAGCCAGCUAAGAUAUUCUUUGUAUACUUGCAUUCCCUAUCAUCUUAUUAAUAAUUUCAGACACGUCGUUCGUUCCCUGUGACUUUUCAUAUGCAACAGCACAGUCAGUGUUACAAUUUACAUUUCGAAUUGGGUGUCAUCUAUAUACUCUACCUAGAUCUAACAUGAUAUUGCAGUAUUGCACUGAUUUUUUUGUCGCAGCGUUUCUCUAUGAAUUCCUUAAACUUUAAACACAUCAUGGAAUAAUUAUUUUCUUAAAGACCAAAUUAACAUAAUUCUUAAAUCAUUUAUAAAACAACAUUUAUCAUAUAACAGAUCGUACACGAAUCAAUUUUCCUUGAACAGUAGCAAACAAACAAGAAUCUCAACCACAUCACGAGAUCGCCCACGUCAAACCAAGUAUUCUUAAUGAGUGGACCAGCUAAUAUAUUCAAAAUUGGAAUUAAUUGAGGAUAAUGAUUAGUGCUAAUACAUUUGCAAAGAAAAAUCAUGCCUAUUGAAAAACUCAUCUUAUUAGCAGCAGCGUUAUAAGUAGCAUCCAAUCAUAGUUUCACGCAAGAUUUUGAGAUUAUUCAAAUGCUGAUCCCGGGAAUGGAGAUUAAUAGAUAAUGGAGACAGGUUGACUGCAAUGGCUAAUUGUAAGAGGGAUUUUUAGCCGUAAAAACAGAUCAACUAGCAAAGCAAAUUCCAAAUCUUGGAAUGCAGUAGCAAAAAAACGAAACAAACAAAUGGCAAGAGGAAGUGACUAUACAACAAUAACAUCGACUUGCAAUUCAACAUUUAUACAGUUUUACACACCAAGAAAAGAAAAAAUUACAAUAGAAAUUUGGCCACUAAAAGAUGCUCGUUCAUGCUUAUGCCUGUCAUAUGGAUUUGAAACAUGGAGUAAAAGCAUUUAGAGUGGCCUCAUCCUUCCACUGCAGCUCAUUCCACCAGUAUUGCUCUCCCCUAAUAACAAGUUUUCGUUCCUUGGCGCUGUUGUAAUCGAGUGGAAGCUUCUUGAGAUUCGGGCAGCCAGAUACAAACAAUUCCAAGAGAUUUGGAAAGGGCAAUGCAUUCAAACAGAUCUUCUUCAGAUUUCUUACAACUUGCAACCGAAGAUAUUGGAGUUUCGAAAAAGUUUUUUGCACUGGAACUUCUGGAACUUCUUCCAAUUUCCAAACACUGAUUAUUUCUUCCAUCUCAUAACAACGUUCUACAUGGACCAUCUUGAGAUUUGGGGCAAAAACAAGCCAUGUCAUCUCCCUCAAUUUACUGCAAUAGUCUAUGGUAACACUUUGAAGGCUGUUGAAACCAUAAAGUUCUCUUGUUGUUUGAAUUUCUGCAUAGUCAACCUUUAGCUCUUCCAAACUUGUACAAUACACAAAAUCUAGUUUGUCAAGAUACUUGAGAUCUGCUAUGGACAAAAUAUUCCAUGACCUUGAAUCCUCACAGCGGCGAAGCUCUAAAGCAUAUUUACAACUCUUGUACUGUUGGCAGCUCAAAAGUCUUCGUAGAGCAUAAAAACUUCUUAACGUGACGCUUAAUACAUUUAAAUGUUCCAAAGUAAUCAACUCCUCUACCAAAAUUUCACUACCACCAAAUAGAACGCUAUCUUCUGGUACUGUAUUAGCAGAGCCACAAUCUAGCAUCCUCAACACCUUUAACCCAGAAAAAUUACAAAGCAGUUGCCGUGGAAUCGUAUGGAGAUAACGCAUGUACUCCAAGUUCAAACACUUUAGAUUUUUCAAGGCUUUUAAUUCAUGUGGCAACUCUUUGAUGAAAGUUUCUGAAAGAUUAAGAUAUUGUAGUGAAACCAAUUUUGAAAUUCCUGAAGGCAAUUGACUCAAGGAGCGAUUCUUUGAUAGGUUUAAAACUUUAAGAGAAGGCAUAAAAUCGAAGAAAUCACUAGGGAUAGUAUCUAACAUAUUAAUGCCGAGGAACAAAGUUAUAAGAUGAGGGCAUAUUGGAGUUAUUGGUAAAAUCACAAUUUUAUUUCUCAUCAACGAUAUCCUUCUCUUAUCUUCCCAUUGUUUAACUUCGGGUGGUUCAGUUAAUUCAAUACCGGCAGAAACCAAAAAGUUUUCAUUCUCCACUUCACAGGCUAUCCACAAGGUCAUAUCACGAAUCACAUCAUGCAGUUUUACAUAAUCUGAUCCUGCUUCUUCCAAUAGGCAUGCAUGAACAAGAACACCAAUAAUGUAGUAUCCUUGGUUAUGUACUCCAUUAAUUCCUUCAUAUUCCUUCAGAAAACCCUCACCAAUCCAACACCCUAUCAAUUCAAUUUUGCUAAUUUGAUAAUCCUCAGGAAAUAAACUACAGUAUAACAGACAAGAUCUAAGGACGUCACUAGACAAACUAUCAUAACUGAAUUUUAAAAGACGAAACACCUCUUUCUCCAUACCUGGAAAUUCAUAAGCUGAUCUCCUUAACAUCUGAAUUGCAUAGCUCCAUUCUUCGGGUGUCUUCUUGCUGCUCAUGGCACGACCGGUGGUAAUAAGUGCAAGUGGCAAACCACUACACUCCUUUGCCACAGUUUGGGCUAACUCCGGAAUAUCGGGAUGACUUUCAAGAGUCUCUUCUCCGACCUUCUUUAGGAACAAUUCCCAAGCAUCUUGAUCUGCCAAACACUCCACCUUGAACUUUUUUUGAGCUUCCAUGAGGCCACAGACGUCCACAAGACGAGUUGUAAAGACUAUCUUUGAUGCAUUUCUUGAACUCGCAGGAAAAGGGACACCCACUUUGGCUAAAUCAAUUCUUUCCCAUAUAUCAUCUAACAAUAGCAGAAAUUUCAUUUUGCUCAAUAAAUUGAAUAUGCCUGAUGCUUUCUCUUCAAAGCUUCUAUUCUGAAGCCAUCCUAUUCUUUCUCCGAUUUUCUGUUGUAUUCUCUCAAGUUGCAUGUCUUUUGACACCACCACCCAAAUCACAAUAUCAAAAUAAUUUGGUGUAUUAAGGAACCUGUUGUUGAUUUGGGUUAAUAGUGUAGUCUUGCCGACUCCCCCCAUGCCAUAAAGUCCGAUGAUUCCAAAUUGUCCUUCUACAAGACAUCUCCAAACUUUAUCAAAUGUUGAUUCUAGGCCGAUUAUUGUUGGCUGAAGAGGCCUUUCAUCCACUGCUGGUUGUGGUACCUUUUCAGCUACCACUGCAAAAGCUCCAUCAUCUAUUAAAGUAGCCACAAGCUGCAGCUUUUUAGACACCUUUUUCCCAAACUUGUAGCUUGACUUGCAGUUCUUGGAGCAGUAGCCUCCAAGACAUAGUUUUUCAAUUUCUUGAGAGCUGUCCCUUGUCAAUUCACCUACUUCAGCUUCCACAGCCUCCACCCUUGAAAGCCAACCUUGCACUCUGUUCAGCCGUCUUAGUUGUUGUUGCUCAGCAUUAGCGACCCUCAUCAUCGCAUCGUUCUUUGUUUCGAUUAGUUUCUGCAAUUCGGUCUGGACGGCAACCAGGUUAUUUUCAAGCUGGCUUAGAUAUGCUGCUUUUCUGCGGGUACAAUUUAUGAAGCCAGCGGAAAGGGCAUCACAUAUAAGUUGGAUUCCCAAAAUAUUACCCAUAGUUUGUAUGAGAUUCAGAGUACAAUAGAAGGAAUGCAACACAGUAUGUAUUCGGUUGUGGUGUUUAUGAUUUUACAGUCGCAGAAGCUUAUUCACCUUGUGAGGGCUGGUCAGGUGGGCACCAUCACUCUCCUUACGCUUUAUAGAGAGCGAUAGUCCAUGUGGUCAGAUCUCAUUCAGAUAACUAGCCAAGUGGGCAAUCGCUCCACCUUAUCAAAAUUCUUCAUCUUAUAAUAAUAUCAUGAGUAGGCCUUGAAUUUUUCUUUUAAUUUUAACAUUUAAAAGGUGGUGGUGAAAAAGUCUAAAUAGUAUUUUUGUCCUCGUACUUUAAUAACAUUUCUUGAAAGUCACUCGAUCUCAAAAUUUAAUUAAGAAGAUAUUAUAGAUUUAUAAGCCCUUAAAAUUUAUUUGCAAGUAAGCCCAUAAGACUUACUAAAAGUCGUCAACUCGUCAUGACCAAAAUUGAAAAUUCUUCCGCGUGUGAAAUACGGCAUGCACAGACGUAUUAAAAGCAAAGGCCAGCUAUGAUAUUCUUCGUAUACUUGCAUUCCCUAUCAUCUUAUUAAUAAUUUCAGACACGUAGUUCGUUGCUUGUGAUUUUUCAUAUGCAAAAGCACAGUCAGUGUUACAAUUUACAAUUACAAUUGGGUGCCAUCUAUAUACUCCUUCCUUGUUUUCAAAAUAUGUUGUAGGAUGGGUAAUUGUAACAAAAGUGAUUUUUAAAAAGAUUUAUUAUAAUAUUAAAAUUAACUUUUAAUUUUUUUAAAUUAUUUUUGAGCUUUCUGAAAAAAAAAUCCUAAACCGGUCUCAGAAGUAUAAUUAGAACCACGAAUUUAUAAAAUGAUCAAAGGAAUCCAUCGCCUAAUAUUAUAGUACGCAAUGGAUUGCUAUAAACUAAAUUGCUAUGAUCUCACUUCAUAAUAAUUUAUUUUCAAUCUCCAUCAUGGUAGAAAAAUUUCAUCAAUCAACAUACCCUACCACCACCCAAUAGUCGACCAUUUAUCAUCUUCUAUCCGUAAAAAAACGAAAAAAAAAAAAGAGAAAAGGAAAAAUUUAGUCCACAAAAGAAAAUAUCGCAAGACCAAACAGAGAGAGAAAAUAGAAAAAGCAAAGAGCUGUACUGAAUACCGGCGGUGAUGGCUCGGUACUUGACCAUUUAGGUUUGAUUCUGCAUUAACAUAAUAUUUUUUCUGCACUGCAUUCACAUCACAACCAUUGAAUAGUCGUGAUCUAUUUUUCUAAAGCGAAUAAUAUUAUCUUCUCGUGUCGGUGGCUUGAUCAUAUAACAAAAUAGACUAAUAAUGUUUCAAUAGACAUUUUGGUAAAUGGAAGAAGUUAUGAUCUGUCCAUUUUUAUGUUACUUUAUUUUAAUUUGUUAAUUACUAUUAAUAUCUUUGAGUGGGGCAGAAUCUUGACCUAAGAUAUAGGGAUGGCAAUGGGGCAUAUAUGGGUUGGAUUUACUCUGCUCCAUAUCCAAAUCCAUAAUAAAAAUUAAGAUCCGUAUCUGCUCCAGAUCCGUCAUGAAUCCAUAUUUUUCGGUCCAUAUUCAGAUCCAAAAAAGAAAUAAAUAUCUAUAUCUACUCCAAAUCUGAAAAAAAUUAAAAUCCAAAUCUGCUCUAAAUCUGUCAUGAAUUCUAAAAUUCAGUAAUAAAAAAUUAAUAAUUUUUUAGAUUGAAAAUUGAAGGCUAAAAUGUAUUGAUAACAAAUAAAUUAUAUAAUUUUUCUCAAAAAUAUAAUAAAUAUUGUAUCUUAUACUUUUUCACCAAAACAACAAAUAAGAAAGAUAAUAAAAUAUCAUUUAGAAGUAAUUGCAGGAGUAAGAUCAAUCUAAUAUUAUAUUGUCUCCUUCAUCAUUCUAAUAUCCACGAUACACCUACCCUCAUUCCUACAACAUUAGAUAAUGACAUAUAAAUUAAAUAUGAUUUAUAUUCAGUCCUUUAUUAUUUUUAUUAUGACCAUAUUUGACUAAAUAUAUGAAUAACUAUAUUUCUUAAAAAUUAUUUGGCCAAUAUAAUAAAAUAAAUUGCCAAGUUAUAUUACUUGGCUUACAAUUUAAAUAUUGCAUGUACAUGCUUUGGGGUUGGCUGGCCUUUAAAUUUACAAAACUAACUUUUAAGUUUUAAGAGUUUAAAUGCAUGGUAAAUACUACUAAUAUGCUAUGAAUAAAAUUUAUUAUCAUUAUAAUUCCACAAUUGUUAAGAAACUUUUAAAAUAAAAUAAAAUUAAAAGAUGAGUGGAUAUGGAUAUGGAUUUAGAUAUUAAGAUAGAUCCAAAUCUGCUCCAGAUCCGUCUUAGAUCCGCACAUCGAUAUCCAAAUCCGAUCCAAAUCUAUUUUAAACCGAUCCAAAUCCGAUCCGAUUGGAUUUGGAUCACGUGGAUCUUGGAUCAGAUCCAAUCCAUUGCCAUCCCUACUAAGAUAUGACUAGGCUCCACAUGUUAUAUAUUAAUUUGAUUAAGCCCAGCUAAUUGUUAAUUAUUAAUUUGAUUGCGGCUUUUUAUUUUACCCACAUUUUUUACGCGUGAAAUCUUUCUUAGUGAAAAACUACACGUAUUUGCAAAUAUUCGGAAUGGACAUUUUCGAAAAAACAAGUAAAAGAAAAUGACUAAAAAGUAAAAGAAAAUAGACACCCAAUUGUAAUUACGAGUACAAUAGAAGGAAUGCAACACAAUACCGAUUUUGCAGUCGCUGAAGCUUAUUCACCCUAUGAGGGCUGAUCAGGUGGGGGCCGUCGCUCUCCUUACACUCUUAUAGAGAGUUAUAGUCCAUGAUCUCAUUGAGAGAACCAGCCAAGUGGGCAAUCGCUCCACCUGAUCAAAAUUCUUCAUCUUAUAAUAAUACCUUGAGUAGGCCUUCAAUUUUUUUUUUCAAUUUUAAUCUUUAAAAGGUAGAAGAGGUGAAAAAGUUAAAUAAUAUUUUUGUCCUCCUAUAUAACAUUUUUUGAAAAUCACUCGUUCUUAAAACUUAAUUAAGAAAAUAUUAUAGAUUUUUAAGUUAGUGGCCCUUAAAAUUUAUUUGCAAGUAACAAUUAGAGAAAAGUCGUCAUGCCCAAAUGACUUACUAAAAGUCUGCAACUCGUCAUGACCAAACAUCUUCCGAGUGUCAAAUACGGCAUGCGCAGAUGCACUAAAAACAAAGGCCAGCUAUGAUAAUCUUUGUAGUAUUAAUAAUUUCAGACGCGUCGUUCGUUGCCUGUGACUUUUCAUAUGCAAAAGCGGAGUCAGUGUUACUUGCAUUCACUGUCACCUUAUUAAUAAUUUCAGACACAUCGUUGGUUGCCUGUGAUUUUCAUAUUCAAAAGCACAGUCAGAAUUACAAUUUACAUUUGGAAUUGAGUGCCAUCUAUUUAUUCCAGCUAAAUCUAAAAUGAUGUUGCAGUAUUGCACUGAUUUUUUAGUCACAGCGUUUCUCUAUGAAUUCCUUAAACUUUAGACCCAUCAUAGAAUAAUUAUUUUCUUAAAGACCAAAUUAACAUAAUUCUUAAAUCAUUUAUAAAACAACAUUUAUCAGAUAACAGAUUGUACAUGAAUAAAUUUACCUUGAACCGUAGCAAACAAACAAGAAUCUCAACAACAUCAAUAUCAUAAUCCCUUCUGACCUUAACAGUAAUUUUAUUCGUCCUUAAUUCAUAGGUAUAAGUAUCCCAAUAUAUACUUGAUGUCAACCUUUACAAUUCUUUACAGAAUUGCAGCAGACCAAAUUUGUAUGCAAAACUGAAAUCAUACAGUAAUUGAAUACAGUGAAAAUAGACAUGAUGGGAAUUAGUAUAUAUAAAUAUCUUAAUAAUUUAAAAGUUUCUUAAACUGAUUUUACAUAUCUGAAAAAUUAUAGAAAUCGGAACUGCUGCAGAAAUCAUAAUUUUCCAGCGAAUGUGUUACAACUUCAGAAACUCAUAAGAAAUUAAAUUCUUGGGAUCACAAAAUAAUUCAUCAAUUUAAGAGAUUCAGCAGUACUUUUAUUACAUCAAUUCUUCAAACAAUCACCAAUCUAACAUUCAUCAAAAUUAAGUCAUAAAAGUCAUGUGGUUUAUAAAAAGAAUUACCUGAAAAAGAUUAGCCUUCCCCUUUCAAAAGCAACGAGAAACUCCAAAAACUCUUCUUCCAUUGCCUAUUCAAACAUGAAAAAAAAAAAUUAGUAUCUCUUCUUUAAACGCGCGAUGAGUGUGCUCUGUUUUCUCUGUUCUUUUUCUUUUUUAGAUUUCGAAAACGUAAAGAGUGUUGGAGUCUUUAUUUUCUAAAAACAAGACUUUUCCAUGUAUUCAGUUAAAUUAAAUUAUGUCCUAAUGCUAUGUCAGUUCCAUCAUUAGCAUUUUUUUUUUCCUUUUAACACCAACAUUAGCGUAUGUUAAGUAUCAUAAUCCAUAGUUGGACAAUUUGAAAUCUCUUCGUGUAGUUGACUGGCAACAACUAUAUUGGCAUUUAGACAUAAUGUACUGCAACCAUAUUGACAUGUUCAAAUGUUCUCACUAUUGUAUUGGUGUGUCGAUAUUAUCUCUAUCAGUCCUAUAGAUCCAAAAAUAAUCUAAAUUUACAAUUUAACUUAAAAUAAAAUAAUUGGUAGAAAACAAUUAUGGUUCAUUUACUUAUCAGUAAUUAAAAUAGACUGAAAUUAGAAUGAGUUGUAUUGACGUUGAUGUGUUUCUGUUGUCCUCGAAUCGGAAUGAAUUAUUUUAACUUACUAAAAUACCCUUUGUUUGUUAUUCUAAUUAUUAUUAUUUAAUAUUUAUUAUAAUAUUUGUCAUAUUAUUAAAAAGAAAUAAUAAUGAUGAUAAUAUUAUCAUUAUUGUUUGUUAUAUUAUUAUUAUUCAAAAAAAUUGUUGUUAAUAACUAUAAUAACUUUAUUUCAAUAAUAAAAAUGAUAAAAUUAAUAAUAACAAACAUGACAACAACAAUAAUUAUUUAUUAUGCCAAAAAAUAACAAUAAUGAUAAGAAUAAUAAUCAUCAUCAUUUUUUUCCCAAAGAAGCAUUAUCAUCAUCAUUUCAAAAAAAAAAAUCAUCAUCAUCAGCAUUUUUGUAGUGGCUGCCUAUCGGCUGCUGCUUUCAUGUGAGAUUGACUUGCGACGCUUCAACUACUAUUAUUUCUGGCAAUGUCAGGUGUUGUUGUUUCAAUCUGGGGAGAAGCUGUUUCGGUGAGCUAACAAUGGGAGGUGUUGCUGCUCGAUGCGAGGUCCAUGGCCAGCUGUCUUGUUUUACACCCAGCUCUUGUAGGAAAUUAUUCAUCCACAAUAUUUCUUUGUAACCUUCAAUAAUUGUAAUAUCAUUUGCUUCCGUGGUAGAAAAGACAACUCAUUACUAAAGUCUAGAUUGCGAUGAGACUGCCUUCCCUACAAAAGUGAGCAAAUAUCCUCAUAGGAAUCUUUCAGAAUCAACAUCUCUUGCCAUAUCUGUUAAGAAUAACAUAUGCUGAGUCAGCUACUGAGUCAUCAAGCCACGCUGGAAGUCAGUUUUGCAGUUAGUUAGAGAGCUUAUCAGCUUCUCUCCAAAAGUUUGUUAUGUGUAUUAGAAUAUGUGCUCACGAGUUUUGUGAGUUUGUAACCUUGAAAAGAUUCUCACACUACUAUAAAUUGUAUUGUGACUCAAUUAAUAAAAGUUGUUGAAGCUUUGCAUUUUCUCUCAGUCAAAAUUUUCUCUCUAUUUUUCUAAGUAACCAAACAAAAUCUACAGAGCAUUUUGUAUUUUAACUUGGUAUCAGAGCUUGAAUCCAAUGGCCUUAAUCGGUUCCAAUCAACAGUCGAGCAACACUUCCAUAACUUCUUUCACCUUCACAAAUCCAAUUAAGCUUGAUCGUGCAAACUAUACGAUCUGGAAACAGCAAGUACUUUCUUCAAUUCGUGGCAAUGGUCUUGAAGGCUAUAUUGAUGGAUCAAGGAUCUGUCCUAGUCAAUUUCUUUCUCCAGAGGCUAGAUCUGAAGGUUCUUCUUCUUCUAACAUCGAAGGUCAAGAGAAUCCAGAGUAUGCAGCCUGGAGACGUCAAGAUCAGCUCCUGCUCAGCUGGAUUCUGUCGUCCAUGAAUGUAGAUAUUCUCAGUCUUGUGGUAAGCUCUAAGACUUCUUUUGAGUUGUGGAAAAAUCUAGAAAAACAAUUUGGAUAUGAAUUUAUGGCUAAGAAGGUUCAUCUGAAAAUGCUUUUGAGUAACCUGCGAAAAGGAUCUCUAACCAUGUCUGAGUAUUUUACAAAGCUUAAGUCAGUUACAGAUGGUCUUGCUUUAGUUGGUAGCCCUGUGCAUGAUUUGGAUUUAAUCACUCAUCUUAUUACUGGUCUAGAUCAGUCAUAUUAUCCUGUAGUAGUCUAUAUUGAGGCAAACAUGUUGAAAAUGGAUCUUAGUGAGGCUUAUGCUAUGCUUCUCACACAUGAGGCUAGACUUGAGAAUAAUAAGCUUCAUGAUAGUAAAGAAACCAAGAACAAUUAUGCAACAAAUGUAGCUCAGGUUGGAAAUUUUUCAAAGAAAGGUAAUAACAAUAAUCAAAACAACUGGAAGGAUGGAGGAAACAAUUGGAAUAAUAACUCUGGUGGAAGAGGUGGUUACCAAGGGUUCAAUCCAGGAAGAGGAAACUGGAAUAAUAAUAAUUUCAGAGGUGUUGCUGGUGGAUUUAACAGUGGAUUUCCUGGUCUCGUGGCUUCAAUAACAAUUAUGGCAGAGGUGGUUUCAACUCAGGCCAAAAUUUGGUGGUUGUUGAAGCCAACAAAAAUAAAUUCCUACUCUAAAUAAAUUGUGUAUAGUGAUUGAGCAGGGUCGUGUCCACAGAGAUCGGUAAUUAUUUAAAUCCUUUUGAAACGUAAAACGCAAAAUGGGGGAAUUGUUGACAAUAAUAAAAAUCAAAUUAAAGUAACAAGAAUGCAAAUUAAAGUUGUAAUUCAAAUUGGAGAAAGCUCUGGUUGAAGGAAUUAACUCAGCUUGAUUCGACUACUGAUCAUUGAUUCAAAUAUAGAUUAUUAUUACUCAUGAAUAGACCGGUUAUAGCUACUGAGACCCUCUAAUAGCCAAUCUCUCCUUAACUAGUCGAUAACCAAGGUACGACCGUUGGUUAUUUCCCUAAUCAAUAGACAACCCUAGAUACGAUCAUAGAAUUUAAUCAAUUGACAGCCUGAAAAACCAGAGAGACCCAAAUCCUAAUCAACACAUAUGAUGAUUCAUUUAAAUUAGAUUGUUUAUUCUCACAACACAACUCUCUGCUAUGUUAUUUGUCACAAGCAUUAAAUUCUUCAUACGAUGAAUCCUUUAAUUGACAAUAGAUUAAGUUGAUAAUUAAAUAGUGGCCAAUUACCUAAUUAACAAACAUAAUCAUGAAACUAAUUCAGAGAAUAAACAAAUACCCAAAAAGCAAUAAAACAAUUAAAGCACAAGAAAGAUCUCAUAGUAGUGAUGAAUCAAAGCUUCAUUAACCUUCAACCAGAAAAAUAAGUUUAGUUCUUCAUAGAGAGAAGAGAAAAAUUAAAUCUAGGGUUUCUUUCUUUUUUUUUUUUCCAAUCCAAAAAAUCCCCCUUUUUCACAAUAGAUUCCUCCCUUAAAUACUCUCUCUCUCUUCUCCUCUAGAAUUUUAUUUAAAAUAAAAUACUAAUAUCUGAAAUAUUAAAUUCGUAAUUACAAAAAUAACCAAAAAUACAAAACACGUUAAACUAAAAACUGCAGGUCCGCAGUUGACAGCACGCGCCCACGCCUUAUCAAUAAAGUUCUUCUGACGCUCAUAAUUUCUCCAAGAGAACAAUCAUCCUUAAACAUCAUCUUAUAGCUCAAUUUUAUCACCAACCAAUAGAAUUGCACCUACAAAAGUAAAUCACUAUUAUUAAGUGCAAAACAUCGAUAUUAAAAGAAGUAAACAAUGCAAAACUAGUGCAUAAAUUGCACUCUAACAGAGGUGCUGGAAAGAAUUUUGCUCAGGGAACUGGUGCUGCUUGUCAGAUAUGCUUCAGGUUUAAUCACACAGCAGCUGAUUGCAGAAACAGGUUCAACAGAAAUUUUAUCCCAAAUUUUCCAGCUCCAGCUCCAAAUUACUUCUCUAAUCAGCACCAAGGACCAAGAGCAGCCUUCAUAACAACAUCUGAAGGAGCUGCUGAUCAGGGAUGGUUUCUGGAUAGUGGUGCAACUCACCACUUAACCAACACAGUUCAGAAUCUGAGUGAUGGUAAGAUCUAUUUUGACUCAAACUUACUUACUGUUGGUAAUGGCCAAGGUUUUAGAAUUACUCACAUAGGUUAUACACAACUUCACACUUCUUUUGGCACCUGCUUACAACUACAGAAUAUUUUGUGUGUUCCUCAAAUUACCAAGAACCUCAUUAGUAUUUCCAAACUCCUCACUGAUAAUGAUAUAAUCAUUGAAUUUUUCUCUGAUGUUUGCUUUCUAAAGGACAAGGUGAAGGGCACUCUGUUGGCUUAGGGGAUUGCUAGAGAUGGCCUAUACAAGCUACUGUCAAAAAAGGAAUCUCUCUCUUCUUCCACUUCUGUUCUGCCAGUGUCUCAUCCUAGUUCUAUGAUGUCAACUCUUUCCUGCAAUAAUGUAAUUACUUCUGUUCAAAGUUCAAAUAAUGACUUCUGUUUUAAGUUUACAUUUCCUGUAAGCUUUCAAACUUCAAUUUCUGUGUCAGCAAAUAUAUUGCACAAUAGACUUGGUCAUCCAAGUAAGCAUGUCAUACAAACUAUUCUCAGAAACAAUUGUUUAAUGUCAGCCAAUGUUAAUAAAUCAAAUUUUCUUUUCUGUGAUGCCUGUCAACUUGGAAAGUUACAUCAAUUACACUUUCCCGCUACUAAAAUCAAAACAAAAUAUCCCUUAGAAUUAAUACACACAUACUUAUGGGGACCAGCUCCAGUUUUAUCACUAGAUGGUUAUAGAUACUAUAUUUCCUUUGUUGAUGACUUCACCCGAUAUUGUUGGAUCUUUCCCUUAGUUUUAAAAUCUGAUGCCCUUACUACUUUCAAAAACUUCAAGAGCUUAGUUGAGAAACAAUUCAAUCUGCCCAUCAGAAUUUUACAGUCUGAUAUGGGAGGUGAAUUCAAAGCUUUUCAGUCAUUUCUUCAACAAUAAGGUAUCCAAGCUAGAUUUAGUUGUCCCUAUACUCACCAUCAAAAUGGUGUUGUUGAGAGAAAACAUAGACACUUAGUAGAAACUGGAUUAACACUCCUUGCUCAAGCAAAAAUGCCUAUUUCUUUCUGGUGGGAGGCUUUCCAUACAACCUCUUAUCUCAUUAAUAGAAUGCCUACCACUACACUGAACAACUUAUCUCCCUAUCAAAAGCUUCAUAAUCAGCCACCAAACUAUCAACUUCUCAGAGUUUUUGGUUGUGCUUGCUAUCCUUUUCCCAGGCCUUAUAAUGACCACAAGCUUGAUUUUCAUUCCCAAAAAUGCUUGUUUUUAGGUUACAGCCCUCUUCACAAAGGAUAUAAGUGUCUAACAAAGUCAAGCAAAGUAUAUGUUGCUGUUCAUAUUAUUUUUAAUGAGUCUGAUUUUCCCUAUUCAGAGUUGUUCGCUUCAUCUGAAUCUUCUUCCAAUUCUCUGUCAUCAUACUCUCCAUCUAUUUGUAUCCUCAAUGACAGUGGCUUGCAUCAGUCAUCAGCUAUAUCUCCUGCUUUAGCAGAGUUACCAACUCACAUUCACCUCAACAUCCUCACCAAGCCCCACACUCUCCUUGUCCCUCUCCAGUCUCAAAUUCCUACGGCUCAUCAUCACCACAUUCUUCAUCACAUAAUGCUUUAGCCAAUCCCUCUGAUGAAUUACAACCAUCAUCUCAACCUGUCAUUUCAACUCAUCAGAUGGUUACUCGAGCCAAAUCUAGUAUUUUUAAACCAAAGACCUACCUUACAGCUACCGAAGACCUUGAACCAGUGAGUGUUAAAGCAGCCCUGAUUGAUACAAAGUGGAAAAUGGCUAUGCAAGAAGAGUAUAAUGCUUUGCAGAAGAAUGACACCUGGACAUUAGUUCCAGCUGAAACCGCUACAAAACUCGUUGGAAAUAAGUGGGUUUUUAGAGUUAAAUAUAACCCAGAUGGUAGCAUUUCCAAGUAUAAGGCUCGGUUGGUUGCAAAAGGUUUUCAUCAAACUUAUGGAGUAGAUUUCUUUGAAACCUUUAGUCUAGUUGUUAAACCCUACACUGUUCGUAUUGUUCUCAGCUUAGCAGUCAUGCAUUGUUGGCCAGUUCGGCAAUUGGAUGUUAACAAUGCCUUUCUUAAUGGCAUGCUUACUGAAAAUGUGUUUAUGCCUCAGCCAGAAGGCUUUAUCAGCUCUCAGUUUCUCAAUCAUGUCUGCAAAUUACAAAAAGCCAUUUAUGGUCUUAAGCAGGCUCCAAGGGCUUUGUAUGAUAGAUUGAAAGGGUCUUUAGUUCGGUGGGGUUUCAGAUCUUCAAAGUCAGAUACUUCACUGUUUUUCAAGCAUAUUGGCAAUAAUGUUCUCAUCAUCCUUGUUUAUGUAGAUGAUAUCCUGAUAACAGGCUCUAGUGCUGUUUAUAUUUCAGAGGUUAUCAGUCUACUUAGCUCAGAAUUUGCACUUAAAGAUUUAGGAGAUUUUAACUACUUUCUUGGGGUAGAAGUGACUCCAUCUGCUGAAGGAUUACAUCUAUCUCAAACUAAGUAUGUUGGUGACAUCUUAAGAAAAGCUCAUAUGCUUGAGAGUAAAGGCUGCAAUACACCUAUCAGUAUUGUUGAUAAGUUGCAGAAGGACAAAGGUUGCUCAUUUACAAAUCCCUCACUUUACAAAAGCAUCAUUGGUUCUCUGCAGUAUCUGACACUGACCAGACCAGAUAUCGCAUUCACUGUAAACAAAUUGAGUCAGUUUUUAGCUGCUCCAACUAUCUUGCAUUGGCAGGCUUGCAAGAGGGUAUUACGAUAUCUACAAAGCACAACACAUUUUGGACUGCAGUUCUUCAAGUCAGGUCCUCCAAGUCUCAUAGCAUAUUCUGAUGCAGAUUGGGGGUCUGAUCCAGAUGAUAGAAGAUCUGUUGGAGGGUAUUGUGUUUAUCUUGGAUCCAAUCUUGUGUCUUGGUCAUCUAAGAAACAGAACAUUGUUUCCAGGUCAUCUGCUGAAUCUGAGUAUAGAGCUUUGGCCUUAGCUACAUCUGAGGUUUUGUGGAUUACAUAUCUGUUGAAAGAGCUCAAAGUAUCACUUCCCAAACCUCUUGUUCUUUACUGUGACAACAACAGUGCAGAAGCUUUGGCUAGCAAUCCUAAGUAUCAUUCCAGAACUAAACAUAUAGAACUGGAUUUACAUUUUGUCAGAGAACACAUUGCCAACAAGGAUCUCUUCAUUGAACAUGUGUCUAGUUCUGAUAAGUUAGCUGAUGUGCUUACCAAACCUCUGAGUUUUGAUAAUUUUGCCUAUAUGCGAACUAAGCUCAAUGUCUGCCCACGACCUUGAGCUUACGGGGGCAUGUUAAGAAUAACAUAUGCUGAGUCAGCUGCUGAGUCAUCAAGCCACGCUGGAAGUCAGUUUUGCAGUUAGUUAGAGAGCUUAUCAGCUUCUCUCCAAAAGUUUGUUAUGUGUAUUAGAAUCUGUGCUCAUGAGUUUUGUGAGUUUGUAACCUUGAAAAGAUUCUCACACUACUAUAAAUUGUAUUGUGACUCAAUUAAUAAAAGUUGUUGAAGCGUUGCAUUUUCUCUCAGUCAAAAUUUUCUCUCUGUUUUUCUAAGUAACCAAACAAAAUCUACAGAGCAUUUUGUAUUUUAACUAUAUCUACACACUUAUAACACAAGUUUGUCACCACUAAAAUAUAAACAUGUUCUGUAAAUGCCUCUAAGAUAUCUGAGAAUUCAUUUCACUACUGUCCAGUGCUCUUUGUCCAGAUUGGAGAGAAACCGACUGACUACACUAACUGCGUAAACAAUACCUGGUCUUGUACAAAUCACGGCGUACACCAAACUGCCAACUGCUGAAGCAUAAGGAACUCCUCUCACGGAGAAAUGGGUUUUGCUCUUGAGAUCUUUGGGAACAUGAAGAAUAAAGAUGUAAUUUCUUGGACUGACAUUGUUUCGGGGUAUAUAAAUAGAGGACAAGUGGAUAUAGCUCGACAGUAUUUUGCUCAGAUACCAGAACGAGAUUAUGUCUUAUAGACUGCCAUGAUUGAUGGGUACCUUCGAGUGAAUAGGUUCAGAGAGGCUUUGACACUUUUCCGGGAGAUGCAAACUUCAAAUAUAAGGCCAGACGAGUUUACCAUUGUUAGGAUUCUUACAGUUUGUGCGAAUCUGGGGGCACUAGAACCGGGAGAAUGGAUAAAGACUUACAUUGACAAAAACAAGGUCAAGAAUGAUAUAUUUGUGGGGAAUGCUUUGAUAGACAUGUACUGUAAAUGCGGAGAUGUUGAGAAAGCUCAAAGGGUACUCAGGAAGAUGCUUCGAAAGGACAAAUUCACAUGGACGGCCAUGAUUGUUGGCCUUGCCAUCAGUGACCCAUUUCCUACGAUCAGACCGGAUAAGGUAACUUAUGUUGGUGUUCUGUCUGCCUGUACUCACAAUGGUAACGAAACUUUUGUGAUAAAUAGUUGCGACUUAAGGUGAGAAUUGGAGGAAACGAAAUAGACUGAAGUUGUUCAAUCAUCGGUGGUUGCUAUUUGAUUUUAAGUUGUUCAAUCAUCGGUCAUCUCUAUUUGGUUUUCUCCAAUAUCUCAUCUCCAGUUUUGACUCAGAUUCUGUCUUACCACUAGUAAUUAAAAGUGAGGAGGCAGCAGUCAAUGCUAUUUCGGCUUGGCCCAAAAUUUCACCAGUUUGUUAGUGUUCUGCAGCUCUUGCUGCUUUCCUAGAGAUUCUGCAUCUUUUGCAAUUUGAUUGAUUAAAAAAAAAAAAAUUAGUGGCCAUUUAGAAUGAAGGAGAGAUUUGUGUGAAUGGUAUAGGUGAAAAAUUGGAUGAAAAUAAACAGGCAACCGUCCGUAUAAAACAACAAUAACAAUAUACAAAAAGAUAAGUAGACACUUCUGUAAUUCACGAAAGGAAAUUUAUGGUUGUUUCUGAAAAACAUACAUAUUAAUUUCACUUAUACUCUAAGGUGGGAUAGAUGUCAACUAGCUAUGCUAAUGAUACCUUGCCAUCAUGACUGGACUUGUGAGGAAUUUGGAAACAUGUAUGAUGAUUGUUACUUACACAAUUGUAGAAAGAAAUGCUGAGGUGGCUUGAACCAGAUGGUGAAAUCGUCUAACACACUUAAUUGUUAGAUGUGUUUUGGAUAUUCACAGUUAGGUUGAAAUUUGUAGUUUUCACUUGAAAGAAUUCAGUUAAAAAUUGAUUGGUAGAAUUGUAAAAUAGUCUAAAUUUUUAGUUCAAACCCAUUGCAUAUUUAAGAACAUCUUAAAUGAAUUGCUUAUUGCUAUCAUCAUCAUUAUUGUCCAUAUAAUAAUAAUAAUAAUAAUAAUAAUAAUAAUAAUAAUAAUAAUAAUCAAUAGAAAUGUUAUCUUAUCCACUAUUUUAUAUAUGUUUCCACUAAAAUCUAUUUAAUUAUUCUUUAUUUUUUUUCAACUGUUGCAUGUUAGAUUUAUUCGAUUUCCUAAGUUAUAUCAAUAGAAAUGUUAUCUUAUCCAUAAAAAGUUAGAUCUAACAAUUAUGAAAAUUACUAUAGUGCUGCUUUGAAUAAUUUUUUAAAAAUACCACAAGUAAAUAAUAAUUAGUUUAAAUAGUGGAGACUAAAAAGCAUUCACCCUUAUUUUUUAUCUGUUAUUAGUUUUUUUUAAUCUGUUAUACAUUUGAAACAUUCCAUUAAUUGCCAAUUAUGUAAGCGAGAUAGUAAUUAAUUUUUUUUAUUUAAAAAAAGUGAAAAUUAAUCCUAUGCAAUGUGAAUAAAUUUCUUUCCUUUUUCCUUCACUCUUUUUAUUUGAUAAUUAAGUUUCAAUCUAUGUACGCAAAAUUUCUGCAACAGCUGCAAAACAUAAAAAUAUAUGAUUGUUAAGGGAAACACGCAGAAGUUCAUCACUUCAAUGUUCAGUAUUUCCAAUUUUGGCAUUAAGCUCUUACGAAUAUAUUCCACUUAGAAAGCAAAAUAUUAGAAUUGUGAUUUUAAUUCAUUCAUCAUAUCUCAUUUCAAUCCCAAAAUAUUCAAGUGGAUCCAAGUUACCAUAAGGCUUCAGAGGCUCGAGCCUUAGCCAGAGAUGGUUAAUUGAUAGACUAGGUAAGAGAAACCAAGGUUGAAGUAUGUAGAAAUGUUAUUUCAUUUAUUUUUAUUUAUGAUUUUUUGUAAAAUGUAAGAAAUAUGUAGAAAUGUUGCCAGCAAUGAUUUUGGAACUUUGCAUAAAAUUUUUAUCAUUAUUGUUUUUGGUAUUAAGAAAUCCGAGGCGGUGAUUAGACGUAUGUUGCAACAAUUAAGAAAUUUCUUAUUGGAGAUAAUUUGGUAGGUUGCAACAAUUAGAGAAUCAUUUUCCUGUCAGUUAAUCAAUCAAUAAUAAAUUUCAAAUUGCAGAAAAUAAAAUAAUACUGUCGCACUUAGAAUCAUCUUUUCUAUCUCUUUCAAUUGUGACAAUCAUUUGUAACAAAUAAAUCAAUUUGAUGCACAUCAUUUCCCCAAUUCAAAGUUCAAGUCACUGCUCAAUUGCAGAGUAGUUAGUAGACAUGCAUGCAUGUUUAAUUAAGUACUGCAUUGUAGUAUCGAAAAUCAUAACAUCUCACCAAGCCCGGAAGCAUAGCUCUUUAUCUUGUAAAUGUUGAAAUCUUAUGCAAACUAUGGGAACCAUGAGCUCACUCUCAGUGUCACUUGAUUCCAUUUUCUGUUCUUGCCUUGAUUUCGAUGUUGGGAAUGUGACGUCUGAGUCUAAGGUUGAAGAUAAUCUCGAUGCCUUGCGGACUGCAAUGGAAAUAAAAUAUUUGUGUGUUGAGAAAUGAUGAAAUGAUGCAAUGGAAAUAAAAUCUCAAUCUCUUGAGAAAUGAUGUGAUAAGAAGAGUUACUGUUGCUGAAGGACAACAUCAAAUGCAACGAAUGGAUCGAGUGCAGGGCUGGCUUUCAAGGGUAAAAUCUGUGGAAAAUAAAGCUGAUGAUUUGAUGAGACACAGCUCUCAAGAGAUUGAGAAGUUAUGCCUUGGAGGCUUCUGUUCCAGGAACUGCAAAUGAAGCUACAGCCGUGGGAUAGAAUUUGCAACAAUGCUACGAUUGUGGAGAGUUUAAUGGGUGAAGGAUCAUUUGAAUAGGUGGCUGAGAGGGUGCCAGAAGAUGCAGCAGAGGAGAUAAAUUGUGAGCCAACAAUAGUGGGCAUGUUGUCGACUUUUGAGAAAGCCUGGAGAUGCCUUGAAGAAGAAUCAGUUGGAAUUAUUGGCCUAUAUGUCAAUGGGGGAGUUGGAAAAUAUUUACUCAAAUCAACAACAAGUUCCUUGAUAGUCCAAAUAAUUUUGAUGUUGCGAUCUGGGUAAUGGUCUGCCAAGAUUUGCAACCCCAGAAGUUUCGGGAAAAGAUUGGGAAAAAGAAAGUCUUGUUCGAUGAGUACCGGAUUGAACUAUAUUAGAUUAUAUUUAAAUAAUAUUAAAUAGUAUUUAAGUUGGUAUUCUAAUAUAAAUAUCAAUUAUCCAUGAAAUUUUAUAAUCAUAAUUAAAAUAAAUUUAAAAAGCAAUUACUAGGAAAAUUAAAUAUAUUGCAAAAAGUUAUUGGGUAGUCAUAAUAUAAUAGGCAAAUAAAAUUAAAUAAAACAAAUUACAUAUUUAAUUAUAUUUAUCAAAUAUUUAAAAAUAUUAUAUAAAAUAUUAUAUAAAAUCAAUUAAUUAAUGAUAUUAUUAAUUUUCAUGAUUAUUUUUAAUAUUAUAUUACUGAUUAUUAAAUUUAAUACAAUCAAAUAAUGCAAUAAAUAAUUAAACAUUCAAUUUUAUUGAUUAAUUAUUAAAUAUACAAGUAAUGAAAAUUUUAUCUCAAGAGUUGGUAGAAGCGAAAGUACUAAUUUAAUUAGAUCAUAGAUAAUAAAUAAAAAUAAAUUUUAAGUAAAUCAUAAUAAAAAAUUAAUUAAUUAAUUCAAUCAAUCAAUAUUAGGUGUAAAUAAAAAAAUGAUAUAAAUAAAAAUCUCAUAAAUGUACAACUUUUAUCUUUAAUCUUAUCCUAAAAGAACAAAAAGCAGAAUAUAUAUUGAAGUGUUUUUCACACCUUUUCAUUAACUGGAAUGCAUGUAUUUAUAUACAUCAUUUGUAACUAAUAAAGAGAAAAUAAAGGAAACUAUACAUGAGAGUAUCAAGGAGAAUAAUGGAAGAGAUUGUUGUCCGUAACUUGUGGAGAGUAUCAUGGAGCUUGAGAUUAUCUGAUAUGCCCCCGCAAGAGGGUGUUGCCAUUGGCGACACCCAUCUUGAACCUUAAUUCAGAAAAUGGUCGCUUAGAGAGGGGCUUGGUUAGGCUAUCAGCAAGUUGAUCUGCUGUAGAUACAUAAGAUACGCGCAAUAGCCCUUUGUUGACCCAAUCACGAACAAAAUGAUAAGCAAGAUCAAUGUGUUUUACCCUUGAAUGAAAGACUGGAUUGCGACACAAAUAGGUAGUUCCAAUAUUAUCACAAUAGAUGGUAGGAGUUUGACUCAAUUGAAGGCCAAGUUCUUGAAGUAGAUUCUGAACCCAUCGAACUUCAGAGGCUGCAUUUGCGACAGCCAAGUACUCAGCUUCUGUUGUGGAACGAGCUAUUGAUUUUUGUUUGUUCGAGCGCCAUGAGAUAGGAUUGCCGCCUAGAUAAAGCAUAUAGGCUGAUGUAGAAGUAAUGAAAAUUUAAUCUCAAGAGUUGGUAGAAGCGAAAGUACUAAUUUAAUUAGAUCAUAGAUAAUAAAUAAAAAUAAAUUUUAAGUAAAUCAUAAUAAAAAAAUUAAUUAAUUGAUUCAUCAAUCAAUAUUAGGUGUAAAUAAAAAAAAUGAUACAAAUAAAAAUCUCAUAAAUGGACAACUUUUAUUUUUAAUCUUAUCCCAACUAAACACAUGUGUAAAUUAGGAUUAUUAAUUCCAUAAUUUUCGGAUUAAAUUCAAAUUUAUUCCCCCUUAAUCCAAUUCAACUAAACUUGUCAAACAUGGGAUAAAAAUUUAAUUAUAAAAUUAGUCCAAUUCCAUACUUAAUCCUAGCAUCCAAAUAUAGCUCAAGUUCUUUGCUUAAAGAAGCUACCAAAUUUGAAGAGCGUUUACGGGAAGGCCUUGCGUUUCCCAGAUGUAUGCAGAAUUUUUGUAUCUAAAUGCCCAGAACUUAAGAAGCUGACGCUGGAUUUUGAAAGGGCGGGCCAAGGUAAAAUUCUUAUCAAAUGAAAGGAAAAUCGAUGGAAACAACUUCAAUGGGAGGAUCAAGCAACUCAGGAUGCAUUGCUUCUGUUUUUCAAAUCAACUGACAAGUGAUUGAAGGGGGCAUCAUCAGCCUGGAUGGGGAGAUCCUGGAGCAGAUCAGCAGGGUUUGAAUCUGCAUCAUCAACAUCAUCAGGAUCUCUAUUUCUAUUGCUGGUCGUAAUGCCUGCCGACUGUUGCUUGAAAAAGUGAUUAAGUGAGCCAGUUUUUUGUUUAUUAAAUUUUGUUUUGUAGAGACAGUCACAAAGUAUUUUUCUUAGUUGUUCUAUAUGAGAGUGAUGUGAACCAAUUUUUCAAUUAUAUAUUCUGUGGGAAAUUGCAAGUAUUUUUAAAAUAUGAUCGUUAUUAAAGGAAACAAAGGAAUCAACACAGCAUACUGAACCUCAGCAGUAUGAAGCUAAUGAUUAAACUCCUCACACAAUUCAUAACAUGCAAAACCAUUCACAAAAUCAUCCACAGCAACCAUAAUUGGCGUCCAAUAGAAAUUUACAAGAAUUACUUUUCUGUUCAUGCAAUCGGCGUCUGAACGCGGCUGAUCGGUCACCGGUGUUGGCGUUUACUGUGAUUAGACAAAUUGUAGCACUUCAAAAAUAACUUCUAUAGGGGUAAUUUCGAUUUCACAUAAUUAAUUUUAUUUACAAUAUUUUAUUCCUGCAAGGUCAACUGAGAUUCUUUCCACCGGGCACACCCUUCAUGUUCUUUUAUUUUCUGUCUUUUAUUAGCCGUUGGAUUUUACUACUCUUAUAUCCAACGGCUUGCCACAACAAGACAAAUGAGGUGGUACCUUUCAACCGCUGAAAGGUAGUUUUGGCCCCAAGUGAAAGAGGGAAAUAGGGAAUUGAUGCUAUAUUUUAUAUUUUCUAUUUUACUACUCUUGUAUCCACCGGCCUUUCUUAUAUUUUAUUGCAAAUUGAUGCUAACAAGAAAAAGCUAGAUCAUAUUCCACAGAAAAGUGAGAAAACAACCAGAUGGAUUCUUUUAUUAAACUACAAAUUAAAAUGGUAUCACAAAUUCUCAUCAAUUUAUUUAAAUAUAUUCUUUUAACCCUCUUUUUAAUUUCACAAAUUCUCAUCAAUUUAUUUAAAUAUAUUCUUUUAACCGGAAACAAUUGAUAUCACUUAUUAAGAAUAACAAAAUUUACUAUUUAAAAAUGAAGAUCAAUAAAUUUUUAUCAAUCAUGAAAGUUAAUGAGUGUCAAGAAAUUAAUUUUUGCUAAACAUACAAGCUAAUAACUAUUAAAAAAAUCUUAUAUUAUAGAGAUCAUAUAUAUUAAGAAAGACCAAAAAAAAAAUUAAAAAAAUAGUUAAAUUCAGUGUAUAGUUUAUAGGAUGUGAGAGUGGUAAAAGAAUAUAUAAUUGUAAAAUAGAGAAAAAGAAAAAGAGAUUAGUAGAGAAUAAUUUUGAGAUUUUUUAAUUUUUAAUUUUUAAUAAUAAAUUUAUUUUAAAAAAUAGGUGUGGAGAAAAAUUUGAUGGGUUCAAGCAAUUCCACCUAAUUUUAUAUUAUCAAUACGCAAAUGAAAGUACAAAAAUACCUCUAAUAGAGUGAAAUAAAGAGUUCUCUAAUCUCUAGGGUUUCUCAUUCCAAUUUUGAAAUUUCCCUACUUUAUUUUGAAUUAACCCUCUUUGUUACCAUUGAAUUGUAACAUUCAAAAUUUGAAUAUGUUUUUACAAAUAGAAGAUUAUUGGGACAAAAACAAUAAGAAAUAGAAAACCUAGUUGAAAAAGGAUAUUACAAAAAAAGAAAUUGCCAUUACCAUUCAAACAUUUACACAGUAAAGGCAUUAACAGCAUAAGGCGGCAAUAAAACUUACUCAUAAUUAGGGGUGGCAAAAAAGUCCGAGCCGGCUUAGGCCCGGCCAAGCCCAGUCUAGAUCCGUGGACUUAAAGUCCGACCCGUAAGGAUGUGGGCUUAGAUAUAGACCUAAAAAUUACAAAACCCACAUAUAUUAGACCUAAACAAGAACUUAGCAAAAAAACCCAAACUUUCUAAAUUUAUGAAUAAAAAAUAAAUUUAAUUUAAAUAAAAAAAAUUAAAAUAUUAAAUUAAUUGAAUUUUUUAUAUUAAUAUUUAUUAUUUUAUUAAAUUAUAUUGUUAAUAUUUAAUGUAUUUGACUAUUAUUCUAUUUAUAUAUUAUAUUAUUAUUUUUAAUUUAAAUAUUUUUCUUAAUUUAAAAAAUUUUUAUAAUUAAUUUAAAAAGUUCAGGCCCAGCCCGAGUUCGGUCCAUCCAAAUUUAACGGAUUUUUGAAGAACCUGAACUUCGUUUGAAUGAUAUGGGUCCGGCCCAAGCCCGCAAAUUGCCAUCCCGUGAUAAUAACAAACAGAUAUGGCCCAGCCCGAGUUCGGUCCAUCCAAAUUUAACGGAUUUUUGAAGAACCUGAACUUCGUUUGAAUGAUAUGGGUCCGGCCCAAGCCCGCAAAUUGCCAUCCCGUGAUAAUAACAAACAGAUAUAGAUAGAUCGAUGGAUGGCAUUUUUUAAAUGUACCUUAAAAACCAAAACAAAAGCAAAAAUAUUAAAAUAUUACACCAACUGCUAACUAAUUAAUCUAAUAAAACGCCUCGCUUAAUCAUUUCCAGUCCACUAAACACGCUGAACGGAUUCCAGCCUCUGAAGUCUCAUCUCAUUGUUAAAUUCAUUGAUGAAAGCUUCAACUCGCCGAUUCAACUCAUCUUGACUCAUCGAUUCCUCCCUCCUCAGCGACGUUCUGUCACUGAACGUCUCAGAUUUCCUCAGCUCACGUUUCGCCCAAGCCGUCGGAUCAUUCUCAUCAUUAUCACUACCACAGGCGAUGGUGAUGAUGUGGAAGGUGGAAGAAGCGGCGAUGGUGAUGAUGAUGAUGAUGAUGAUGAUGAUGAUGAAGUUGACUAUGAUGUAAUUGUACGGCGGCGACAGCCAGAACCUCAAAGAAAUGAAGAGGCUAGGGAUUGUCGAUACCGUGAAACAAAUGUACGGGAUUAUUGCUACCUUAAACAGCAUGAAAGUUGAAACAAACCCGGCUGACAAAAAUAACAACUUUGCUACCCGCGUUACUGUCUCUAAUCUGCUUGAUUUUGGGUCGAAAUUUUGAAAAAGAUCCCCCAUUUUUCAAUUUUCACACACAAUAAAGAAGGAAAAAGAAAGGUAGCUAGAUUUUUUUUUUGUUUUUCAACAAGGGAAGAAAUAAGAAAAGAACAUUAAAAGGAUUUUUCAGGCUUUGAUGGUCAUUAAAAUGAGACCCAGGAAACCAUUGAAGCUAAAAAAAAAACGAGAAGCCAUGUAUUUAUAUAUGCUGCUUUGCUUUACAAAAUCUGACUGGCAUCAGGGUGAAAAAAAAGUGCCAUUUGUUGGUACAGAGAGACAGAGGAGAGUAGAGAGGCAGAUGCAGGGGCAGGGGCGAAGUCAAGGGACCAUUGAAUGGGCAAGCGAGGUUUCAAUUUAUGUAACGAGGGACGAUUAAAGUUCUUGCAACUUUCCUGCCGUCUGAUGAAAUCUUGACCGUUCGAUGGUACAAUAAUGGUUAUAAUGAUCUUGAAAGUGUUGGAGAGAUAAGUUUGUACAGAUUAUGUACGCUAAAUAAAAUCACAUUUAAAAUGGUUUUUGAUUUUAUUCUAUUACAGAUUACUUUUAUUAAAUAAAUGAAGGUACAUUGAGUGAGUGAGUGAGUGACUUCACGAUUUUGCACUAACGCCGCUGUGUUAUCCUCCGCGGCACUUGUCCUCAUCAUUUGUAAUUGAAAAGCUGAUUUAAGAUUUUAGAAUAGUGCCUUUUGGAAAAAAAAUAUAUAUAUAUAUCAACGGCCGAUUGAGAUUUCUUUUUUGAAGAUUUAAAAUUAAUUUUUUAAAAAAUUAAAAAUUAAUUUUAAUAUUUUAUAAGUUUUAAAAAAAUUAUUUUUAAUAAAAUCACUUCAUAGUAGAUUCCGGAAAGUAGAUAUCUAUGCUUUUUAAAUUUUAAUUUUAAGAAUUAAUUUUUUACUUAAUAUAAUCCUUGCAUAUAUUAUAAAAUUUUAAAAUCAUCUUCAUUAAUUACAAAAUAAGAUCAUUAAUUUUAAGGAGAUUAUAAUCAUUAUCAAUUAUAGGGAGAUUAAAUGCUUAAAGUGACAAGUGCAAAACUAUUUAAAAAUAGUCAGUAAAAGUAUAGGUGGGCAAUUAGUUCAAUUCUAUUUGAAUCAACUAAAUUAAAUUAUAUCGUGUUUCAUAAAUUUUUAAAGCAACUGAUUUUUUGUUUGGUUUAGAUAAAAAUUAAACUAAACCGAAAAAUCAAACGGUUCAAAGAAAAAAAAGUUAAAAACAAAUUUUAUAAACUGAUCGGUUUCCGUUAGAUUCAAUUCCAAAUCUAAACAAACCAAUCCAAAGUGAAAAUAAACAUUUUUGUUGAAUGCACUUUUAAUUUGUUUGGAUACGUCUCGACCCUCCAGUCUCUUGAUUAAAGUUCAUUUAUUAGGGUCCGCUUGUAAUACAGCGUCUGUAUCUCAUACAGUCAAAUUUAAUAUUUUAUUAAGAAAAAGGGCAACCGUUAGAUAGAAGUAGAUACAUCCAAUGGUUAAUAUCUGUGAUUACUCAUUUUGGUGACCGGAUAUGCCAAUUAUUAUUUCAUCAAUUAACUUACCUAAAAAAUCAUAGCCGUUGGAUUGAGAUGCCUCUCUCUCCCUCAAAAUAACAGCCUUCGUAUUCUCUCUGCUAUUGUUUUGUCCUACAUCUAGAAUUUUGGAUGAAUGAACUUGGUAUUCAAGAACAUUCACCACCCAUCACAGCAAAGAGCAAAGAUAUAGUCGAAGGAGUGCCAUUUAUUCAGGCUUACUUGAUCUGUCAGUCUCGCUUCAAUUCGUCACUCAUUUUCUUGCGCUCAGCUUCAAUCUAUCACUCUCAGCUUCAGUUCGUCACUCAUAGCUUCAAUUUUUUCACUGUCGUGAAUCAUCUCUCUUGCUGUAUCUCUCUCUUAUGUCUUCCAAUAAUUUCGGUGAGCUCUCUCUCUAAUUUAAUAUAUGAUUAAAAAUCUUAUCAUCUUAUCAUGUCAUUUAAAUAUGCUUGAAGUUUCAAUUUAGUUUAUGAAUAUUACUUGAAAUUUUAGAUUCAAUAAUUUUAGUUUUUUUUUUCUCUAUCAUCAAUCAUAUAUUUUUUCUUGCUCUUUAACUUCUUAUCUUCAACUAAAUGUGACCUUACAUUUAUUUAGUGUAUGAUCAAUUUUUAAAUGCACAAUAAGCAUUGCAAAGUUGGCGUUAUGCAAAGGCUAUCACAAUGUGAGCGUUCAAUUGGACAGAGUGUCAUGAUCAUACAUCCUUGAACCCAAUAUUUAUUCCAAUAACAAAUGUAGAUACGUAAACUACUUUUUUUUUUUAAAUAAAAAUAAAAAACUUCAAUGAAUCAAUCAAUUAUUUUCUGAAAUGUUAUGCGAAUUGUGAUUGUGAGAUUAAAAAAAAAUAUCCAUGCAAAUCAAAUUGUAACCGCCCUCUCAAGAUAAACCAAGUAACACAAAGCAUCAUUAACUCUUUCUUGUUUCAGCCACAGUACUAUUUUUUGCUUGAUGAGAAUAUAUUUAAAUAGUAUUUAAGUUGGUAUUUUAAUAUAAAUAUCAAUUAUCCAUGAAAUUUUAUAAUCAUAAUUAAAAUAAAUUUAAAAAGCAAUUACUAGGAAAAUUAAAUAUAUUGCAAAAAGUCAUUGGGUAGUCAUAAUAUAAUAAGCAAAACAAAUUAAAUAUUUAAUUAUUUUUAUCAAAUAUUUAAAAAUAUUAUAUAAAAUCAAUUAAUUAAUGGUAUUAUUAAUUUUCAUGAUUAUUUUUAAUAUUAUAUUAGUGAUUAUUAAAUUUAAUACAAUCAAAUAAUGGAAUAAAUAAUUAAAUGUUUAAUUUUAUUGAUUAAUUAUUAAAUAUACAAGUAAUGAAAAUUUAAUCUCAAGAGUUGGUAGAAGCGAAAGUACUAAUUUAAUUAGAUUAUAGAUAAUAAAUAUAAAUAAAUUUUAGGUAAAUCAUAAUAAAAAAAUUAAUUAAUUGAUUCAAUCAAUCAAUAUUAGGUGUAAAUAAAAAAAUACAAAUAAAAAUCUCAUAAAUGUACAAUUUUUAUUUUUAAUUUUAUUCAAACUAAAUACAUGUGCAAAUUAAGAUUAUUACAUCCUUGAACCCAAUAUUUAUUCCAAUAACAAAUGUAGAUACGUAAACUACUGGGAAGCAGCACACGUGUCCUGAAGAGAGAAAAAAAUCGAGCAAAUGCAGACAAUGGGAGUUGGCUAAAAGUUGGAUCUGCAAUUUACAAAAUCUGUAACUUAUUAGCCAGCUCCCAAAUUGUGUAGUCUUUUUUCAAAUUGUACAGACAUUUAUAAAUUGGUGGCCCCUUGAAAAUUUAAUGCCAAGCAGAUAAAAGUCAUCAAGCACAGUCCUCAAUAGUUGUUUCGUGUAUAUUUAUAAAUUGGUGGCCCCUACAUCUUUAAUAAUUGGGAUUGAAUUACGGUAUAAUUGUAGAAUCAUGUCUCAAUUACAUUCAAUUGUUAGAUAUAUUUACGUUGGUAAAAUUUACUGAUAUCUAAUAAUUAAACGUAACUAUAACACAAUAUUAUAAUUACACCACAAAUUUUCUCUAAUAAUUAUUCCGAUACUUAUAAAUUGGUGGCCCCUUAGUAAUUUAACAGCAGCCUGCAAGUGUCAACUAAUGAAAAGUCAUCAUUCACAAUCUUCCAAGUGAAACAGGAAAUAUACAAAAAUUAAAACAUGUCAUUCUUUUUUUUUCAUUCCCUGUCAUGUAACUUACACCCAAAUACAUAAAUAAUAUAAAAUGAAUGGAGAGAUGCCAGGAGCAGAUCAGCAGGGUUUGAAUAUGACCUUUGGCGCUUGCUUUUUUUUUUUUUUGUGAUUUUUUUUUCAUUUUUUCCUUCCUGUCAUUUUAUCAUUUCUUUGGCUUUGUCUCUAUUGCGGGUGUUACUGCAUGCUUACUGUUUCUUGACAAAGUUUGCUAGCUUUUCCUUUUGUUUAUUAAAUAUUUUUAUCGUCACAAAGUAUUACUCGUUCUAUUUGACAGUGAUGUAAAUUAAUUUUUCAAUUUUAUAUUUUAUCGUCGAUGUGAAUUCAAUUUCAUUUGUCAUCAUGCACAAUCCUCAAUAAUUGUUUCGAUAUUUAUAAAUUGGUGGCCCCUACGUCCUCAAUAAUUGUUCCGAUACUUAUAAAUUGGUGGCCCCUUAAUAAUUGGUGUUUGAGGAAUUAAAUAGAGCGAUCAUGAUCUUUUCCAAAUGAAAGUGAGCAAAUGGUUGAGCAGGUCACCUUGAUCAGGUGGUAUGAGUUUGAUCAAAUCACCUCGACCAGGUACAAUGAGGUUGAGCAGAUCAUCUUGAUCAGGUGGUGUGAGCUUGAGCAGAUGACCAUGUGGUAUGAGCUUGAGCAAAUCACAUCGACUAGGUGCUAUGAGGUGGAGCAGAUCACCUCGACUAGGUACUAUGAGGUGGAGCAGAUCACCUCGACCAGGUGCUAUGAGCUCGAGCAGAUCACUUCGACCAUGUGCUAUGAGCUUGACCAGAUCACCUCGACCAGGUGGUCUAAACUUGAGCAGAUCACCUCGGCCAAGUGAUGACUAGGAAUAAAGACUCAGUUAAAAUAAACCACCACAAAGCUCCUCCGAAAAAUCAGGGCACGAAUCUGAUUAAUCAAUGGUUAUUGUCACGAUCUAAGGUCGUGGGUGUGGGGUGUUUUAUAAAAAUCCCGAGAAAAUCACACCAAGGGAAGGCUCUUUUUCUCUGGAUCUGACGGAGAAAUCCUUUCUGGAUACUCUAUUUUACUUUUCUGCAAAUUAUUCAAAAAGCUUUUGGUUUUAAAAUAAUGUUUAUUUAGCCAUAUGAAAAAUGACAUAUUUGGUUUUUCCUGUAAACCCCAUAACUGACUUGAGCGUUGGAGGGUUUACGCCAGAAAAACUUCCGGCACCUCUGACCAUUCUCUGUAAUUUCAGGUACUUAUUGAUCGUCAGCUUGAAGAUUAUAUGCUCAUGAAUGUUCUGCUCAUAGUCAGAGAAUAUUCUGACUAUAUUAGCCAUGACAUUUUAGUAAUUUCAGGUACUAAAAAAAAAUUAAAAUUGUUGGCGUGAAAAGCACAAAUCCUAUUUUUUGACAAUUUUAUCUUUGUCAAUUUCAAAGAUUUACAAUAUCAUAGGUAAAGAUUAUAACUAUUUCAUCUUCAAGUUUUUAAUUUUAUAUUUUUUGUAGGAACUUUAAGAAAAUAUCAAUAAUUUAAAGAGAAUUUUUGAAAUUUUUAAUUUUAUCUUUCUUGUAGGAAUUUUAAGAAAAUAUCAAUAAUUUAAAGAAGGUAAAAUAACCAAUAAUUUUAUUUUUUUUUUAGUUAUUUCCGUUUAAAAACUGUUCUUUUAUUAGCCGUUGGAUUUUACUACUCUUAUAUCCAACGGCUUGCCACAACAAGACAAAUGAGGUGGCACCUUCCAACAGCUGAAAGGUCGUUUUGGCCCCAAGUGAAACAGGGGAUGCACUUACUAUUAAGGACAGUUGGUGGCCAGCUAAUGCACUCAUUUUAUGUCCUUUUAUCUUUUUGAAUUCCUGAAGACAAGUGCAUUCAUUUUGUGUCCUUUCAUCUUUUUGAAUUACUGAAGACAAGUGGCCAGCUAAUGCAUUCAUUUUUUGUCCUUUCGUCUUUUUGAAUUAUUGAAGACAAGUGGCUCAUCGCUUUUACUGUAGGUAAGAUCUUGAUAAUCUCGAUUAUCAAAAUAAUAAUAUUCAAAAUAUUUCUUAAUUUUAUUUAAAAGAUAAAAGAAAAAUAAGUUAUGCUGGUAAAUUUUUUUAUUUUUUUAAUAAAAAUAAAAUAAAUUGAUGUUUAUAAUUGUUUCAAAUACUUUAAAGAUUGUAAUUUUAUGAGAGAGUAAUAUUUCACAUUUUUAAUGUGAAAAGUUGAAAAGGGACAAAGCAAGUUUCUCUGUUUUUCUUUUUCUUUUUUUAAAUUUGGUCAUCUCAAAUACUUCACCCUUCAACACUACAAUAUUUUGGUUAUAUAUAUAUAUAUAUAUAUAUAUAUAUAUAUUUUACACAUGCAUAUGAAUUACUUUUCUUUUAAGCUCCUGAAUAUUUAAGACAAAUCAUGAAAGAGAUGAGAAUAUAAUAAGAUGAUCAAAAUAUGUAACAAAAUUUUUUUAGAAGUGAAACAUCGUUAGAGUUGAAGUAAAACUCUGAAAAUAGAGAUACUGAUUAAUUUAGAAGAGAUGCAAGCAAAAGAUAUGCCAAAAAAAAAAAAAAGCAAUAUGUCACUUUGGAGGGCAAACUUGUCAGUUUCACAAAAAUACAUGCUUUGUAUUGAUAGUUGUCACUAUGUAUUAGGGUGCGUUUGAAAUUAUAGUGCUGUACCUUUUAAACUACAGUUGUUGUAGAAAAAAAUAAAAAAUAAAAACUACACCUAAGAUUAAGGAAAAGUACUUCAAAACUCUCUUUUGAUCAUAAAACCUUUUGUCUUAAUUAACUUAAAGAUUUUGAAUCUAAUAUUUUAUAACAAAUAAAAAUAUAUUACCAAAAUAAAUAUAAUAAUAUCUAUUUUAAAAUAAUAUCAAUAUUUAAAAUAUGUUUUAAUAUUUGACGAUCUAUUAGACACAUUUUAUUAUGUUAAAGUAAAUUUUAUAAUAAAUACAAACAUACUAAUAAAAUGAAUAUAUACAACAUUUAGAGUAUUUUGAAUAUUAUAUAAAAUAAAUUUAAUACAAUGCAUGAGAUAUAUUUUAUUAAUUUAAAAUGCUAUUUAACCUAAAGAUUUAUUUAUGAAAAAUUAAUGAUUAUAUUUUUGAAAUUAUUUAAAAUAUUAAAAAAAUUAAUAUUAUUAAUCUAUCAGGUAGAUUAAAUUAUUUAUAUUAUUUUGCAUUUAUUAAAAAAUUUUAAAAUCAAUCUUUUUAAUUACUAUUCUAAGGAUAUAAUAAUAGAGGCAACUCCGUUGCGUCAUGGUUUUGGUACCCCGUCGUUUGUCUUUUAGCACAGUCAUCGUUGGAUUUUAUCUCACGGCUGCAGAAGAGACACAGAGACGCUAGGGAGCAACCUGACAAAAAGGUCAUGGGCCGGUAAGCUGCAGGGAAAAUAUUUAAAAUACAAAAUCUUCCCUUAAAUUUUUUUUAAUAUUUAACAUGUUAUAGUUUCUAAUCUCAUGAAUAGUAGAGGAUAAAGUUUUAUCUUAAAAAAAGUAAUCCCAAGGGUCUCCUUGGGAUGAAAUUUUGCCUCUAUUAGAAUUAAGUGGUGGGCUCAUUAUUGUUACUUUUAUUUUUUUUAUACCAAACAUGAUAUAGGAUUAUUUUAUACUAAAAUUAUCCAAUCCUAUGAUAUAUAACUAAAACUAAACAGGCACUUAGGGUAUAUAUGAGCCACGGUGGAGAAGCUUUAUUUAAUAUUAUUGAUUUAAAUAAUAUCUCAUUAAAAAUGUACUGAGAAGAAAUUUCGGUGGGUAUUUUAGUCAAUCACAUGAUCAGCCUUUGGACUUGAAACGUCGGUCAGAAUGAUUUAUUCUAACAAGAAAAAACUAGGUAAUAUUCCACAAAAGUAAAAGUGACAAAACAACCAGCUGGAUUCUUUUAGGAAAUUACAAAGAGUAAUGAUACAGUCAUAAAUUUUUAUAUAAAUUUAUUUUAUAUAAAUUGAUGUGGUAUUAAUUCAUUAGUUGAAUGAAAAUAUAAAUUAAUAAAAAUAAAUUAUAUGGACCAAGUAAUAUUUAAUUCAAUCAAUCUUAUUAUGUCACAUCAAUUUAUAUAAAAUAAAUUUAUAUUUGUAUUAUUACUCAACUAUAAAUUAAAAUAAAUUUUUUCGAUAAACUACAAAUUAAAGUGGAUUCUUUUGAAUGCAAGUGGGACAGACGAUAAGGCUAAAAAUUAGUCAAGAAUCGAAUAGUCUUUUUCAAAUUCUUGUUUUAUUAUUUUUCAAAACCAGUUUUUGGUAAUUACAAUCGGGUCAUUAAUCAUUAUUCAGAGUUAUUGUUUCCUUCAGAAGUUAGUGGCUCAUGUUUGCAAGUGUGAAUAUGCGAUGCUCUUUUUCGAAAGCGCAAUGACAGUGGGUCCCGAAUCGGACGUCCCUAAAUCUUUUUAAAAUUUUUGCCGUAUAACGAACAGAGGUCAUUACUAAAAUUUCUCUUCCACAGCCUACAGCAGCUUCAGUUUAUCAAACUCAAUCAAUUUUCUUUCUUAACAAAAUUCCAAAGAUGUGUAGCAUUUUUCAGAUCACAUGCGAUGGUGCUCUUUUCAAUCGUUGCUUGGAUUGCUUUCUUGGAAAAGCAGCAUACAUACGUAACCUCCAAGAUAAUCUUGUAGCCUUGGAGACUGAACUGGGAAGACUAAUCGCAGCAAAGAACGAUGUGAUGAUGAGGGUUGUCAAUGCUGAACGGCAACAAAUGAGAAGGCUGGACGGAGUGCAAGUGUGGGUUUCGAGGGUGGACGCUGUUAAAACUGGAGCCGAUGAACUUAUCACAGACGGCUCUGAAGAAAUUGGCAAAUUAUGUGUUGGAGGCUACUGUUCCAAGAACUGCAGGUCAAGCUACAAAUUCGGAAAACAAGUGGGUAAAAAGCUACAAGAUGUGAAGACUUUAAUCGCCGAGGGAGUUUUUGAGGCGGUGGCCACUGAGGUGGUGCCCGAGAGAGCUCCGGAACCUGUAGCAGAUAAAAGACCCACUGAGCCAACAAUAGUAGGCCUGCAAUCACAGCUUGAACCAGUUUGGAGAUGUCUUGUAGAAGAAUCAGUGGGAAUCAUUGGCCUAUAUGGUAUGGGCGGUUUUGGUAAAACCACACUAUUGACCCAUAUCAACAAUAAAUUUCUUGAGAGUCCCACAAACUUUGAUUGUGUGAUUUGGGUCGUAGUUUCAAAAGACCUGCGACUUGAAAAAAUUCAAGAAGAUAUUGGGAAGAAGAUAGGUCUAUCUGAUGAUUCAUGGAAGAAUAAAAGUUUUGAAGAGAAAGCUGUGGACAUCCUGCUGAGAUUAGGAGAGAAGAGAUUUGUAUUGUUGUUAGAUGAUUUAUGGGAGCGGGUUGAUUUAACAAAAGUGGGCGUUCCACUUCCCAGCGCACAAAAUACUACCUCAAAAGUCGUAUUCACAACCCGUUCCAUUGGUGUUUGUGGCAGCAUGAGAGCUAGGCCGGUUAAAGUGGCAUGCCUAUCAGAAAAGCAAGCUUGGGAACUGUUCCGCGAAAAUGUUGGGGAAGAAACUCUUGAGAGUGAUCAUGAGAUCGUUGAGCUAGCCCAAACUGUGGCCAAAGAGUGUGGUGGUUUGCCACUCGCACUUAUUACUAUUGGUCGAGCUAUGGCCUACAGAAAGAAAGCGGAGCAGUGGAGACGUGCAAUUGAAGAGUUAAGAAGAUCAGCUUCAGAGUUUGCAGGUUUGGGAAAAGAGGUGUAUCCUCUUUUAAAGUUUAGCUAUGAUAGUUUGCAGAAUGAGACAAUUAGAUCUUGUUUCUUGUAUUGUUGUUUAUAUCCUGAAGAUUAUGGCAUUCUUAAAUGGGACUUGAUUGAUUGUUGGAUUGGUGAGGGAUUUUUUGGGGAAUCUGACAGGUUUGGUGCAGAAAACCAAGGAUAUGACAUUUUGGACACUCUUGUUCGUGCAUGUUUAUUAGAAGAGGUGGAAGAUGAUGAAGUAAAAAUGCAUGACGUUGUUCGUGAUAUGGCUAUAUGGAUAACUUGUGAAAUUGAGAAGGAGAAGAGAAACUUUUUGGUUUGUGCAGGUGCGGGACUAAAGGAGGCACCGGAGGUUAAAAGAUGGGAAAAUGUGAGAAGAUUGUCACUGAUGCAAAACCAAAUUAAAACUCUGUCAGAGGUUCCCACAUGCCCUCAUCUCCAUACUUUAUUUCUUGACUUCAAUGACAAUUUGAAUAUGAUCGCGGAUGGCUUCUUCCAACUUAUGCCUUCUCUCAAAGUUUUGAAGAUGUCAAACUGCGUGAAUUUAACUUUGAAAUUACCUUUGGGGAUGUCAAAGUUAGGUUCACUAGAACUUCUUGAUGUUUCGAAUACCGGCAUAAGAGAGUUACCAGAAGAGUUAAAGUUGUUGGUAAAUCUGAAAUGUUUGACUUUGAGGUGGACAUUUGAGUUAAAUAAAAUUCCACGGCAACUAAUAUCAAAUUCUUCAAGGUUACGUGUGUUGAGAAUGUUGGGUACUGGCCUUUUGAAUUUUCAUGAAGCGUCAGAAGAAAGCGUUUUAUUUGGUGGGGGUGAAGUUUUGAUACAGGAAUUGCUCGGUUUGAAAUAUUUAGAGGUAUUGGAGUUGACCUUGCGAAGUUAUCAUGCUCUCCAAAUUCUUUUGAGCUCAAAUAAGUUAAAAAGUUGUAUUCGAUCUCUUUUCCUCCAGUUGGCCGGAGAUGCAACGUCGAUUGUUGAUGCUACGGCUUUCGCAGAUCUAAACCACCUCAAUGAAUUAUAUAUUAAUAAAGGUUUUGAGUUGGAAGAAUUGAAGAUUGAUUAUACGGAGAUAGUACGAAAAAGGCGGGAACCUUUUGUUUUCCGCAGCCUUCACCAUGUUACUAUAUGGCGGUGCGCUAAAUUGAAAGAUUCGACAUUCCUCGUUUUUGCUCCAAACCUCAAGUCUCUUGUGCUAGGUAAUUGCCAUGCUAUGGAAGAAAUAAUCAGCGUUGGAAAAUUUUCCGAGGUUCCUGAGAUCAUGGGACAUAUGAGCCCUUUUGAAAAUCUCCAAAGGCUUCAUGUAGAAGAUUUGCCAGAUUUGAAGAGCAUCCACUGGAAGCCAUUGCCUUUCACUCAUCUGAAAGAAAUGGGGGUAAGAGCAUGUGAUCAGCUUGAAAAGCUUCCACUCGAUUCCAGCAGUGCAAAAGAGCGUAAAUUUGUUAUUCGUGGAGAAGAAGACUGGUGGAACCGACUUCAAUGGGAGGAUGAAGCCACUCAAAUUGCUUUUCGUUCCUGUUUCCAACCUUAUUCCUGAGCCGUGGUCGCAAAAUUUGAUUUCUGGUGAGUGCGUUUUUGUUAACGCUUAUGUUUUAUUCCAGUGUAUUUUUCUUCUGUCUUCUGCAAAUCACAAUUAAAUGUGUGAUACAUGUUACGGGUAAUAUACAUGCAGUAUUUUUGGUACACUGCAAAUCACAAUUAAAUGUGUGAUACAUGUUUACGGGAAAUUUAUAGACAUGCAGUAUUUUUGGUGGGGUCGAAUUGAUGCUCUGGUUUUUUUUUGUUGUCAAAAUUUUCUCUGUUUUUUCAAAUUGAUGCUUUAUUUAUAUCUUCUUCGUGAAAAGUGAUUUAAUUUCCUGCCAAAAGACGAACGAGAAGAACAUUAGAGUCAAACUAAUGCUCACAUAAAUUUCCCGUAAGAAUAUAUAUAUAAUUAGACUGGAAUAGUAGCCCUCUUUACAGAAAAUGACGCGAAAGUUAAUUUAGAAAGAUAUAUUCUUGAUUAAUCCAUUUUCUGAAGCUUUUAUUUUGUAUGGUCAAUUAUACCUUCAUACUAAAAAUUUCUGAAUUUAUAAAUUAGUGCAACUUGACAAUUUUUACUGAUGAUAUCUUCUAUUUUUCCUUUCUUUCUUUUUUUUUUUUACUCUCAUUGAAUGUUACUGUCAUUUUACUUACAAAUAGGUUUGAAUUUUAUUUAGUUUUCUCAUAGUAUUUGUGCAAGUACUAGAAGGUCAAACCCCGCAUACUUUGAUUGCCAAACCACCGUCCAAUUUAAAAAAAGAAAAAAAGAAAAAAAAUGUGUAAUCCAUGAAUCUGGUUAAUUUUGUUUGUUUGUUUUUUUUUUUUUAAAUAUCAUUCUUUUUCGGCCACCCAAAAUAUCAUUGAUGACUUUUCUGGUCUAAUGCUAUGUAAAUAGUAUGUUAAGUAAAACAUAAUCAAUUAUUUGUGUUUUAUCUCUAAUUAGAACAUCAAUCAGUUCAGUACCUCACAAAUAAUUCGCAAUAUCUACAAAAUACUAUAAUGGCUACAAAACAAAUCCUGCUUGCAAAUUGUCAAGGAUACCUAUCCGUUCGCUUGACAAGUCAUUUGAAUAAAUAUUGUUCACAUUCCUUACUCUGUCAAUUAUCCAAAGCACCAUCAACUUUAGUUUGAAUAGUAUACAUGCCAUCACCAUUACCAAGAAUCAAGCAUGAAAGAGUCAUUCUAUAGAGUGCAGAACAUGACUCUAUGCGGUAGUCAAUUUGACACACGACGAACAACAUAUGCUGCAUAACAUACAAAUUAAUUUCCCAUAUGUGAUGCAAUUUUCUCCUCAACAUAUGCGCAAUUCUUUCCAUUCCGGCCGUUGAUUGAACCCUUUGGCAACAAGACGAGCUUUAAGCCUGUCAGCAGAACCGUUGGAAUGUCUUUUAAUACAAAAAUCCAUUUGCAGCCAACAAUAUUGGAAGGGAUGGGAGGUGGAACAAGCUUCCAUGUCCCGUUACGAACAAGAGCAUCAUACUCUUCUGACAUAGCUUGACGCCAGUGAGGAUUUUUGAUAGCUUGCGUCACAGUUGUAGGUUCACAAUCAGAAGAAGGGCUAAAAUGAGCACGGAGGUUAAGUUUUUGUAACGGCUUGUGAAUCUUAUUUUUAGCUCGGGUAGUCAUAUCAUGAUGAUUUGUGGGGCAAUGAUGUAGUGGAGUUUGGGAAGAUGAUUGAAGAGGAAGUGAAGAAGUGCUUUGUGUAGAGGUAGAAGUAGGUUGGGAGGAUUGCUGCGGAGAUGUUACCGGUAGAGAAGAAGGAGCAGUACACGGUGGCAACUCCAGAGGGCCCAUAGUGAAACACUUGCGUAAUUAGGAGUGGUAGAAGAGCUUGUAAUGAUUUGUAUGGAAAAACAAACUCUACAAAUUUAACGAGACGUGAAAUGAAAAUUUGAAAGGUGGAUGGGUCAAAACAUAAAUAAGCACUUUGAGAUAAAGGAAUAUCCUAUAAAAACACAAGGCUUAGAGGGUGGUUCGAGUUUAUAUGAUGAAACACAAACAUUCAAAAAUUUUAAGUUUAUAUUAAUUAGGAGUGGUACCAAAAAUUAAUUAGGAGUGGUCCGCGGGACAUGUAGCUAUGGGGUUGUUGGAUGUGUUUUGGAUAUUUACAGACAUGCUGAGUUUGAGUUUAUAUCUCAACUUAAAAUUUGUAGUUUUCACUUGAAAAAAUUCAGUUAAAAAUUGAUUGGUAGAAUUGUGAAAAAAGUUUAAAUUUUUAGUUCAACCCGAUUGCAUAUUUAAGAACAUCUCAAAUGAAUUGCUUACUGCUAUCAUCAUCAUUAUUGUCCAUAUAAUAAUGGAUCUUUAUUAUAUAUAUAUGUUUCCACUAAAAUAUAUUUAAUUAUUCUUUAUUUUUCCAUUGUUGCGUGUAAGAUUUAUUUGAGUUCUAAGUUAUAUCAAUACAAAUGUUAUCUUAUCCAUUAAAAGUUAGAUCCAACAAUUAUGAAAAUUACCAUAGAGUUGCUUUCAACUAUUUUUUAAAAAUACCAGGAGUAAAAAAUAAUUAGUUCAAAUGGUGGAGACUAAAAAGCGUUCACCUUUAUUUUUUAUCUGUUAUUUAUUUUUUUCAUUAAUGCACAUGCUAUACAUUUGAGACAUUCCAUUAAUUGCCAAUUAUGUAUGUGAGAUAGUAAUUUAAAUUAAAAAAAUAAAAGUGAAAGUUAAUCCUAUGCAAUGUGAAUAAAUUUCUUUCCUUUUUCCUUUACUCUUUUUAUUUGACAAUAAAGUUUCCAUCUAUCAUCUAUCAUCUAUGUACGCAAAAUUUCUGCAACAGGUACAAAACAUAAAAAUAUAUGAUUGUUAAGGGAAACGCGCAGGAGUUCAUCAUUUCAAUGUUCAGCAUUACCAAUUUUGGCAUUAAGCUGAAUAUAUUCCACUUAGAAAGCAAAAUAUUAGACUCGUGAUUUUAAUUCAUUCAUUAUCUCUCAUUUUAAUCCCAAAAUAUUCAAGAGCAUCCAAGUUACCAUAAGACUUCAGAGGCUCAAGCCUUAGCCAGAGAUGGUUAAUUGAUAGACUAUGUGCCUGGGUCGAGCACUGGAAGCCUGCAAUGCAGACUGAUUGAUUUAUCAGUUUAACGUGUGCCAGGAAUGAAGAACUGGAAUAUCACCGUCAAGCAAGCACCCUGUGGAGCAAUACCGAAGAAUGCACAAUCCAGCUUUGCUAGGUGACACUGGAGGCUUUUUGAAAAGUGCUUCACGCUCACUUGCACAGAUUGAGCAUCCCCUCUGGAUAUUGCCCUCUCUGAUCGAGUCUGAGCACUCAAAUUUUGGUCCUCAGAGGGAGCUACAGUUUCUCUCCACUAACCAACAAUUUUCUAAACUCAGCACCUAGUGUGAUCAGAGUUGUUGAUAUUUGCAAAUGGAGAUCCCCAUAUUUGCAAAUGGAGACAUUUAACAAAUCACCAACAUGCUUCAUCCGGUCCACGAAAUUCUGCAACUGAUUCAAAUCUGGAACCUGAACCAGAGUCGGAGGUAUAUCUUGAGCCAUAUCUAAAGCAGUUUGAAGUUCAAGACCUUGAGCCCUUGACAAUGGUUUUGAAAUUGGAACAUCUUGGAUUACUGCAGACUUGUACCCCUUGGUUUCAAAGGUAAGGAAAGGCAUUGCUUGAGUACAAUUUGGAGGCAGCUUCUUCACCAAUUUUAUUUGGAGGCGAUUGGUAGCGGAUCCAGCUGCACCAAUUUCAGAGCAACUACUGACACUACUUCGAACAGCACACUGAAGAAGUGAUAUGUCUACGGCGAAGGCAAUGCAGUCCUCAUUUUGGCUUGAGACACAGUAAUCAUCGUAGAGAGUUUCCUUGUGAAACUGGGCAACACAUUGAAUCCCUUCGCCACUGAGAAGGUUGUGGAGGAAGUAAGCUUUCUCUCUAGUGAGGAAGAGGUGGCAUACCUUCCCCAUUUUGUCUAGGGCAGGUAGGAAUCUUUUUUCUAAGAGAUUUACUUCAUUCUCUGUGAGAAAUGCUUUGAACUUCAUCCCUCUGUCUCUAUCCUCACUUAUCAGGAAAUAAGUUGAAAGCACUACGAAGAGAGAGAGAGAGAGAGAGAGAGAGAGAAUUAAGAUAUAUAGACAAGAAAAAUAUUAGAUGUUGAUCUUACAAACUAAUACUUCAAGCAGUAUCCUAGAAAGCUAAAAACUGCAAGAUGGCUUGAAAUUUGAGAAGAGCACGUGCUUUUCCUCCUUAACUUGAGAAAAUGUUUUAUAUAGUGCACCUUACAGAAGCAUUUAAGCAAUUAGAACUUUGCACAAAAACAUCAAGAAGACUAAACAAAUCAGAUGCAGUGCAUUUGUCCAAGCACAAAUUGCAUUUUGUCCUCAACUUUAAUAUUUAUUGAUGAGAAUCAAUACAGGUCCCUCAUUUGUUAUAGAAAGCUUUCUUGUAGUCUCACCAGUUAAUAUGGAUAUUAGAUAAGGAAACUUUAUUAGGUUGCGAGGGUAAAAAAGGAAAGAGAUAUCAUUAUUUUAUUAUCGAUAAUUAUUAAAUUUUUUUCCAAAAAAAAGAACAAGCAAUGAUAUUUUAUUGUCAAUUGCAACCUUUAAUUUUUUUAAAUGCUAUUAGAAACACAAGAUAACAAAGAAAUACUUAUUUUUUCCUAAAACUAAAAUCAAUUGUUUAACUUCUUAUUUCAUAAUCCAACUCCAUUACUAAGUUAAAAAAAAUUGUUUCAAAAUUACUUGAGUCAUAUUCAAUGGACCAACAAAGUAACCGUUUUUAUUUUUAUUGAUUUUUGCAGGAAAUUAAUAAGUUAAAAAUAAUGAAAGCUAUUGUAAAAAAAUUUAUUAUCAACCUCAUAAUUUUUUUUUUUUUGGGGAAGAGAAUUCAAACAUUUUUUUUUUUUAAUUUCCAAGAAUUCUUGACACCCAUCUUAAUUAAAAGCUAUAUUUUUAUUCAAGAGUCAUGCUAUUCAUUCACUCACAGACCAAAGGCUUUCCGCAGCAAUAUUAUUAUUUAAAUUACAACAAAGGGGAAAUCAAACACGUCAUACAGAAGCUUAAAGGUGAAUCUACAAAAUCUAGAGCUCUCAACUACAAAAAUUACACUUGAUGAUCCUCUACAAGAUGAAGGUUGUUCAAUAUCUUGAGAUUGCCUGCCUUCCUCGACGACCUGCACGAUGUGUUUGUACAAAUCAUCAUACCUGUGCACCGGAUUUUUAAUAUCAACGCCACUGCAGCUGUGAUCAAGAACAUAAGAGCAUUUAACAUCUUUUCUCCAUCGAGAAAGAAUGUAGUGAGAUGGGAUCUCCUGCAUGCCACUCUGGUUUAGAACACAAAGAAUGUGUCUGCAUAAAUAUCCUCUGAAAUUGAACAACCCACAAACACAAAGCACCUCCAAGUCGGAGGCAUUGUACAAAACAUC
rnacentral:lncRNA from 1 species